ACGUACAAACUUGUCGAAAUUUCAUCAGGUACAACCGUGUAGCAAUUCAUACAACCCAUGUAAUAGUAAUUUAACAUUCAAUUCAUGUAACAAUAAUUUGCCAUUCAAUUUCACAUGACACAACAAGCAUCACAUUUUCCAUAUCAUACACACCAGCCAUCAACUUCUCCUAAACAUAUUAAAUCAUACAAUUUAUGUCACAACAAUAGAAAAUUACAAUUCAAGUAUGGUAUUGCAUUAUUAUUAACACACGAACUUACCUCGAAUACGAAAAUGGCCAUUUUUACCAUUUUGUCCACAACUUGGUAUUUUGCCUAUUUUAGCCCGAAUUUCAAUUUUCCUUGCUCUAUCAUUACAAAUAUAGCCUAAUUAGGACUCUAAUUAUUCAAAUUUACCCAAAAUCAUAUUUUGACAAAAUUAUAAUUUUAUCCCUAAACUUUGUCAAAAUUACAUUUUUGCCCCUAGGCUCGUAAAUUAAACUUCAUCCUAUUUUCUUAGGUUUUAUGACAUGCUAAUCAUUUUUCCUUUCUAUAGCAACAUCUAAUUCACACUCUAACAUGUACUUAUGAACAUUAGAUAUUUUUACCAAAUCUGUCGUUUUACUCGUUUUCACGUAAAAUCGCUUAGUAAAAGUUGUUUAACACAAUUUCAAGCUUCAUACUCUACCAUAAAACAUCAAAAUAAACACAUUUCACCUAUGGGUAUUUUCCAAAUAUAAACCCUAGGUUAAAUUAUUGCUAGAAUAAGCUUAACCAAGUUACCGGGAUUUCAAAAAUGUAAAGAACUUUAAAAACGGGGCUAAUGGGCACUUACAAUCGAGCUUGGGAGUUUGAAUAAACCUUAACCAUGGCUGAUGCUGGUAGAAACGGUUGAAUGAAGAAGAUGAUAGCUAAUUUGGCUUAUUUCCCUUUUUAAUUCUUUUAAUUAUUAGUUUACCAAAAUACCCCUAACUUAAAAAUAUUUUAUUACACCCAUUUUAUGUCUACUUUUGUCCAAAAAUUAACCAAUGGUAUAAUUACCAUUUAAGGACCCUCAAUUUAAAAUUUCAUAACAAUUGGACACCUCUAGUAUAUAGAACUCAACUUUUACACUUUUUACGUUUUAGUCCUUUUGACUAAAUUAAGUGCUCGAAUGUCAAAAUUUUCAAAUGAAAUUUUCAAAAAAUUAUUCCAUGAAAUCGUAUAUCAUAAAAAUAUAAUAAAAAAUAAAAUUUUCAUCGUCGGAUUUGUGGUCCCGAAACCACUGUUUUGACUAGGCCGAAAAUCAGAGUGUUACAUUGGUUGAAGAAGAAAUCAAUGGCAGACGAAUGUUGAAUGAUGAUAGUGACCUAGUGUAUGUCUGAUGGUUUGACUGGUGGACGCCGGACGAUGGUGACUCAUAGUGAUAUUUUAGAUUAGGGAUUUUCAAUUUAAGGUUACGGAUUUUUUAGUCUGUGAGAUUUGAGUGUACCGUGUGCAUUAUUUUUAGGCUUCGGAGGAAUUAGGAUGUUAUGUUUUCUAUUUUUUUUAUGAGUCAAUGGAUUGUGUUUGUUUUGGGAGUGGGUUAGUGUUUGGGGACUGGGUCUAGGUGGGUAGUGGCCUUGUGGAUUAAUAUAUAAUAUUAAUUAUUAAGUUUGGUUAAUUUAGUUAAUUAAUCGAUUUCGAACCAAAUUAACUGUUAAUCGAACUUCCAAAAAUUAUUAAUCAACAUUCGAUCGAAUUAGAUCAGUUAACUGAUCUAUUAACCAAAUUAAUUCAUUUCGAUCGAUUAAGUUGGUUUUAAUCGAAAUUUACACACCCCUAGAUAUGUCAAUUGGUUAUUUUUUUAGGAUGUGUUUUAGUUUGAAUGGAAAUAGUGUAUGGUUAAUGGUUAUAUGAAGGCAUGAAAAUGAUAGUUUUACGUUAAGUUAUAUAUGUUUCAUAAGAAUGCCAAAUUUAGAAAUUCAAUUAGUAUAUUAAGAAUGAAAAAAUUGAAUGGUUGUACAAAGGUGAAUGGUUUAAGAAUUUACAAGUUAGAAAUGGUGUAGCUAUGUGUUUAUUUGAUGUAUGAUUGUUUGGUUGAUUGAGAAAUGGUUGAAUUGAAAUUUUAGGUAUGUUUUGAAUUGGUUUAUUUAGGUUUUAAGUGUGCGUAUAAGAACCAAUUGGGUAUGUUUUGUUUUGGACAUAGAAUAGAUGCCAAAAUGGAAGAUUUUGACAUAUUUGGCACUAAGGUAUCAAUACCCGAGUAAAUGUAUCGGUACUUAGCAUUUUUCAAUAAAUUUUUAAAAAUAGUAUCGAUACUGAACUGAAGUAUCAAUACUCUAUAUUAGAGUAUUGAUACUUUACAAGGGUAUCAAGACGAUUGGUUUUUGUUAAUUUUUGGUAAAACAUUGAACCUGAAUAUGGUAAUGAUAUCAAGGUAUUAGUAUUAGUGCCCAGUGGUAAGUAUCGAUAUUGUAAGCAUAGUGUUGAUAUAUACCUUUUGAUUUAAAUUGAUUUUUCAUAACAUCAAAAUUAAGAAUGGUAUCGAUACCUAUCAUGGGUAUCGAUACCUGUUUUGAAGCUUGGAAACUUUACAAAUUUGGUAUUAUUUCAUGUUUGGAUUAGUAAUUGAGUUUUCGUAAGCUCAAUUGAGUCUUGGAAAAGUUUGUUUAAUGUAUAAUGAUCGUAUAAUAAAAUAUUUGAGUUUUUUAAGGAUUUAAAUACAAUGUUUUCGACGGUAGUUGCUCCAACAAUGGAUGUGACAUUCUAUUACUCGGACCCAACGAUCAAGUCCGGUACUGAGGUGUUACAGGAUAACUUUUUUUAUUAUUUUAAAUAAUGAAAAUAAUUUUAUUUCAAUUCAAAUUAUAAUUUAAAUAAUAUUUUUAAUUAUUCCAUUUUUUUACUAUAUCAAGACAAAUUAUUUGUCUUUAGACCAAUAUCUUAGUUCACAAUUAAAAUUUUUUAAAAGUGAAGUUGUAACACGCCUAAUCCGUCUCUGUCGUCAGAUUAGGAUUACGGAGCAUUUGCAUACAAAUUACAACAUUUAACAUCAUAAUAGAAACUAUUAUAUAUCUUAAUAUAAAUAACUAAGUACUUAAUAUAAUCAUAAUACAAAAAUACAUUUGGGCCUUAAAUCGAGCCUUCAGGGCCCUAAAGAUAACUUAGGAAGGUCCGAGGAUACAUUUGAAAGAAAAUAGAAAAAUUUGGUAAAACAUGAAAAUUUGGGAAAUCAAGGGUCACACGGCCGUGUGACAUAGCCCAGACCGCGUGGACAUUCAAAGUCUAGACACACGGUCGUGUCCCAGCUCAUGUGUCCACCCGUGUGAGUAUUCGAAAUAGGGUUAUACAUUCGUUUCGCAGGUCGUGUGCCAAACCAUGUGCAUUCGAUGUUGAGUCACACGGUUUUGUUGUAGGUCGUAUGCCAGACCAUGUCACACCUGCACAUAAAACAAUAAUAGCACACAACCAUGUGGGGUGGCCGUGUUCCGUGUAGCUACCCGUGUCCCAGGCUGUGUGUAGCAUAAAUUGCCCUUAAAACAAGCCCGUUUAAGCAUCAAACCUUGCACACCAAAUCACACCAUACCUAACUUAUUCCACAUUGUUUAUAGCGCAUUUAAGGAUACUAGAAACAUGCCAAAUCAUCCAUCCAAAUCUAACCAAUAUGCCAUCUAAAGGCACCUUAAUUCAUACUUCAAUUCACUCAUUCAAAGCUACAUUUCAUACCAUAACAUACAUUACAUUCAUCCAUGCAUUAUUGAUCUACCUCAUUCACAUAUCAACAAGACAUAGCAAUGUUUUUACAAUGCAUAUAAAAAAAUGACCAAAAGACAUUUUAAACACACUUAAAACAUACCAAUUUCAUCAACCUAUAAGGCUAACCAAUGUACCAACAAAAGGUACCACAAUCACAAAUCAAACAUAAUUUCAUUCAACCACAGUUUGCCUACUUAAAGAAAAGGACAUACACAAGUCCAACAACAUCUAUUUACAUCAUCAUUUUCAAAACAACAACUCAAAGACAUUAUACCACAAUUAAGCUAAUCACAACUCAAAAUAACCAAAAGACCAAGACCACAUUUUGUAACACCCCUUACCUGUACUCGAAGCCGGGAUAGGAUACGAGGCGUUACCGAACACAUGCACAGUCAUUCAUGCAAAAUUGGGUUAUAAAAUUUCAUUCAACUUAAAAUGAAUCAAACACAUGUACAAUGUCCCUUAUACGGGCCUACGAGGUCCAAAAUAUGCAUUGGAAAUGGUCCGCGACUAAACCGAGAAUUUCUAAAAAAUUUACAACACUUAAGAAAUUUUCAAUGUUUGGAGAGUCACAAGCCCAUGUGGCUUGGGACACGCCCGUGUCCUCAGCUCGUGCAACUCUUUGUUUAUGAUGUCAUCAACAAAUAAGGGUUACACAGCCAAGUCACACGGUCGUGUCUCUGCCCGUUUGGCCGAGAAAAUGACUAUUUACCAAGCCAUUUGUCACCAUUAUUUGCACAUACUUAAACAUAGCUUCAAUAGUACAUUUCAUGGCAUAAAUAAACUACCAUCAAGCAAUAACAUAUCAUUUUCAUAUGAUCAUCUAUCAUGCAUUAAACAUCAUGCCUUACCAAAUCAUUUUAUGCUAAAUUCACACCCAAAACACAUUAACAUAUGAAUAAAUUCAUAUCCAUUAUAUAUAUCAAGCAAAUAUAAACCACAUCACAAAACAUUGCCAUAAGCACAUGCAUAAUUAUAUGGGCUUUGAUAAACCGUAAUUUAUACAUAUUUUUUCCCCAUGCUUAACACAUUUUAUGGAUGAUUUUUCCUUAGAAUUGGUGAAUUUGAUGCUCCUAAUGCCUUAAUUUCAUGUUUUAUAUUUAGGUGAGCAUAGUAGAGCGAAAGGAAUGAGAAACGAGCCAAAAACGGAGAAAAUGGGCCAAAGUACGAAAUCAACACGGCCUGGACUUCCUCACACAGGUAGACCACACGGCCGUGUCAAUUUGGUAGAAUCGAAUCAUGACUCACACGGGUAGACCACACGCCCGUGCAUAUUUAACAGGCUUGACCACGACCUGAAGUAAUCGUACACGGACGUGUCACACGGGCGUGUCCCUGCCGAGCCCAAGUUGAGUCCAAUUCGGAAAAGGCUAAUUUUGAGGGCUUUUAGGCAUUCUAAAGCCUAUAAAUAGGCGCUAAAGGAAGAGGAAAAGGGGACAUAGAAAGAAGGUGGCAGGGAACUACUCAAGGGAAGCCGAUUGAUCCAUCUCAGAAGCUGGAUUCACCAUCAAGACUGAAGAUCUCCCCUCAAUUUCCCUUCAGGAGUUUUGGGUUUUCUUUAUGUUUUGUAUUCAUUAUUCUUCUGAGAUGUUUUCCUUUUUAGUUAUGAACUAAAUCCCCUAAAUACCUAAGGGGAAUGAAACCUAAGACGAAUCUUGUUAUUAUUUUCUGAAUUGUAUGAUAAAUAUUUAACUUGUUCUUAAUUAUGUGUUCUUAAUUCUUGUUUUGAUAUCCAGGAUACUGAUUCAAGAUAAACUCUUAUUCAGAGGAGGAAUAGACCCUGUCUAAGGUUACAUUUGUCAUAAUUAAGCGGAGUUGAUUGCGCGCCUAGACAUAGGGUGGCAAGAUUUUGCUGGAUUAGGGUGAAACCUAAUAAGGGGAUCCAUAAAUCGAGUUAAAACAACCCUAGAGUACUAAUUAGAGAAAAGUCUCAAUUAUCCAAUCUAGGGAUUAGACGUUAUUAGUCCUGAAUAGGGAUAAUAACAUAACUUAGGGAUCUCUACGAGACAAGUUAAAUGAAUAAAUCGUCCGAUUUGGAGUCAGAAUAACAAGUGAAGUCUAGGUGGAUUAUUCCUUAGGUAUUGUCUUAAUUCAAUCAUUUUCCAAAAGUAAUCCCCCAAUUCUAUUUUCUGUGAAUUCUUAGUUUAUAUAAUUAGUUAGUUAAAACAAAACCCCCUUAUUCGUAGGCUAGAUAAUAAAAGGGCAGUCAUUACUAGUACAUUUAGUUCUUUUGGGAUCGACAAUCCAGUCUUGCUAAAACUAUACUAUUGUUUGAUAGGUACACUUGCUUACAUCGUGAUAAUAGUUAGUUUCAAGAACGAUUCUUUAUAAAUAUUUAAAACCUGUCACACGAAAAUUGCGAUCAAGUUUUUGGCAUUGUUGUCGGGGAACUAAGAUAUCAGGAACGCUCGAUUUUUAUUACUUUAGCCAUUUAUUUUUCUUGCAAGUUAAUUCUAUUUUAUUUUUAUUUAUUAAUUUACAUUUUGUUUCUCUUGGUAGGUUUUUAUAGUUUAUGACUAGAUGAAACCUGUCAGGACCACUACUUUUUGACAAGAAAUCGAUCGCACAGUUCACAGAAACCAAAGAGAAAUAAGGUGAAGCUUAAGAUACACAGAGAACGAUAGUCAAACCCCAACCGAGGAGAUGGCUAAAAACCAAGACAAUCAGCUACCUCCUACGAUACCCGCUGAACUAGCCAAUCAGAAUCCUACUCCUCGUACUAUGUAUGAUUAUGCUAAACCUAAUUUAACAGGAACUGAGUCAAGUAUAGUUAGGCCUGCUAUUGCUGCAAAUAAUUUUGAACUAAAACCUAACACUAUUCAAAUGAUACAGCAAUUUGUUCAGUUUGAUGGUUUGCAGGAUGAGGAUCCGAACACUCACUUGGCAAAUUUCCUAGAAUUCUGCGAUACAUUUAAAAUUAAUGGCGUUUCUGACGAUGCCAUUCGUCUUCAGUUAUUCCCUUUUUCAUUAAGGAACAAAGCUAAACAGUGGUUGAACUCGUUACCACGAGGGUCAAUUACUACUUGGGAACAAAUGACCGAAAAAUUUCUAUUAAAAUAUUUUUCGCCGGCUAAAACGGCCAAAUUACGCAAAUUGACUUAGAAAAUCCUUACGAUGCAUGGGAGAGAUACAAGGACUUACUGAGAAGGUGCCCUCACCAUAGGUUAUCGCUUUGGCUGCAGGUUCAAACAUUCCAUAAUGGUCUGAAUCCAUCGACUAGGUAAAUGAUUGAUGCAGCAGCCGGGGGAACCAUCAACAACAAAACACCUGAAGAGGCUUACGAAUAAAUUGAAGAGAUGUUACUGAAUAACUAUUAGUGGGAAGUCAUGAGGACUAAGCCAACUAAAACAGCAUGCGUUUAUAACGUCGAUUCUGUUACUAUGCUGUCAAACCAGGUAGAACUUCUAAAUAAAAAGAUUGAUGGUUUACUUGGUUCUACUCAGGUACAUCCAGUAAUGAGGUGUAAGACGAAUAGAGGAGGGGCAUGCACAGAGUAUCAGCCCUUCAACCUCAGCAUCGAGGAGGAAUAAGUCUAAUAUAUGGGUAACAAUAACUCUAGAUCCCAAAAUAACCCAUAUAGUAACACUUAUAAUGCAGGUUGGAGGAACCAUCCCAAUUUCUUGUGGGGCGGUCAAGGACAUCAAAGACCACAACAUCCUCGGUGUCAAAAACCCGUUUCCAGAACACUGAGACAACACUUAAAAAUCAACAAGCACCGAUCCAAGGGCUCGAAACUCAAAUAGGCCAGCUUUCCAAACUAAUCUCUGAACGACCACAAGGUAGCUUGCCAAGUAAUACUGAACCCAACCUAAGGGAACAACUCAACGCGAUUAAUGUUCAAGAUGAAGAAAGAUUCGUUGAGCCUGAGCCAGAAUCGAGGCAAUAAACUAUGGUGAGUAGAGAUCAAGGCGAGGUAGGUCAUAAUAAAAACAAAUCAGUGAAUGUUGAUUAUAAACCUCGUGUGCCAUACCCUAACGCGACAAGGAAAGACCGCUCAGAUGAACAAUUUGGUAAAUUCCUUAAACUCUUAAAAAAUUACAUAUUAACUUACCAUUUAUUAAAGUUCUAUCACAGAUGCCAAACGCAAUGAAAUUUUAAAGGAGCUUUUAGCAAAUAAGUGGAAGUUGGACAAGGCGUCGCAUGUGGAGUUGUAAUAUCCUGAUUUUGGGCCUAGUCAGAAUAGUGGUUUCGUGACCACAAAAUUCGAGAUAGAAAUAAUUAUUUUAUGAUUAUUUUGAGGUCUAUGAUAUGAUUGCAUGAUUGUGUGAAAAUUUCGUGAAGAAAUUUUAUGCAUAAAUUGCUUAAAUUGAAAUUAGGGACUAAAUCGAAUAAUUUGUAAAACUUGCAUUCUAGAAGUUUCUAGUAUGAAAUUGUUUUGAAAUAUUAAUUAGGAGGUCUUAAAUAGCAAUUUUACCAAUUUAUAAGUCUAUGGAAAAAAUUUGGACAUGGAUGAAAUUUUUGGAAAGUUUAGUAGUAAGGGUAUUUUGGUCAUUUAGGGGUAAAAUGAAUUAAAAUACAAAAUUAAAAGCCAAUUUUGCUCAUCUUCAACCCCAUGGCCGAAUAUAGCAAGGAGAAACCAUGGCUAGGGUUUUUCAAGCUUCCAAGCUCGAUUGUAAGUCCGUUCUAGCCUCGUUUUUAAUGAUUUUUACGUUUUUAGAGUCCCGGUAGCUCGAUUAAGCUUAUGCUAGCAAUAAUUCAACCUAGGGUUCAUAUUUCGAAAAAUACCCAUAGGUGAAAUUUGUGUAUUUUGGUGUUUUAUGAUAGAAUAAGAGGUUUUAAAUUAUGUUAGACAACUUGUGCUACUCGGUUUUAAGCGAAAACUAGAAAAAGGGCUUAAUCGGUAAAAAUACCUAAUAGUCAUAAGUACAUGUUAGAGUGAGAAUUUGAUGUUGCCAUAGAAGGGAAAAAUGAUCAGCAUGUCAUAAAACAUAAGAAAAUAGGCUGAAGUUUAAUUUACGAGAUUUGGGGCAAAAGUGUAAAUAUGCAAAAGUUUAGGGGCAAAACUGUAAUUUUUCCAAAAUAUGAUUUUGGGUCAAUUUGAAUAAUGUGAGUCCUAAUUAGACUAUAUUUUAAAUGAUAGAGCAAGGAAAACUAAAAUUCGGGCUAAAAUGGGGAAAAUACCAAGUUGUGGAUGAAAUGGUAAAAGUAGUCAUUUUCGCAUACGAGGUAAGUUCAUGUGUAAAUGUAGUAACAUAAUUGUCAUUUUAAGCAAUUUAAUGUUGUUUAUAUGAUAUGAUGCUGAUUUUUAUCAUGAAAUAUUAUGCUUUGUGGUUAUUUUCGAAUAAAAUGCAAAUUAUGUAUAUUAAUUGUUAAAUAUAAAGUACUACCGAUUAUUGGUUUCGGUAUUUUACGGAAGAUGGCAAGGAGAUGUGUUCGAGGAAAAUCCCGUUUGAACCUUAGGAAUAGAUUAGGAUACAAGUGACAUGUCACUAGGAUGGUUGAGCAUCCGAACUCGUUGAGUUGAGUCCGAGUUCACUUAUGGAUGCGAAUGUCCAAACUCGUUGAGUUGAGUCCGAGUUCGAGAGAUGUAACUAGGCAUCCGAGCUCUUUGAGUUGAGUCCGAGUUCACUUAUGGAUGCGAACGCCCGAGCUCGUUGAGUUGAGUCCGAGUUCACUUAUGGGCGGGUUACAUGGUAGCUUGGCUACAUAUGUGGCACUUAUGUGCAAACUUUCCAUGUAUCCGAAUUAUAUUCCGAUGUGUUCAACGGGUAAAAUUCUACUCAAAUGGAGGAAUACUCGAGAUGAAAGGGGCGUAUUGGUAAGUGUUGUGAAAUGAAUACUUUGAACAGGUAUGUACUUAACCCUCGGGUUGAAAACUCGAUAUAACAACAAUAUGGUAAGAUGAUAAAUGAAAAUGUGAUAUGAAUGUCUCGGUGAUGAUUAUGCAAAUGAUGUUUUAUGUUUGCUUAUAUAGUUGUGUUACUUGCUAUUUGCAUGUGAGCUUACUAAGCAUUUAUGCUUACUUCCUCCUUUUCAUUCCUUGUAGUGUUGACAAGCCAGCUCGGAAAUCGGGAACGGUCGGAGGCAUGCUCACACUAUAUCCGUAUACCAUCUUGGCAUAAUGGCUUGCAUAUUUUGAGUAGCAUUAUAAUCAUUUUGUAUAUAUGGUCUUAUGAUAUGGUUAUUGAGUGGUAUGGAAAUGCUUGGUAAUGAUUAUCCUUUGGAAUGGCUAAUCAUGAUCAUAUUUGGUGUUAUGUAUGCUAAAUUACUAGCUAAUCCAUGGAAAACAUGAAAUAGGUAAAAUUUACCAUAAAAUAGAUUCAGACAGCAGCAGUGACGUGAGUUUGAAAAAUCAUUAAAAAUAGUAGAGAUACAAUUAGAUGGUGAAUAAAAUAUGGAAUUGAAUAAUUAUGAGUCUAUUUCAUAUGAAUUGAACAAAACAGGUAUAUGAGUUAUAUUUUAUGAGAUGUUUUAAUUUUUGUGAAAUAGGGCCAGAGCAAUUUCUGGAUCCCCUGUUCUGACUUUGGAAAUUCACCAUAAAUUGUUCAAAGAUAAUUAGAAGUCAUGAUUUAUAAGUACAGAUUCCUAUUUGAGUCUAGUUUUAUUAGAAACAAACGACAUAGUCAUUGAAACUCUGUAAAGGGAGAUAUCUGAUUCGUAAUACACAGAGGUCAGAGCAAUCGAAUCCUGAAACAGGGGAGACUUUAACUAAUAAACUGUACUAAUUGGAUUGACCAAAAAUUCUAUAAAAAAAUUAGUAAAUAGAUAUAUGAGUCUAGUUUCAGUGAAAAUUUAUGGAAUUGGAUUUCGAGUUUCAUAACUCGAGAUAUGAAUUUUUAAGUGACUAUGACGCAGAUUGUUAGCUUGACUGAAAAUUUUAAAAAUAAAUUGUUUGAGCUGUUUAAGCAAUGAAUUAAGUCUGUUAACACCUCGUGUUCGACUCCGGUGACGGUCUCGGGUACGGGGCGUUACAGGAGCUAAACGCAGUUUGCUCAGCUAUUCUACAGAAUAAACUACCCAACAAACUAAAAGAUCCAGGGAGUUUUACGAUUCCUUGCUUAAUUGGUAGUUUAGAUGUUAAUAAUGCAUUAGCUGAUUUAAGGGCUAAUAUUAACGUCAUACCUUACAAAAUGUUUAAACAAUUAGGACUUGGGAAACCCAAACAGACUAGGAUGAGCAUUCCAUUAGCAGAUAAAACUAUAAGAUUUCCUAGGGGUAUUAUUGAAGAUGUGCUAGUUAAAAUCGAUAAAUUUAUAUUUCCCGUUGACUUCAUUGUUCUAGACAUAGAGGAGGAUAGCAACACUCCUUUGAUUUUAGGAUGACCCUUUUUAGCAACUGCUAAAAUGAUUAUUGAUGUUGGCACAGGUGAGCUCACACUCCGUGUGGGAGACUAAACAAUCACUCUUCAAGCUCGCAAUUCUCGCAACACAUCAGAAAUUGAAGGUGAUCGUCUAAACCAUUCUACUAAAACUGAUAAUCCGGUGCAACCUACUGUGCAGGAAAUGAGUCUGAAGUAAGAACAUGAGCCAUUCUCAAGCAAUAGUAGAGGACCUAUUCAUGAAGAUCGAAGGCUACAAAUCGAGGAGCUAGAUGAAUGGCGGAUGCAUAAACCGAGAACACACGAUAAACUAAACCUACGCCAGAACAAGCUCAAUACCUUCCCAAAUCAACUUAAGGUUGGAGAUAAAGUAUUAUUUGAUGCCAUAGAUCCUCACAUUGUCACUACCAAACCGAAUGAAGAAAUCCCUCUUACGGUACUUAGCAUUUUCCCAUUCGGUAUAGUCGAGGUAAGUCAUCCUAAGUUCGGCACUUUUAAGGUAAACAACACCCGUAUAAAACCUUAUUUUGAUAAGAAUGAUAGCAGGAAUGAGGAGUAUAAACUCCUCGAACCACCAUGACCGUUCAAUGGAGAGGUAAGUCGAGCUUAGACUAAAAAUAAGCACUUCUCGGGAAGCAACCCGAUCACUAACUGUAUAAACUUCUUUCAAUUUUAGUGUUUGACACCUAACUUACUAAUGGAACUCUUGAAUACAAGUUUACCACACAGACACGGCCAAGCACACGGGCGUGCUUAGGGCCGUGUGAAAACAAGGCAAAGAUUUCCCCAACACGGCUACGACAAAUCACUACAGUCGUGCAACAUGACCGUGGGCGAACCUGCCAAAACAGCACGGGCGUGCGACACGCCCGUGCCAAGCAACUGUGGUCGAACCUUUUAAAUUACCACGGGCGUGGGGAUACAUCCACGGGUAUGGGAGAAGCGAACAAUGCCAGACACGGCCGUGCGCACGAACAUGCCCAAGGAACACGGGCGUGGGACAAUUGUCAGACGCGCCCAAAUUCAAAAUUCGUGAAUCACACGGGCUGAAAUUGGGGAACACGGGCGUAUUACCUGUCCGAUUGCCCCAAAAUCUAUAAAUAGGAUGCACUAUUCAUUAUCUUCUUCACCCAGUAAACCCCAACCCUAGCCGUUGAAAGUCCACACGCCCUCUCUACCACGCCCGUGCGCUGCCUCCAACUCCAUUUUUGACGCUCAUUCUCCCCUUUCUAGAGUUUGUUUAUUCUUUUCCCUUUAAUUGCACUCAUUUUUCAUGUUAAGUUAUCAUAGUACUAUGCAUUUUUUAUGUUCUUUUCAUCCCUUUAUCACUCAUAUUUCAUAUCUAGAAUAGUUGUUAUCUUUUCAUGUUCAAAUUCUUACUCAUUACAUGAUUUCUCUACUCCUUUUGAUUAGUUAAAAGUAAAUAGUCAUGGAUAGUUGAAAUAUUCAUGCCUCUUAUGUUGACAUUUCUGCUCAUUCAUAUAGUAUGUUGUAUUCCAUUCUUUGCCAUUUUUACUCAUAUCACCAUGCUAAUGCCACAAAAGUAUGCCAUUGAACUUAUUGUUUUAGUUAAACUUAGUAGUUGUGGCUGAACAUAUUUAUAAAUUUUUCCCUCCUCGAAUGUAGUCGCAUUUUACCCCGUCUACUCAUCAAGACAAAUUGGUGUUUUCAGUUGCAGGUACCAUGUCAUCUUCACGUGGUAAAAAGGUCGCUGUCCCUGCUUCAAAGAAAAGGAAGGGAGCGUAAUCUUCCUCGGGUCCUACCGUAGAAAUUUGCCACCCUUUCAUGCAAUUCCCCAUCGGGCCCCAAGAAGAACAUUUCCAAAUACUCCCAGCCCUACCUUUAAUUGCGGGCUGCUGCAUCGACUGGGCUACAGUAGGACAAGUUCAGUUGGCUGAUACGAUUUGGGCCCUCCUAGCCACCGACCCUUGGGAGAUUUUCUUUGAGAUCAUCGAGCCAACAUAUCUCAAGUUCACGAUAGAACUAUGCUCAGUGUUCCAUCUUCAGACCGUAAUGACGAACUAUGAUGAUCCCGGCACGGUGCAAUUUUGCCUAGGCGGAUUAGUCCGCCAGCUCAGGAUCCUAGAAUUCGGUACGGCAUUGGGUUUUUAUAUAGAGGAGUUCAAUGAGGAGAAUGACUUAGAUACUCUCAACCGCCAUAUCCAUCGUUUUCCUUCACGGUGCUGGGACGCACUAGUACCAGAUCCAGCCACCUAUAAUCCUAGUUGCUCUAAGGCAUCGGUUCUCCCUCCAUUUCUGAGGUACCUUCACGCCAUUUUGGCCCACACGAUUAUAGAAAGGCGAAAAAGCACUGGCGUCGUCAACACUCACGACGCCUACUUUCUAUGGUGUAUGUCGCAUGGGCACGUCAUCAAUCUUGCUUAUUUCGUUGCCCUCGCCAUUCAGCACCAGACAGAGCGGCAUAGGAAGGGGGUCAUCUCCAUUGGCCCCUAUGUUACUCGGUUGGUUUGACACUUCAGGCUCCUUCGUACCACGGCCCGAGAAUCAUCCUUGACCCUCAUUGGCCAGAUGUCUCCACAAGGCAUCUCGAGCAUGCUAAGCAUGAGGAUGAUCAAAAAAUGCCGAAGAAUCUACCCUCCUCAAUAUUGUCUCGCCCAAUCUACCGAGGAGGAGGUCCCGAGGACAUUACUGAUGAUGUUCCCCCAUAGCACGAGGACCCACCGUCUCAGCCACCACCACCCUCUUGUCCAGUUCAUGCGGCGACUUCAUAUGCUGACAUUUCUGAGCACCUCACUCGAUUCGAGCUACAGUGUUUUCAACGAUUUGAUAACAUUGAUGCUACUCUACAACAGAUCUGUCAGCACCUUCACAUCUCAUCGCCACCCCCACCUCGUGAACCAUCUAGAAAUGAAGAUGUUUAAAACCUUUUAUUUAUUAUUUUAUGUUUUUACUUUUAUUUUAUUUUAAGACUACCUUUUAUUUUUAUUUCAUCUUAUUUUUAUUAGGAUUUAUAAUUUUUAUUUAACAAUUUUGAAUUUCGGCUAUUUCUUACCGAGUAAUCAUUCUUCCUUAUAAAUUUUCUAAAAGAGUUCCUAAUGCUAUCACAGUUAUAAACAGCUCCGAAGCUUAUCAUCACAUAGGAACUCAAAACCCUACCGAGAAAGGUUCUCUACGACUGUCAUGUCCUGCUAGACCACGACCAUAGCCACCACUAGAAAUAAUAUUCUUUUGGCGCAUGACUUAUAGACUAAUGAACCUCUACCACCGUUGGAGUAUCCUCCUCCACCCUUACGCCGAUUAUUCUCCAAAACUCCAGUUCAAGGAAAUUCAUUCAUCACUCAGGAAGUUUUACUUCUCUCCCCAACUUAUUUUUAUAUUCUUUUCUAUAUAUCUAUCUUUGUACAUUGAGGGAAAUGUACAUCUUAAGUGUGAGGGGGUAUUUAUUUCAUUAUCAGAAAUAUCCCUGAAUGACUGCCUUGUUCUCUUGAAAAUCUCUCAUAUCAUAUUUAGGAUAAAUUUUGAUUGAUUUAUGAUUUUGAUUGAUAUAUCUUGAAUUAAAACAUAGGCAUUUAUGCAUUGAUUGUUUAAACUUUACGACAUUAUAGAAUCGAGCAUGAUAAGUUGAUUUUUAAGAAUUUAAAAAUUUAGGUUGUUUCCCCAAAGUUUAGGUAUUACUUUGAGUUGGAAUUAACAAGUUUUAAACAUCAAAAAGCUAUAAUUUUUGUGAGAUUUUUGAGCCUUUUGAGCAUCUAUUAAUUCUUUCAUGCUCACUUUUAUUAUUACUUUGAGUCCGUCAGUAUUGAACUGUUAUUCUAGAACUUGCUUGAUUAUGCAUGUCAAGACCACAACAUUUGAUUUGAUAUGUCAAAAUGAUUAAGGCACUUAGGAUUAACCCACUCAUGCCAUGAAAAGCCUACCUCCACAAUUAACCACUAGUGAACCCCUUUGAGCCUAACAACCCAUUUUUUGUAUUACCCGUAAUAUUAACCCUUAACCCAUUAUUGUUGAAAUCCCCUAAAUUAAAUUUGAUCCCUAUUUUUUUCGAGAUUUGAAUUGAAAUAGUUUCUCAGCUAUGUCUUGUUCUUAAUAGUUAGUCUAUGUUUUUUAACUUGUUCUUAAAAAAAAUAAAAAAAAAACACAAAAAUGUAUGUAUACAUAUUAGUAGUAGUGAUCUUUUGAGCAAAGAAGUUAAAUUCCAUUUUCUGAGAAUAAGUUAUGUUGUACGCAAUUAAUGAGUAGUCAUUUUUCUAGUUAGGUAAUUUUUCAAUUCAAUAUCGAUUCUAAAUUUUUCUUUCAGCUUGUGACCACACCCCCUAACCAAGCCUCGUUACAACCCUCUAAAGACCUUUGGAUUCAUGUAUCAUCUCAAUUUAUAGUGGUGGAGAUGUGAUUUUCAUGCAAGCCUAUGGUAAUAACUUUUCAUAUUGACUAAUGAGUGCUACAUUCAUUGUCCUUAAAAACUUUGAGUGAUUUGAGUGAAUCUUUAGUGAGGAUGUUAAACUCCGUGAGAUUUCGAAUCAAGGUAACCACUUAGAUAAGGGGAGACAUCUGUGUUUUCAGGAUAAAAUGCUCAACUUGGAAUGUUUGAAGCUCUGAUGUUCUUUCAGUUGAAUUCUCAAUGUAUGAUUACCUGUGGAUUAUUUUGAGAUAUUAUCGAUAGAGGUUAUAAGUUGAGAAGAAUUUAUUUUGAUUAUGAGUUGAGGAUUUUGCUUGAAGACAAGAAAAUGCUUAAGUGUGUGGGGGUAUUUGAUAAACCGUAAUUUAUACAUAUUUUUACCCUAUGCUUAAUGUAUUUUAUGGAUGAUUUGUCCUUAGAAUUGGUGAAUUCGAUGCUCCUAAUGCCUUAAUUUCAUGUUUUAUACUUAGGUGAGCAUAAGAGAGCAAAAGGAAUGAGAAACGAGCCAAAAACGGAGAAAAUGGGCCAAAGUAUGAAAUCAACACGGCCUGGACUUCCUCACACAGGCAGACCACAUGGUCGUGUCAAUUUGGAAAAAUCGAAGCACGACUCACACGGGUAGACCACACGUCCGUGCAUAUUUAACAGGCUUGAGCACAGCCUGAAGUAAUCGCAAACGAGCGUGUCCCUGCCGAGCCCAAGUUGAGUCCAAUUCAGAAAAGGCUAAUUUUGAGGGCUUUUAGGCAUUCUAAAGCCUAUAAAUAUGCCCUAACAGAAGAGGAAAAGGGGACACAGAGAGAAGGAGGCAGGGAACUGCUCAAGGGAAGCCGGUUGAUCCAUCUCAGAAGCUGGAUUCACCAUCAAGACUGAAGAUCUCCCCUCAAUUUCCCUUCAGGAGUUUUGGGUUUUCUUUAUGUUUUGUAUUCAUUAUUCUUCUGAGAUGUUUUCCUUUUUAGUUAUGAACUAAAUCCCUUAAAUACCUAAGGGGAAUGAAACCUAAGACGAAUCUUAUUAUUAUUUUCUGAAUUAUUCUUAAUUAUGUAUUCUUAAUUCUUGUUUUGAUAUCCCAGGAUACUGAUUCAAGAUAAACUCUUAUUCAGAGGAGGAAUAGACCCUGCCUAAGAGUACAUUUGUCAUAAUUAAGCGGAGUUGAUUGCGCGCCUAGACAUAGGGUGACAAGAUUUUGCCGGAUUAGGGUGAAACCUAAUAAGGGGAUCCAUAAAUCGAGUUAAAACAACCCUAGAGUACUAAUUAGAGAAAAGUCUCAAUUAUCCAAUAUAGGGAUUAGACGUUAUUAGUCCUGAAUAGGGAUAAUAACAUAACUUAGGGAUCUCUACGGGACAAGUUAAAUGAAUAAAUCGUCCGAUUCGGAGUCAGAAUAACAAGUGAAGUCUAGGUGGAUUCUUCCUUAGGUAUUGUCUUAAUUCAAUCAUUUUCCAAAAGUAAUCCCUCAAUUCUAUUUUCUGUGAAUUCUUAGUUUAGAUAAUUAGUUAGUUAAAACAAAACCCCCUUAUUCGUAGGCUAGAUAAUAAAAAGGCAGUCAUUUCUAGUACUUUUAGUUCUUUUGGGAUCGACAAUCCGGUCUUGCUAAAACUAUACUACUGUUCGAUAGGUACACUUGCCUACAUUGUGAUAAUAGUUAGUUUCAAGAACGAUUCUUUAUAAAUAUUUAAAACCUGUCACACGAAAAUCGCGAUCAAGCUUACAACCAAUUAGCCAAUAAAGCCAAUUUGCAUGGCUACAAAUUACAUCCAACCUUUAGCCUUCACAAGCCAAUACAUUUAACCAAUUCAUAAUGACUCAUACAACAAAUAAACAAUUCCCUAUACAUGUCAUAAACUUAAAGGGGUUUGCAUUCACUUAUAUCCAACAUGAUAGCUUGAUAGUGUGAUAGCAUCUCCGGCCAUUUCCAACCUGAGCUAGCUAAAUUAACCUAUAAGAGAUGGGAAAAAAAAAAGGGGAGUAAGCUUUAAAACUUAGUUAAUCCAUAUGAAAAUAAUAAGCAUUUUAUUAACAUGCUUCUACCAAUUCUCACAACAUGAUCUCAAGGUAAAACAAUCAUAUUUGCACUUUUGACUUACAUUCAUGACAAGCUGUCCACUCGAGUCAUGGUCACUCAAUUAUUUAUAACUUGACCUACAGAAUUCUAAAUUAAGAUCCGUCAAAAUAAUUUUAACCUAGACUCAUAUAUACUUCUACCAUGAAAUUUUCAGAAUUUAUGGAUUAGCCAAUAAGUAUAUUUUAUUCUUCAAAGUUACCCCUGUUCUGCUGUUUGACAGUUUUGACCUUUUUUUACUAAAAAUUAAUUAUAUAUUAAUACAGGAUUCGGAUAAUGUUCUUGUCUAUUUCUCUUGAAAAUAGACUCAUUAAUAAUUUAUUCAUAUAAAUUAUAACCCAUAAUUAUUUUUGUACAAUUUUUAGUGAUUUUCCAAAUUCAGAACAGGGGAGUCUGAAAUCAUUCUGCCUUGUCUUAUGAAAAUUCAAAUAUCUCAUAAUAUGAAAUUCUUUUUCUUUCAAAGUUUCUUCUAUGUAAGACUAGACUUAAUAAUAUUUAAUUUCAUAUUUUAUUCAAUCUCUAAUUCGAUUUCCAAAUUUUUUGGUGGAUUUUCAAAGUCGGACUACUACUGCUGUCCAAAAUUGUUUUAGUGCAAUAUAAUGAUAACUAUCAUAAGUUCAUUUUCAACUAAUCAUGAACUCACCAUAUCAUGGAUUCCAUGUUCAAUUACACAAUUUAAGUUAGCAUGAUAUUGCAAAAAAAUUCAUAAUCAUAAUUUAUACAUCUUAGCUCAUCGGGGUCUCGACAUUUCAAAAUCUCAAUAACCAGAAGCUUAGCAUACUUAUCUGCACCCUUUCAACAUUUUUCACAUAUUCAUUCUUGUCUUUGACAUACCCGUUUGGGACUAUCAUCAAAUCAUUCUUUGAACUACCCGUUGAACACUCGGAAUAACAUUGGAUAUGCAAAAAACCUUGCACCUAAGUGUCAUACAUACAUACGUAGCCAAAGCUACCUCAUAACAUGUAACGCUCGAGAUGGAGCUACUCACGGGCCUGCUAGCAUAAGCUAUCAGUCAGGAUGUAACUACGCGGGCUGCUCACACAAGCUACCAGGUAUCCGACCCACUCAGGACUACCUAGCCACUGGUAGGACACACAAGACCAGUACCCAGAACCAAAUUACAUGUAUCUCAUACAUCAUGAACUAAGACCACUCAAUGAGCUCAGAUGUCACAUAUAUAUCACAAACUCGGACCGCUCAAUACGUUCGGAUUCCUGAAUUCCAAGUCACAUGUCACUUGUAUCCUAGACUAUUCCUAAGGUUCAAAUGGGGUUUCCUUGAUUAUCACAUCACAGUCGAACUUGCUCGUAAUUUCAUUUACGAUAUCCAUAAUACCAACCAUGUACUCAUGGAAUAUCGAGGCAUAUAAUUCAUGAUAGCAAUUAAGCAUUUAAAUUCAUAUAACAUUAAAGCAUUAAAAUAUGUAACACAUCACAUUAUUUACACUUGAACUUACAAUUCAUGUAAUAUCAAGCAUUAACAUUCAAGUAUAACAUUGCAUUAUUAUUAUCGUACCAACUUACCUUAAUGCCAAAAAUGGUGGAAAAAGGACUUAACUGUCAAAUACUUGUUUUCCCCCGAUCUAAGUCCGAAUCUCGUUUUCCUUUAUCUAUAAUAUCACACUUAGCUUACUGAUUAGUCAUAUUAUUCAUUGUGACCCAAAAAUCAUAUUAUGGCAAAAUUAUGUUUUUGCCCCUAAACUUUAUCACAUUUACAUUUUUGCCCCUAGGCUCGUAAAAUGAAAUUUAUUCAAUUUCUUUGUACUUUAAGCCUAGCCGAAUCAUUUUCACAACUAUAGCAGCCCAAAAUUUCCACUAAAUCACACUUUUAUGAAAAAUUUUAUAACUUUUACAAAUUAAUCCUUUUUAGCGUUUUCACCGAAACUACUUAGUAAAAGUCGUUUAACACACAAAAAACAUUCAUAUCCCUCCCUUAAACAUCAAAAUACACACAUGUAGCACAUGGGUAAAUUUUCAAACAUCAACCUUAGCUCAAAUAAAUGGUAGAAAUAGCUAGAUCUUGUUACGAGGAUUUCAAAAACGUAAAAAUCAUUAAAACGGGGCAAGAACGGACUUACAAUAGAGCUUGGAAGCUUGGAAAACCCUAGCCAUGGUUUCUCCAUGCACGUUUCAAUCAUUGCUUGAAGAUGGAAAAAAAUUGGCUUUUAAUUUUGUUUUUAAUUCAUUUUAAUUACUAAAUGACCAAAAUGCCCCUAACAUAAAAAUAUUCUAUUUCACCUAUUUCAUGUCCAAUUUUGUCCAAAAAAUUUUCCAAUGGUCUAAUCAUCAUAUAAGUACCUCCAAUUUAAAAUUUCAUAGCAAUUAGACACCUCUAACUUCUAGAACUCAAGUUUUGCACUUUUUUACAAUUUAGUCCUUUUGACCAAAUUAAGUUCCCAAAUGUCAAAAUUUUCGAACAAAAUUUUCACUAAAUCAUCUUGUAAAAUUUUAGACUAAAUCAUCUUGUAAAAUUUUAGACCAUAAAAAAUAUAAUAAAAAUAAAUUUUAUUACGUCGAAUUUGUGAUCUCAAAAUCACUGUUUUGACUAGACCCUAAAUCGGGAUGUUUUAACAGUUAACCCUAUACAUGCCAUUUAUAACCACUUGCUAAAUAUUAACCAAAAACUACCAACAUGGUGAUUGGAUAGUGUGAUCGUGCUCUGAUGCAAUUCCAACUAAUAGAACUUCCACAAAGUAAUUACAUAAGCAAUUAGUGCACAGUAAGCUCGUAUAAAAGAAACUUAAACUUACCGAACAUAAAAUGAUUAAAUCAUUCAAUCAUUGAUUGCAAAUCAUAUAGAUACUUUCCUUUUGUAACACCCCUUACCCAUAUUCAACGUCAGAAUAGGGUUACGGAGCAUUUCCGGACUUAUAACACAUACAACCAUAAUUUUCUCACGCAUUCAAUCAAUUCAUACAAUCAUCAUUCAUUCUCAAUCAAUUUUUCCCUUAUAAUAGCCUACGAGGCCUUAAACAUGCUUUAGGAGUGGUUCGAGACUAAACCGAUAACUUAUAAAACUUUUACGAAACUUUGAAUUUUUUUCUCAAAACAGAGGACACACGACUGUGUGGGCAAGCCGUGUGUCUCACACGACCACUAGACAUGCCCGUGUCACUGGCCGUGUGAAAACAGAGGUACAUACUAACUUGGGUCACAUGGCCAACCACACGUCUGUGUGUCUAGCCCGUAUGCCCUUCGAAGUGGCCACACACGUUCGUGUGCUAGGCCGUGUACUAGGCCGUGCCAAACCUGUAGGGUAUAUUGACUUAUGCAACACGGCCAAGUCACAUGCCCAUGUGCUAGGCCGAGUGCCAAUUAGGAGGGUAUACUGACUUGUACCACAUGGUCAGUCAUACGACCGUGUGUGAGACCGUGUGGAGCAUACUGACUUCACUUUAAUUUCAAAACCAAGGGACGCACAACCGUGUAACAUGACCGUGUGUCACACACAGUUGAGACAUACGCCCGUGUCACUGUCCAUGUGGAUAAAAAAUAAGUUAUUUACAAAGCCAUUUUGCCACCCUACUUUUACAUACUUGCACAAGCAUAAUUUGCAACAUUUAUAACUCAAUAGGUAGCUAAUCCACAACGUUUCAUACACAUUUUAUACCAAUCCGACAUAGUAUACAAAUAUUUAAUUAAUAUCAUCCAUUUUCCAUUCAUAUGCCUAUCACAUAUCAAGACAACAUUGCAUAUUUCUAUUCCAUUUACUAAUUGCCAAAACAUACCAUAUUUGAAUACUUAUACACAACCAAAACAUUAUACCAAUUUAAGCCAAAUCACAUGACUUUAACAUAUACCUCUGUCUGUCAAUUCUUACAACCGAGCUUUCAACUCUAUUAAUUCUGUUGGAUCUAUUCUAUAUAGAUCUAUCGAUAUCGAUGUUGUUCCCGGUAUUAAUUCAAUACCAAAUUCAACCUCUCUGAUCGAUGGCAAACCCAGUAAUUCUUCUGGAAAUACAUCCAAAAACUCACAAACAACAGGUACAGAUUCAAUAUUUGAUUCAGAUACUUUUGUAUCCAGUACGUAUGCAAGAUACGUAUCACAACCCUUUUUCAUACAUUUCUGAGCUAACAUAGAUGAUAUCACAGUAGGUAACUCACUCGAAUCAUUAAACUAAAUCCGAAUAAUUUCACCAUUCUGACAUUUCAAUUCGAUAAUAUUUCAUCUACAAUUCACAACUGCAUCAUGCAUAUUCAACUAGUCUAUACCUAGAAUCACGUCAAACUCAUCGAAUGGUAAAAGCAUGAAGUCAACUAGAAAACAGUAACCCCGAGUCAUCAAAGGACUUACAAAUUUUUUCAACUGAAGCAGACUUGCCUAAGCGGUUCAAUACUUUAAUUACAAACUCUAUAGAUUCGACAUGUAAACUCUUUUUAAAUACUAAAUUCAUAAAAAUAUAUGAAUGGGUUGAUCCAGGAUAUAUCAACGCAACUAUAUCAGUAUCGAAAAGAGAAAAAGUACUAGUAAUAACGUUUGGCAAUGAUGCCUCCUCCCAUGCACGGAUAGCAUAAGCUCUGGCAGGUGCUCGUACCUCAGACCUCACAGCAGAAUCUCUUGUAAGACCUCGGUUACCACUCAUAUUUCUAGCGUUUUGGGGUGGUCUCCCUCUAGUAGCCGUAUUACUUACUUUCGCCGGUUGAUCUCUUUCAGCUAUAGUCUUUUCUGGACAGUCUCGAAGAUAAUGACCAACUGAUCCACAUUUACUCAUUAUCCUACAUUCACCAUAAUGUUGCUUAUUGCAGUGCUUACAUUCAGGUCCAACAUUUCUAACACUACCGACACUAGCAACAAAUGUCGUCUGAGGUUUAGAGUUGAAAUGUCUCGCAUCUUUAUAUCUGAUCAAAAUUCCUGCAGAAGUAGUAGAACGAGGAUGAUAUUCUCUAGAUUUUUUUGAUACUGACUGAUGUAAUUUGCCAGUAAAUCUCUUUCUAAAGUCUCUAGCCUAAAAAUUGCCUUUUCUUUUCUCUUUGCUAAGCUCUUCGGCUUUGCAAGCUCCACCAACUAGAACAACAAACUCUUUCAGCACAAGAAUCCUAACUAACAGUCUAAUUUCUUCAUUUAAUCCAUUUUCAAACCUUUUACACAUUAUAACCUCGAAAGAAACACAUUCACGAGCAUAUUUUCUGAGUCGUACAAACUCUCUUUCAUAUUCUGUUACCGACAUACGACCCUGUUUUAAUUCAAGAAAUUCAUUUCGUUUAUGAUCAAUAAACCUUUGGCUGAUAUAUUUCUUUUUAAAUUCAACUUGAAAGAACUCCCAAGUAACUCUUUCUCGCGGAACUACAUAUAUCAAGGUACUCCACCAUUGAUGUGAAGUGUCUCCCAAUAGUGAUACAGCAUAUUUUAUACAUUCUUCAGGUAUGCAAGACAAUUCAUCAAAUACCUAAAUCGUGUUCUCAUGUAACAGUCGGUUUAGACCCUAGUCGAAAUAGUGGUUUCGGGACCACAAAUCCAAGUUAUAAAAAUAUUUUAAUAUUAUUUUCUGUUCUUAUAAUAUAUGAAUUGAUAUCUGUGAAAAUUUCGUGUGAAAAUUUUAUCGUUUGUGUGCCUAAUUUAGAAAAAGGACCUAAUCGCGUAAAAUGUAAAAGUGGCUAGUUAUUUGUUAAAAGUGCCUAUUUGCUAUGACUUUUUAAUUGUAAGGUCCUUAUGUUUCUAUUAUGCCAUUGAAAAGGUUAAAGGACAUAAAUGGCCUAAUGUUUAAUGAGUAAAUGGUUUUAUAAUCAAGGGUAAAAAUGUAAACUAUGAUUAAUGAAUUAUAAUUAUAAAAAAAAAUAAUAUGGUCUAAUUCAUAUUUCAACAACUGAAUAGCAAAAGAAGAAGAAGCCAUUGAAGCUUUAUAACAUUCGACCAUUGCAUGAUUAAUUAGGUCAAUCCAUUUUGCUCUGUUUUUGAUAAUUUUUAUGUUUUUGAGAUCGUUGCUUAGUAAUCUUUCAAGCCCAUGCCUCAAUUUUUGAAUUUGAUGAUGAUUUUGAGUUAUGUCAUUAUUGAUAAUGUGAGUAUUAUGAAGUUAGAUGAUAGAAAAUGAAAGAUAUGUGUUAGAUUACUAUGUUUUGUAUUGGGAUUUUUGAUGAAUUUGAGUAAUUUAGACUAAAAUGUGAAAUAAAUGAAAUAUAUAGGCUUAUAUGGCUAGAGUAAUAUUCGACCAAGCAUAUGUCUAAAGAAAUUCUGUGUAUUUUGUGAUUUUAUGAAUUAGGGACUAAAUUGUUAAAAUGUGAAAAUGUGAGGGCUAAAUUGUAAAAUGCCCUAAAUAUGUGUAUAUGGAUUUAUUUGAAUUAAUGUGAGAUUUAAUAAGUCAAAUUUUAAUGUGUUUAUAUCAAGAACCAAAGAAAAUAGAAUUAGAUCGGCGAAAGUCGUGUAGCACCCCUACCCGUAUCCAUUGCCGGAAUAGGUACGAGGCAUUACCGGAGUUUACUGAACAUUUUCAGAUAAUUCUAAGUCAUUUAUUAUUCAUAUUUUGAAAAUAAUCAUAACGUCUCUUUAUUGGGCCCUCGAAGCCCCAAACAUACAUUAAAAACCAACCAGAAUUAAAUCGGGAUCAUAAAAAAUUUCGCAAAAUCUUAAAUUUUAUUUUCAUCUAAGUACUUACCAUUUCAAUGCUUCUUAUAAUUAAACAUGUUACCAUUCAAUCAAUAGCUUGACCUUUGUCUAAGCAUCAAGCCACAUCAUUGUUAGUAUACUUGCACAUAUUUCAUAUAAAUUCAACAUUGAUAUACUUAUUUUCUCGACAUGUCACACUUGAGUUUAAUAAUUAUCUUUACUUAUAUAAUUUCCUUGUAUCAACAUAUCAAAGAUAAUCAUAUAUGUACAUGUCAUGAAACAUAUCAUUCUCUUACCAUUUCUUCAUAAGCAUAUAUCAUUCAUUUCAUUAUAUCAAUAUUUCAUGCUCCAUCAUUUCCAUAUAUUUUAUGUAUAUUUAUUCCGGUAAUAGCUUAUAUCAAACUUAACAUAAAUUAUAUUCCAUGUACUUAUACUUAUUUCGCUUAUCUAUCUUUAUAAUUAUUUCAUAUAACCAUUCGUCAUCUGAUACAUAUUACCUGAAUAUCAAUUGUUCAACAGAUGUCAUAGCGUCUCCCAUCCACGGUCUUAUUUAUCUUUGACAUGAUGCCAUAGUGUCUUUCAACUAUGGUCUUACUCAUUUUCUGUCAUGUUGCCAUGGUAUCUUUCAACCAUGGUCUUACACAUUUCAUAUCAGGUUGCCAUGGUAUAUUUCAACUAGAGCUGAUCAUGGGCUGGGCGGCCCGACCCGGCCCGAAGGCCCGUCCGAAAAAAGUGAGGGUUUGGGUAAAAACAUAGGCCCGAAAAAUGGGCUUGGGCAAAAAAACGAGGCCCGUUUAGAAAACGGGCCGGGCCUCGGGUAAGAGUUUUUUUGCCCGGGUCCGGGCCGGGCCUCAGGUAAGAGUUUUUUUGCCUGGGCCCGGCCCGGCCCGGCCCGAAUUAUAUAUUAAUAUAUAUUUUUUAUUUUAUUUUUAAUUAUUUUAAAUUUUUAAUAUAACUAUUUUUUAUUAUAUUAUUAAUUUGUGUAUUGUUUUAAGAAUUGUUUUAGUAUUAUUUUUAUUUGUUUUAAUAUUUGUUUUUAUGUUUUAAAAUAUAUUUGAUUUAUUAUAUUUUUAAAUUUUUUUAUUUAAUGAAAUAAAAAAAAUUAAUAUGGGCUGGGACGGGCCGGGCUCGGGCUUAGUAAUUUUAUUUUGGGCCGGGCUUGGGCAAAAUUUUAGGCCCAUAUUUUGGGCCGGGCCAGGCCUGGGCCUAGUAGACGGGCCUAAAAAUUUGUAUGGGCCCGGCCCGAACCCGGCCCGGCCCAUGAUCACCUCUACUUUCAACCAUGGUCUUACACAUUUCAUAUCAGGCUGCCAUAGUAUCUUUCAACCAUGAUCUUACACAUUUCAUAUCAAGCUGCCAUGGUAUCUUUAUAAAUAAAUUUGAUCAUCAUUUUCAUUCAUUUCAUAUUCUAAUGCAUUUAAUUAAUGCUCUAGGUAAAAUUACCAUUUUGCCCCUAAACUUUUAAUUAAUGACGAUUUCAUCCUUAGGGUCAGGAAAAUAAAAUUCUUGCAAUUUAAUUCUUAUUUUUAGCUAUUAUUCUCAUACAUAUUGAUAACAGUCCAUGAAUUCUAUAAAAUAUCAGAAUUUUCCAUAAUUUCAACACUUUUCAAUUUAAUCCCUAAAACAUGUUUUCCCCCUAUCUUGAACUAAAUUAAUAAUUUUAUUCAAUUUUGUAAUUUAAAUAAUAAAAUAAUCCAUUUCAUGCAAUUUGGUCAUUUCUGAAAUUUUUACAAAAUUGCCCAUAAAGUUUUAUUUUUAUUCAAUUUAGUCCCUGAGCCUAAAAUAUGCAAAUUAGCCAUGCUAAAUGAAUAUUCAUAUAUGUUUUCCUCCUCCUCCUCUCCAUUCCACAUCCUUAAUAUAUAUAACACACUUGUAAGUAACAUUAUCUAUAUAUAUAUAUAUAUAUUUAUGAAUAUUCAAGCUGUUCAUCUGUGUCUUAGUCACUAAAUUAUUUAUAUCUGGAGCUAUAGAGCUCCAAAUUAAGAUCCAAAACUUUUUCCUAAAACUAGACUCAUAUAUAUUCUUUCCAUAAAUUUUUCAGAAUUUUUGGUUUAGCCAAUAAGUACAGUUUAUUCUUUAAAGUUACCCCUAUUCUGUUGUCUGACAGUUCUGAUCCUUCUUUACUAAAAAUUAAUUAUCUCCUCGUACAUAAUUUUAAUGGUAUUCAAGUUUAUUUACAUUGAAAAUAGACUCAUUCAAGAUUAUAAACAUAUAAAUUUAAGCCCCUAAUUAUUUCUAUCCAAUUUUUUAUGAUUUUCCAAAGUCAGAAUAGGGGAACCCGAAUUCAUUCUGACCUUAUCUCACAAAAUUCAUUAUAUUUUAUGAUUUAAAAAUCAAUUACUUACACUGUUUCUUCUAUAAGAAACUAGACUCAAUAAGAUUUAAUAUCAUAUUUUAUUCAUCCUAUAAUUAGAUUUCUACAAUUUUUGGUGAUUUUUAAAAGUUAGACUACUGCUGCUGUCCAUAACUGUUUUAGUGCAAGAUAUUAAUUACAAUGUUAUAACACCCUUAUUUUCUUUUUCUACACCAUUUCUCAUCACUUUCUCUUAUUUUCUCUUCACUAACAUAUCAAGAACAUAGGACCUUAUGUAAGAAAACUCUACUAUAACAUUAUUUCCAUGCUUUGUUAAUAAUAACAAACUUAAAAACAUAUUGAAAUCUUGAUGUACUUACCUUUUCUUAUUGACUUCAAUCUUUAACUUGAUUUUUCUCUCUCCUCCAGUUUCUAUUUCUUGAAUCCAACUUGAUAUUCUUGCUCCCCAUCAUCUUCUUGCUAUUUUUCUCUCUUGAUGGCUAUGGAAAUUCUUUCAAUUUUUAGGUGAAAAUAAUGAAUUUUUGGAGGAAGGACUAAAUUGUAAGAAAAGGAAAACUUUCUUUCUUCUUUUUCUUCUCAUGUUAGUUGCAUGAGAAUGGUGAUCAUCCUCCCCUUUCUUUCCUUACAUAUAUAUAUAUUAAAUAAAAUAACAAUAAAAUAAUAAAAUAUCAUUUAAAAAUCAAUUUAAAGUAUUAAUAAACUAAUAUUUAUUUAUUUAAUUUAUCUAAAAUAUCUCCAACAUCAUCAUUGUCUCUAGAUUUCUCUCUCUUCCAAUUGACCAUUUUGCACUUUGUGAUCUUUUAAAAUUCCAAUCUUGAGUUAUCACUUAAUUUGGUAAAAUUGUAAUUUAAUCCCUCAUAAUUCUUCACCUAUUCAAUUUGGUCCUAAUUCAUCAAUUUUCCUUGGUUUCUAGAUCAUUCCACCCUUAAAAUAUUUGCACUAUUAGUCCUUCAACUUUUCAUAUUUACACUUUAAUCCUUCAAAUUUUGAGUAUUUACUCUUGGGCCACAAAACUUUUAUCACUUUUACAAUUUAAUCCUUUCUUGAAUCAAUAUGUCAUAAUAUACUUCCCAAUAUUGACAUAACUCAAAAUUUCCCUUUUUUGUCACUUUAUUUCCUUAUUUUACUAUAUCACGGAUAAUAUUUUACUAUAAAAAUUUUCGAGGUAUUACAAGUCGAAAGUCGUUGAAUAGUCGUCCGUUUCCGUUCAUUUCCGUAUGAGGUAAGUUGAUAUACAAAUAAAUGUGUUAAAAUUAAUUAUUAUUGCUUAUAUGAUAUUUGAAUUAUGGUGAAUGGAUAUGAGAGCUGAAUAUAUGAAAUUCCAGAAAGUUUCGAUAAUGCGACGACGUCUGAAAGCCCCGUAUGAACCGUAGGAAUAGUUAGGAUACAUAUGUCAUGACAUAGCAUUCCAAUAUGUGAUUUCAUGUAAGACCACGUCUGGGAUGUUGGCAUCGAUUUGAGAUUUAUGUGUAAGACCAAUUUUGGACAUCGGUAUCGUAUUUGAUUUUGUGUAAGACCCUGUUUGGGAUAGUGACAUUGAUAUUUGAUUACAUGUAAGACCAUGUCCGGGGCAUUGGCAUUGUACGAGCUUUCUGAGCUAUCCUAGUAUCCUUAAUGAUUUUGAAUAGUUCAACGGGCAUUCCAAGAAAAUGAAUGACUAUGUGCACUUGUAUCCGAUUCAGGUACGUUUGAAAUGUAUAUUAAGAUUGAGAAUGAAAGGUAAGCAUAUGUAUAUAUGUGGACAUAUGAAAUAUGUAUGAGUUAUUUGACAAUGAGAUAUGCAUAUGUAGUUGAAUUAUGAACAAUUGAGCUAUAUAAGAAUUAUAGAUAUGUGGUUAUAUUUUUCCAUGAACUACAUAAAUGAAAUGGUUUGGAAAUAUGUUAUGUGAUGAGUUUAUUUGUAUAUGGCUUACUAAGCUUUUGAAAGCUUACUUGGUGUGUGUUUUCAAUUGUUUUUAGAUAUCAAAGCUACUGAGAGCUCGGGGAUCGUCGAGGAUCAUCAUCACACUAUCAAACUUAAUUUUUGGGACUUUUUGAAAAUGUAUAUAUCAAAGUAUGGCAUGUAUAGGAUAGAGAACUUUGAAUGUGUUUUGAGAUGUGUAUAUCUAGCCAUGUGAUAUGGCUUGGUUAUGGAUGAAAUUAUGUAUGAAUUUUGGUAUAUGUUGUGUUCAAAAAUGGUAUGUUUUGAUGCGCUCUUGAAUGACCAAAUGAAAUAGCCAAUUUUGGUAAGUUUCAUGAUUGAUUUGGGAAGUUAAUAUGAUGUGAAAUACUAUGAAUUGAAAUGGAUUAAUAUGAUGUAUAAAUCAUGUGCUAUUGAUAUAAAAUUUGUACUUUGAAUUGGUAUAUUUGAGUUGGAUUUUGAUAUGGGAAAUGAAUGAUGAUAUCAUGGGUCAAUUUUUGUAUGAUUUAGUAUGUUUUUGGCCGCCUUUGGGACAUGGAAUGUGCUUUGUUUCAUGCUUUAAGGAUGGUACAAAAUGAGUGGAAAUUUGGCUUUACAAUUAGCCUAUUUUUGUCCACACGAGCGUGGGUCUCAGCCAUGUGUGACAUACGGUGAUGUUACAAGGCCGUGUGUCCCCUAGGGUAUCCUAUGAUUUAAAGUCAGUAUACCCUACAGUUUUGACAUGGUUUAGACACACGGGCGUGUCUAUCGGUUGUGUGUGGCACACGGGUAGGCUCGUGGGCAUGUGGUAGGCCGUGAUCCAAGUCAGUAGCCUCCCUAAUUUUCACACGGCUUAGCACACGGGCCUGUCUUGUGGUCGUGUGGACAAGUCAGUAUGUAUGCCCUGUUUUGCCAUGGCUUAGACACACGGGCGUGUCUAAUGUCAUGUGAGGCACACGGCCUGUUUACACGGGCGUGUGACCUUUGUAACUUAAAAAAAUGUUUAAGUUUUGAAAAAUUUUGUAUCUACUCGAUUUAGCUCCGAUCUCUUUCUAAAGCUUGUUUAAGGUCUCUUUGACAUAAGAAAGGGACUUUAUGUUGAUGUUUGACUAUGAUGCUAUGAUGUUUGUGAAAUGAAUGUGAAAUGUUCCAAUAUGUCAGGUAAUGCCUUUUAACCCUAGUCUGGCGAUAGAUACGGGUUAGGGGUGUUACAUCUCAAAUCAAAACUCGGCUCUCUCAGGGUCAUUGUUAACAGUGGCUCUGAAUUCCUCAGCCCUAUGCUUCCUUAUCUUAUCAACAAGUGGUUUAUUCAAUCGCAAAGGGUCCAUAUGGGUCUAGAAUGUAUUGUGUGAACCACUCAUUCAUCAUCUGGAAAAAGGCUUCUUUUGUCUCUCCUCCCUGACUGCCCGUUACGGGUCUAGAAACAGACGGCGCUAUCCCUUAAGCAGGAGCAGACGCAUUACUCUCAACCUCAUUAACUACAGCUCGAUCAUGAUCCAUUUACUAUAUAAAAACACAUUUCAAAAUGUCAGUAGUCAUCACACUAUCACAUUUUAUAUGACAUGUAUAGCUAGAUUCACAUACGUUACGUUAUUCCUAGAAUCGGCUAAACAUUAGCUUUGAUACAAAUAAAUGGAAACCCCUCACCCGUAUUCAAUGCCGGAAUAGGGUUACGGAGCAUUACCGAACUUAUAACACAUAUAACCGUACUUUUCUUAUACAUUUAAUCAAUUCACACAAUCAUCAUUCAAUCUCAAUCAAUUUGUCCCUUAUAAUAGCCUACGUGGCCUUAAACAUGCUUUAAGAGUGGUUCGGGACUAAACUGAUAACUUAUAAAACUUUUAAAAAAUUUUGAAAUUUUUUCUCAAAACAGAGAACACACGCCCAUGUGGGCUGGCCGUGUGUCUCACAGGACCACUAGACAUGCUCGUGUCACCGACCGUGUGAAAACAGAGGGUACAUACUGACUUGGUCACACGGCCAACCACAUGCCCGUCUGUCUAGCCCGUAUGCCCUUCGAAGUGGCCACACACGUUCGUGUGCCAGGCUGUGUACUAGGCCAUGCCAAACCUGUAGGGUAUAUUGACUUAUGCAACACGACCAAGUCACAUGCCCGUGUACUAGGCAGAGUGCCAAUUAGGAGGGUAUACUGACUUGUACCACAUGGUCAAUCACACGCCCGUAUGUGAGACUGUGUGGAACAUACUAACUUCACUUUAAGUUCGGCACCAAGGGACACACGGCCGUGUAACAUGUCCGUGUGUCACACACGGCUGAGACACACGCCCAUGUCUUUAUCCGUGUAGACAAAAAUAGGCUAUUUGCAAAGCCAUUUUGCCACCCUAUUUUUACAUACCUGCACAAGCAUAAUUUGUAACAUUUAUAACUCAAUAGGCAGCCAAUCCACAACGUUUCAUACACAUUUUAUACCAAUCCGACAUAGUAUUCAAAUACCUAAUUAAUAUCAUGCAUUUCCCAUUCAUAUGCCUAUCACAUACCAAGACAACAUUGCAUAUUUCAUUUAUUACUUGCCAAAACAUAACAUAUUUGAAUACUUAUACACAACCAAAACAUUAUACCAAGUUAAGCCAAAUCACAUGACUUUAACAUAUACCACCGCAUGUACCAAAGUCACUAUCUCAAGUAACUAUAACUAUCAUAUUUAUAACUAGCCUAUACAUGCCAUAUUUACAUAUAUCCAUAAGUUCAAAGGUACCAAUUGGCAACUGGAUAGUGUGAUUUGUAACUCCAACUUAAUCCGAAUCGAACGAGCUAUCGAACCUUUGUAAAACACGGAAAAGAAACAAAGUAAGCUUUAUAGCUUAAUAUGCCCGUAUAAUUCAAAAUUUAACUUACCAUUUAUACAUAAUCAAACAAUUAAGCAAAGUGUAUCAAAUUCACUUGCCAAAUGCCUAUACAGAAGCAUUCAUAAAUAUGUUAGUCUCAUAAGUACAUAUAACCAACCUUUAUCUCAAUUUCAUACAUCAAUAUAUUAUAUCAUACCAACUUCAUGUAACAUGUAUAACAUAUGUAACAAUGCAUCCUAAUUCAUAUAAUCGACAAUCCAUUUAUAUAACCAGUAAUUCAUCCAUAUAAUCAUUAUCAGAUUUAUACCCGUUGAACCUAUUAGAAUAUCGAUAGAUACACGGCUGAUACACACUUAAUCGAUAAUCCUUCAAUUCAUCAUCGUAUUUUCUCUUUCGAGCUAUGAUCGGUAAGCUCCUUCUAAGCUGAUGAACAGUAAGCUCUAUCGAGCUGAAAACAGUAAGCUCUGACAAGCUGAGAAUAGUAAGCUCUUACGAGUUGAUAUAUCAGUAAGCUCAUACGAGCUGCUGUGGGUCCAAAACAAAUGCAGGAUCUCGACCUAAACGAUAACCCUAGUGACAUGUCACUCGUAUCCUACGAAUUCCUACAGUUCAAACGGGGCUCGGUAACCAUCAAACUAUAUCAAUAAGGCAUUCAAAUUUCAAAUAUAUCAUUUAUUCAAUUACAUACAUUCAUUUCAAAUAAUUACAAGUAUUUAAAAGUUCGAUUCUAAUUAUAAAAACUUACCUCGAAUUGCUCAGAUAGAAAUAAUCAACUAUUUGUCCACUUUUCCUUUUCCCCGAUCUAAUCUCGAUCUUGACUUUUCUUGAUCUAUAUAUUAUCAAAAUUUUCACAUUCAAUAAUCAGACUAUUCAAUUUAGCCUAUAAUUCAUAUUUUGGCAAAUUUACACAUUUGCCCCUAAUAUUUCACACUUUUACAAUUUAGUCCUUAUCACAUAAAAUUUCAAAUUCAUGCAAUUAAUCACAAACCCAUACUUAGCCAAAUUUUAAUGAAGUCCCUAGAAGGCCAUUUCUUUUAUUUAUCCACACUUUUACCCACAUAAUUUUACAUUUUUACAAAUUAAUCCCUUUCUGACAUUUUUGUCAAAAAUCACUUUACAAAACUAGUAAAUCUAUUAAUAAACUUUCAUGAUCAAUCAUCAACAUCAAAUUACUCAAGAAUUAAACAAUGGAAACAUGAUAAAUCUUUAACAAUUUUGAAAUUUAAGGUAGCGGCUAGCUAAAAUACGAAGUAACGAUCUCAAAAACGUAAAAAUCAUUAAAAACUGAUAAAAAAAUCACUCCCUAAUGAACUAGGAAGCUUGGACAAAUACACAUGCAUCCAUGGGGUUUCUUUCUUCUAAAAUUUCGGUAGAAAUGGGUUAACAAAGAUGAUAACCUUAUUGUUUUUAUUAUUUUACUUACUAAUUCACUAAAUUACUUUAAUAACCUUUGUUAUAAAACAUUUAAAUUACUUAAACAAUGUCCAAGAAUGUCCACUUACAUUAUAAAUGAACUAAUUACAACAUAAGGACUUUCAUUUUAAUAAUCCAUAACUAUUUAAUACAUUUAACUAAUGGAACUCCACUUUUACACUUUACGCGAUUUAGCCAUUUUUAUCAAAUUAAGCAUUCAAAUGAUAAAAUUUCUUUACAAAAAUUUCACACAAUAAUUCUAUCAUGCUGUAAACUUUAAUAAAAUAAUAAAAUAAAUAUUUUUGCUUCGGAUUUGUGGUCCCAAAACCACUGUUUCGAUUUGACUAAACUUUAAUAAAAUUAAUAAAAUAAAUAUUUUGACAUGUGUUCAAUUAGUUCCCUUCUCAAUCCAUGUUUUUCCUUUUCAUAUGUUCAUUAACAUGAACCAAUAUAUACAUACACAUUUCCAUUUUAUGAUUUCCAUUCAACUACAUAUAUUACAUUUCCAUUCCAUAUUCUCAAUAACAUAGCUCAUUUCAUGUACACUAGCUCAUUUCAUAUACACACCUUUUCGUUUUAAACUUUAAUUGCCAGUUGAACCAAAUAGAAUAGCAUUGUCUACUCGAAAAAUACUCGUAUAUCCAUUUAAUUCCCUAUACACCAUAAACAUCGUUAGUUAACAUAAUUAUAGACAUAUGAAACAUAUAAUUACACCAAGGCAGAAAUAUUUAUUACAAACUAUAGUAGUUAAUACAUUCAUCUCAUAUUCAAUCUUAUAAUACAUAUAUCACCCAAAACAUGUUACCUGAAUAGAAAAUGGUUGAAGGAUCUCAUAGUGUCUUUCAACCAUGGUCCUAUUCAUUCUCGACUUAAUGUCAUAGUGUCUUUCAACCAUGGUCUUAUAUAUUUUACAUCAUGUUGCCAUAGUGUCUUUCAACCAUGGUCUUAUUUGUCUGAUUCAUGAUGCCAUCGUCUUUCAGCUAUGGUCUCACUUGUUUCUGAUAUGAUACCAUAGUUUUUUUCAACUAUGGUCUUAUUCAGUUCCGGUAUAGUGCCAUAAUGUCUUUCAACUAUGGUCUUAUUCAUUUCUUUCAAGCCAACAAAUUUGAUUCACGAAUAUACACAAAUAGAUAAUAAUUUAUCAAAACAACAAUUAAUUGAAUUAACCAAGUUACGAGUUUACCUCAAUUGAAACGGUUACUAAAAUGGAGCCAACAACUAGUUCGAAACUUUAGCUUUUCCUCGAUUUAAAUCUAGUUACAUUGUUUCUUAAUAUAAAUAAUAAUUUAACCCAAUUAAUACAGUUCCAGCAUUCUAACAAGUAGUUUAAUGCAAUUAAACCUUUCCAAUAUCAAUUUACAAAUCUACCCCCAACAUUUUAAAUUUUAUACAAUUUAGUCCCUAAACUCGAAACUUGUAAAUUUACAAUAUUUAGCUAAAAUUCAUGUUAGCCAAUUUUUACCUAGUCUUAUCACAACCCAUAUGUAUCAUCAAUUCGCAAUAUUUUUGUUGAAUUUUACCAUUUUCAUAAUUAAGUCCUUAAACCUUAAAACUAUCAAAAAUCACUUAAAAAAUAAGCUUAUUCAACAACCAAGCUUAUUAUUAUAUAAUAAAAUUCAAAAAAAAAACAACAAAACUCAUUCAUGGUAAGUCCUUAAACUUUUAAUAAUUUUACAAAUUGACUCCCGGGCUAGCUAAAUUAAGCUAAAUCAAUCACAAAAAUAUAAAAAUUACUAAAAACAGAAUUAAAAUCACUUACAUGCAAGUAAGAGUAAGAACCGAAUUUUCCAAGCUUAAUUCCAUGGUGUUUCGGCUAGAGCAAAACCACUUUGAGAAGAUGAUAGUCAUCUUUUCUUAUUUGUUUAUGUUAUUUAUUAUUAAAUUACCUUUUUAACCUUAAUAAUUUUGUUAAUAAACAAUAAGUCUUUGUCAAUAAAUGUUCGCUACACAUUAAUAUGGUUUAAUUACCACCUAAGUCCAUUUUUUUAUAUUUCUUUAACCAUUUAACCCAUUUAACUAAUAGAAACCCACUUUUGUAACAUUUAUGAUUUAGUUCUUUUUAAUUAAUUAACCAACUAAACACUAAAAUUUCUUAAUCAAAAUUUAAUAUGACCCUAAUAAAACUCUUAUGGGCUUGGUUUAGAGAAACGAGGUCCCGAUACCUCAUUUUUUAAAACCACUUUACUUUAAGGACAUCCCACUUGAACCUAAUUAUUCUUUCAAAUUAACAAAAAUCAUUAAAUCAAAUUUCAACAUAAUUCUAUAUUUGACUCGUAAAUAUUAAAUAGUAAAAUUUACGGACUCACUCGUCGAAUUUGUAGCCCAGAAACAACCGUUUUUGACACCACUGUAAAAACAUGUUGUUACAGAAGUGGAUAUCUAAAUAUUAACAUACGAAUCAUUGCCUUAAAAUAUUUGAAUAUAAAUAUUUUUUGGAUCCUUGAUAUUUAUGAUCACAAUUGCAAAUCAAAUAUUCGUAAAUAUUCGAAUGUCAUUGUUCUUCCUAAGUCCACCAUUAUUGUUAAGUGUUUGACCAUCUUAAAGAACUUUGAUAUAAAAUAAAGAGAGUAUGAGCACGAUGCUGGAUAAAACAAGUUUACUUCGAACAUUAAAUAGGGGCCAAGUCAAAUAAACAUGUUGUUAGUAAUACUAGAAAUGUACUAAAACAUGAUGUAUUUUAAAAUAUUAAAAAUUUGAUAUAAGAUUGAUUUAAUUUUUAUUAAAAUAUUUUUAGAUUUUUUAUAAAAAUUUAUUGUAUUUUUAACUAAAUACUAUUGUUAUAAAAAAAAUUUAAUAUUUUAAAUGUAAUUAGUGCAGGUAUACUUGAUUUCAAGUUACAAUAAUUUUUAUUAUUUUUGUAACACCCCAAACUCAGCCUAGAAGUUUAAGCCGAGUCUGGACAAGUUACACCAACGUAGUAAAAACGUACUUCUUUUCAGAGUUUUAACUUUGAAAACCAAAAAUUCAUUUUAGUCUAGAUUAUUUUGUAGUUUCAUUUUAGACUUGGCAGAUACUAACUAAAUUAUAUAUUAAAAAAAAUAAGACAAGUCCAAAACAGAUUACAAAUCCAAAGAAUUAAAUUGUAGUUAUCUCAAUGCAAAACAAUUCGAGCUCUCGCAUGCCAUCCAAUCCUAAAUCAAAAUGUCUUUCUGAUAGAUAAAAGUAAGACAAUGGUGAGUCACUAAGCAUGCAUAUAACCAAACUCAAAUACAAAUAAACAGAAUGUAAUAUAUAAAUCAUAGUAACGCAAGCAUUUGAUAACAGUUGUAUAACCAGUAUGGAACAGAUCUAGAGUAUCACAGAGGUUUCAACAGAGGUAGUACAAUAGAACAAAGCAAAACAAAACAGAUCAAGACAACGCAAUUCAAAUAGAACAGAAUCUAAUAGAGCAAAACAAAAUAGGAUGGAACAAAGCAGAGCAAUACUGAAUAGAACCGAACAAAACGAAACAGAGCAGAAUAGAAUAGAACAUGUAUGUUUAUGCAGAUGCAGUGUUUUUCAAACAGAUCAGAAUGCAGAUUUAUUAGAAACAAUCGUCCCAAACUCCUUUACACACCAAAAUAAAGUUCUCUCCCAAACUCAUCCAUCCAAAACACACCAAUAAAGUCAUCCCAGGUUGACUGGCAACGAUAACCUGUCACCCCGGGUUGCCCAGCAACAAUGGCUUAUCAAUAUGCAGUUAAACUGCCAAUCAAAUAUAUGUGGUCAAGCCACUAUAGUACAGUCGAAUUGCCGGAACAGAAGUGUGGAUAAACCACCAGAUAGUGCAGAUUAUUAAAUUGCUAAAAACUUCCUCAUUUUUCUUCAACCCAAGUCCCAUGCAAUGUAUCAUGGCAUACUCAUGCAGAAUUAGAGUAAUAAGCAUGUAAGUCAUGCUAUCUCUUAAUAACAGAAUUAGUAAAAUGGGGGUCCAUGAUUUGUAAAACAAACUUAUCAAACCUCAACGGACCAUAUGAGAUUUGCCAUGAAGUCACAUGCAUGGUUAUAAAUCAAAAUCAGUAACAAUCAGUCUAACAUGUUCAGAUAUCGCAUAUUCUUCAUCAUAGAGCAACGUAGAGGCGUACCAAAAAACUUAACUGAAUAUAGGUCAUACCUGAUCAUUCGAACACAUAAACAAUAGCACAUUACGUUCUGGCAGAUCCUACUCAUUUAGGUUCAAACAUAACAAAUAUAAGUACAGAUCACAAGUUGUUUAUCAUCAAUCUAACAUGUUUAGGUAUCGUAUAUAUCAUCUAUAUAUCAGUCUUAGAGCAUCAGAUUGUCCUCUUACAAUCAAAUUCAGGUCAUAAAUACAUUAUGGAGGUCAGUGCUCAUGUUGGACAACAUUCACAGCCUCAAAAAAUAAGAUUCAGAUCCUAUUCAUAUACCACACAGCCUGGACACAUGUCUAUGUCUUUGCCCGUGUGGCUCACACGACAUGGGCACAUGCCCAUGUCGUCUACCCGUAUGGUUCUAAAUCAUAAAUAGUGAGUUAUAUGGCCUGGACACACGCCCAUGUCCUUGCCCGUGUGGCUCACACGGCCUCGGCACACACCCAUGUCCUUACCUCUAUGGCUCACACAGUUUAGGCACACGUUGAUGUCCUUGCCUGUGUAGCUCAAAUGGCCUGGGCACACGCCUAUGUCCCUAGCCGUGUGGCGUCGACAGUCUCGUUUUUUAACAACUAAAAAUGUAGAAAAGGAGGGGUUUCGACACCCACCUAAUAUGGACUUGAUGCAGGAGCAACAAGGAUGAAUUCCCAUCCCUAAACGAUAAGCAAUUGCUUAAUAAAAUGAUUAAUUUGCAGUCAAAUCGCUAAAAACUAACAUUCCAAAAUCACAGUUAUGCCGAAGAACUUUCGACACCAGAACUUUAAAUUGAACUUACCGGCCAACGAAUUGAACUAAAACGAAGAAAUCAGACCCCCUACAGAAUCAAUGUAACAUAACAUAGCACAAAAAGAAAGGAACUUAAAAUAGUAAAACUAAAUCAAUAAAAAAGAAAGCAAAAGUGUAACGUUAGAAAAAAAAUGAAACAAUGUGAAACAAAAAUAGAGUUAUUGUUUUGGGAAAGUCUAAUUAACUAAAAUAAACUACCCCACAAGGCAGUUCUGUAGCACCCCAAACCCGGCCCAGAAGUUAUUGCCGGAUCCGGCAAGCCACAUCAAAAACGUAAAAAAAAAAUUCCAUUCUAAGUCCAGAAAAUCGUACUUGAUGUUCAAAAGAUUAAUUCAUUAAAGGUUAAAGUGAAUGGAAGCUGCGCACCAGGUAGGAAACCGGAAAAGAGGUGGUGAGUCCAUCGGACUGCUUAAGUACCAAGCUCCCUUCGGAUCCAAUCCUAGACAUGCAUACCGCCAUUGCCACACCUUAACGUCAUGGAUAUUUCUAGGAAACCGAUUUGAUUAAGUUAUUUUUAGGAAAAGUGAUUAAUUUUGGAAAAUACUUUCAUUGCGGAAGCUUUGCUUGUUGUCGUGUUAUUUUGAAAUCAAUUGUUGUUUUUGAAAACGCGCCCUAAAGCUAUCCAAUUUCAACAGUUAAAAUAAGUAUUACCUAUCUUAGUAAUACAUAUUAAAACCAUCAAAAAUAAUUAAGCGGCCUUAUUAUAUUUAAAAGCCCAAAAACUUCAAACGUAAAUAAAAGGAUGUCCAGUUCACUAGAAGAAAAUCAAUGUCCAGUUCACUAGAAGAAAAUCAAACUUUCAGAAUGGGUGGCCACUCCGAAUUCCCUCACAGCUCCAAGCCCACUAUGGUUGGGGAUUUCCUGCGUGGAUGAAAAUAAAAGGGGUGAGUUUGGGGAAACUCAAUGUGCAAGGAAAACCCAUUCAAAACCCAAGUCAGCUCAACCCAUUGGGCCUAAGCCCAUUCAGGUAACAGUGGUACUGGGCCAGAGCCCUUUUCAGAUUACAAUAAACUGGGCCUUAGCCCCUUAUUCAGAUAACAGUAUGGCCCAUAGGCCCAUUUCAAAAUACAUGCAACAUCAGUAAACAUAUGCAAGCCCAUUUGGGUAACAGUGGUACUGGGCCAGAGCCAUUUUCAGAUUACAAUAAACUGGGCCUUAGCCCCUUAUUCAGAUAACAGUAUGGCCCAUAGGCCCAUUUGGAAAUACAUGCAACAUCAAUAACAUAUGCAAGCCCAUUUGGGGAGACUACUCAACCCACCAACCACUACACUCCACCCGUACCAGCCAUACACUCCAUGUGGGGAAUAGCUCAACCCACCCAGCCCAACACUCCACAGUUGCAGCCUUGCUGCUCAGUUAACAGUAAAUUGAGGCAAAGCCUCCAGUAUAUGGACAAGCCACUUUCAGUACUUCCUCCGUCAAUAUCCCAAUCCCAUGCAUCAGAUAAUAACAACAUGGUAUGCAGUAAAUAACAACAGUCAAACAUGCAUUUAGGUCAAUUUAACCCUAAGGGUAUUUCGGUAAUUUAUCUACUAGAGGUAAAACUGUAAAUUUUCCACUUUUAAAGGUAUUUCAGUAAUUUAUCUAUUUUAGGGUUUUUCAUGCAUAUUCCUACAUUUCACGUACUAACAGAAUCACUACCGAGGGUUCUUACCGAAUUGGGCCCGUUGGCCCAUCAUUCCAGUUUUGGCCCAUUAAGCCCAAAAAUAUCGAGGGCACAGAAAUCAUGCACUUUACAAUCCAAACAUUGCAGCUUACCAAAAACAUUAAUCGAUUUACCUCACGAGCAUUCGCACACUCGCAAAUCUACAAAAUACCGGUUUUCGACAUUUCGGCUUUUCAGCUUUUGCCGAUCUAGACUAAGAAAGAGGGUGUUAGUUACACACCUGUUUGCAACGAUAUGCUGACGAGAUCCACACACGAACCGCCUACAAUUGGAUUACUAAUACGUUAAUCUAACUAUUCAAAUACAAACUACGUAUUAACCCCUUACAAUAUUCGGCCAACCACACCUACAGGUCAUAGUAAGCUUAUAAGAAAUCAAUAAGUAACUCAUUAACAAAUUUUUGUCAAUGUUUACCACAUAAUCAUAAUUUCACUGCAAGCUGUCUUCCUGAGCAACAGUCACUAAAUCAUUUAUAACUGGAGCUACAAAACUCCAAAUCAAGUGCCGUUAAUUUUUCCUGAGAAUAGACUCAUAUAUCUUCUAUCCAUAAAAUUUUCAGAAUUUUUGGUUUAGCCAAUCAAUACAAGGUUUUUCUCAAAGUUUCCCAUGUUUCACUGUUUGACUAAUCUGACCACUCUUCAUUACGAAUCAAAUUUCUCAUUGUACAGAAUUCAAAAUAUGUUCUCGUUUAUUCCAUUUGAAACUAGACUCAUUAAGCUUUAAUUACAUAAUUUAUGCAGCUUCUAACUCAUCUCCCACAAUUAAUGUUUAUUUUCCAAAGUCACGUUACUGCUGCUGUCCCAAUCAGAUUUAUUACCAAAUCACUCUUUCACACCUAACUUGCAUGCUUGUUAUUUAAACAUGUAUAUCACUAAUCAAUCAUCACAUAUCUAUGAUUUUACUUAAGUAUAAUCUCCAUUUCAUCAUUUUAAAGCACAACAUGUUAGCCGAUUUUUCCCCUUAGCAUCUAAGGCACAUGCAUGCUCAUUUGUUUGGCUCAACUUCACCUAUCUUCCAUUUUUCAUCAAAAUAACAUGAAACAACAACCAUUUCCUUCAUUUUAAUUCAUGACCAAAUGCUCACAACACAACCAAAAACCAAAAUAUGCUUCAAGAGUUAAGGUAGAAUCAAGAAGAACUCAUGAACCUCAAAAUAAAAGCAAACUACCAUGAACUUACCUUCAAUUUUCUUCCCCAAGUGACCGAACAUUCAAGAGCUUUCUCCUCUCCCUUCUCUUCUCUAACUUUAGGCUAUGAUGAACAAAGAUGGACAAAACUUUGUUCUUUUCACCCCUUUUUUUUUAAUAAAAUUUCAUAUUUCAUCCAUUUAAUUCUUUAAUACAAAAGACAUGAAAUUCUUAUCAUGAAACAUUUACCUAACCCAUUAUCAUGAAACAUUUACCUAACCCAUUAUCAUGGAACAUUUACCUAACCUAUUAUCAAUUUGUAUCAAUUUGUACCAUAAAUUAUGGAUAUCAAGUGCACAUUUUGUCUACAACAACAUGAUGGCUGGCCACUUCAUGUAAAAUGGGAGGUUUGUCCUGCAAAUCCUCCUAUUUUGCACUCCUAUUUAUUUGGCCACUUCAAUUUAGCCUAUAGCAUUUUCAAACAUUUUCACAUAGGUCCUAUUUCAUAAUUUCACUCCCUUUUUCUUAUGGAACAAAAAUUAACUAAAAUUACCGGGUUCUAUCUUAAGCUUGGGCCUUCUAGAGGCCCACUAACAUAAUUAAACCUAUGCCAACAUUCACAGGAUUCCCGAAAAUUGGGGCGUUACAAGUUCAGUAAAAACAUCUCCCUAACUUUUGCCAAGACUCAAACCCAAGACUAAAGGGUAUGCAAACAUUUAACCAUUGACCCAACAAGCUCAUUCUUAUCAUUAGUUUAUCGAAAAUAGAACUUAUGCCAGACGAUCAAGAGUAAGGUUUUGAUAAAAAUAACAAAAUUUCAAGGAAUAAGGUUCAAACCCAGGACCUCUCACACAUGACCAUAACACUUAAAUACUAAAUCAAAUCAAUUUCCUUGUUAAAAAUUUCCAAAAUCUAAACUCAAAAUCGAAGGAUGACCAUACUUGGUUUCCAAUAUUCAAUUUCUUCUAAUCCGGUUUUCGGGAUGUUACAAUUUUUUAAAAUUUUAAUAAUUUUUUUACAAUCUUUUUCAAUUUCUAAUAAUUUAUUAUAAUAUGUAUAAUAUUUUACAAUUUCUAAUAAAUUUUAUAUUGUUAUAUUUUUAUUAUUUUUAUGAUUUAUAAAAAUUAUUACAUAUUUUUAAAUAUAUUAAUAAAUUUAGAAUUUUUAUAAUUUUAUUUAUAUUUUUUAAAAUUUUUACAAUUUUUAGUAGUAUUUUAUAUUUUUAAAUAUUUUUGUAAAGAACUUUGGAUAUUACGAAUCUACAAAUCAAAGUUCAAACAAUUUUUUUUCUAAUCUCCGAUACUGACUAUCAGAUCAAAUUAAAUCCAAUAUAUGUUGUUAUUUAUUUUAAAAUGAAAACUUUAGAAAUAAUUUAUUCUCUAUUUGGUCUCUCUUUUUUUCUUUUUCUUUUAAAAGUUCAAGAAAAAUAUAUUCGCAGUCAUCUGGAGUGGUUGGUGGUUGGUUUGAUCUUAAAAUUUAGCCCUAGUGCAGAGGUGAUGCAAUACUCAUGAGUUGGAAAUAGAACAUUGCUUGCCUCUAAUGAAAAUGAGUGAUUGUAGACUAAAACCUCAGUUUAUUGAAUUAUCAUCACCAGACCGGUUAUAUAAUAAAACAAAUCUUUUGUAGGCACAAAAUUAUUACUCUUUAAAUUACAGGAGUUAAAUGAAAUGAUAAGAGUUUUUCCUUCCUUAACCAAUGGUUAAGAGUUCAAUCUUCAUCCUUAAUAUGAAGCAGGCAUCUACCCCUUAAUAGGCCUAUAAAUCAGAGAAUUAAUUACUGGACUUAAUCUAAUAAAUACCUAACCUUGAGAAGAAAAAAAUAGUACUUCUUAGAACCUCAAUUAUACUUCAUAUUCUUAACUCAUCAACUAGCUUAUUUAUUUAAACACCUUGUCCUUCGGGAGAGUUUAUCAUUUUUAGUCUCUGCUAAAUAUUAAAAUUUUUAUCUAAGCUUUUAAUUUUUUGAAUAAAAAAAUAUUUUUUUCUCCUAAAAUUUAAUUAUUUAAUUUAAGUGCUUUUAAAAUAAAUUUUUUAAUUUAAACCUUCAAAAUUUUAUAAUUUUACUUCAUCCCUACAUAAAAGUACUCAAUUCAUUUAUAAAAAAUAUAAAAAUAUAUACUAAGCGUCAUAAGAUUUUCACUAUUUUUUUCCUUACUAAGGGAAGUUUUGCAACUUGCAAAACUAAUUAAAUAAAUAAAAAUCACUUCAACCGACCGGGCAAAAUUAUAUUAGCACCUGUUACCAAAUGAAAAUGAAAUUUGGGGAAUAAUAGUCCCAACUCUAGGUGUGGUAAUUUAAAAAAAGUUAAUUUCUGCCAUUAGUAUUUAUACUUUUUAAUUUUUGAAAUUUUAAUCCCGACAUUAAUAGUAGCAAUUGAAUUUUUUUGGUUAAAUUUAAUUACUAGUCAUGUAUUAUCCGUACAGUUGUAAAUUUAGUUCAUAUUCUUCUAUUUGAUCAUUUUAAAUCUUUAUACUUUUCGAAUUUUUAAAUUUUAAUAUUGACACAAACGACAGUUGUUAACCCAUUUAAUUGGAUUUUUAGUGAAUAAUAUGUGAAAAUAACAAGUUGAUAUAUUUACCACAUCAACUUUUGUAAAUAGUGGAACUUAAUAAACUUAAAAAAUAUCAUUUGUUAAGGACUAAAAUUUUAAAUUUUGAAAAGUACAAGACUAAAAAUGAUAAAAUUAAAAUACAAAGAUAAAAUCCACAAAUUUUGUAAAGUACAGAGACUAAUAGAAGAACUUAACCUAAAAAACAUAAGUAUAGCUAGAUAGCUAGACUUCGAGUUAUGCCCCCCAAAACAAUCAGCAAAGCAUAAGGUAGUGAGUGCUCUGGAUAGAGUUGGAGACUACAAAACAAAACUGUUAGCGUUGAUAGGAAAUUAAACUUGAGUGUAAAUAAAUAAAGUAAUCACUGUGCCAUAGAAGAAUCACGACCUUAAAAGUAAAUUUUCCCUGAUUGGUGUAAUCGUGUAGUGGACGUCACCUCUCAAGGUUAAUACAGUACUUCAAUAUUUGUCAUUUGAAUAAAGGCGGAACACAAUUGGUAUUGCUCUUCUCGAAAGGAAUCGAAACCGAAAAAACAAAAGCAGUUGGUUGAAAAUCUGAUCGAAAAAUAAGCUAGAAGAAAACUGACCAAACCACACCAGGUUCAAUUCCCAAGAAGGACGAGAGGGGUCACAGAUCGAGUCUCGCUUAAAAUUCAAUCUCCUAGAUAGGAUUUUCCUCUUGUGUAAUUUUGUGGAACACCAAAAUUUAGAGAACAGAAGAAUGAGAGAAAUUGUUUUUCUCUUGUUAUGUUGUAUGAAAAAUUAGGAAAAUGACAUCCUAAUUAUAUUGUUUUCUGAAGGGGUAAAACAGUAAAUUUACAUAAUCAAUUCUCUCAAAUAGUAACGGUUUAAAAAUAUAUUUUUUCUCAGUUUUUUUGCAUUAACAACGGAAGUGAGUUUUCAUCUUUUACAAUUGCAGAGCCGUCUUAAUGCAUGGCGCAUGCAGCAGCAUAGUUUUAUUUAUUCAAAUAUAUGAAGGAAUCUUCAUUUAACUUUCUCGGAAAUUCCCUCACCGGGAGUGUCAAAUCUAGAAUAUCAGUUAUCAGAUUUUCUGUUGCCUUCUCAGUAAACAAAACCACAGCACAUUAGGUUACCAGAAACAAUAAAACACAAAACACUAUUUUAUAUAUAUAUAAAGAUUAGCAUUCUAAAUUUUUAAAUACCCCUUCUGCAACAUCUUGUCUCUUCUGCCUGUAAGAAAUGAACACAAGCUGGCAUCCUAUUCCUCGUGCAUGCAUUCUUUUUUUUUUAUACCAGUUGAUGUCAUAACACCCAACAACUUACACUGACUUCCGAGUAUGUGUAUUCAAUAUGAAUAUGAUCCUUUUUUUUUAAAGCUUACUCAUAUAUCUGGAAUAUCGUAUUCUUGAUCUUUUAUCUAUUAUAUAUAUAUAUAUAUGUAGGAUAAAGAAAAUGAAAAGACGUCGGAAUAUCGUAAAAAUGGCUUGUCUCUAUCUCAUGCGGAAGGUUCCUACAGACAAAUUUGGUCCCUUAGCUGUUACCAAUUGUCCCAAGCCCGUACCGACUGUCAACGAUACUUCGUAGUCCUUUUCCCAUGGAUCUGAGAUCUAGUUUAGGAUAAGGUGUCGUUUAUGGUAUCAAUAUAAAGCCAGGUUGAAGAAGCAAUUGGCCUUCCACAGCCCCCCCCCCCUCCGUCAGCCUCAAUCCAUUCUUGUUAAUCUCUUUAUAUUUCGACAAUGGCAAACCUGAAUUUCAAUGCUCUCAGAGACUUGCAUAACUCAGCUAACGACCUCCUGCACUCACCAAUAAUCAAGCGAGCGCUUGUUCACCAAGGUCAAGAACAAUGGGUUCAUCAAGUGUCCGAAUCAUCUCUAAGGAUGUUGGAUGUUUGUGGCAUUUCCAGGGACAUUCUUUUACUUGUCAAGGAACAUGUACAAGACCUACAAUUCACUUUGCGCCGUGUAAGCACCGAUGAGGCUGAUAUUGGAACCAAAAUAGCAGUUUACAACCGAUACUCAAAGAAACUAAAGAAAGAGACCCUCAAGUGCUUGCAAUCAUUGAAAGGGAUGAGAAACAAGCCCAUCAUCACUUGUGACAUUGACGACAACCUGACGGUGGUUGUGGAUGUGCUAAGAGAAGUGAGUGCGACUGCCAUAUCUGUGGUGGAGUCGCUGCUUUCCCUCAUUUCUAUUCCUUGGUUGGAAAGAAGGUCAAGUAAAGGGUAUUUGGCAGCCAAGUUCAUGAGAUCGAGUUGGCGGAGAGUUUAUGAUGUAAGCGAUGAAAUGGCAGUUCAAAGCGCGAAUAAAAGAUUGGAGGCAGUGGAAAUAACGAUUGAGGAUCUUGAAGCUGAGAUAGAGUGCAUGUUUAGACGUUUGAUUCAGACUAGAGUUCUACUUCUUAACAUACUUACCAACUAAUUAAUCAACAUAUACACAAUAUAAAUAUACUCUCUCUCUUUUUUUUCUUUUUUUUUUUUCCUCUUUAAUUUCACUGUGAAUUGCCAAACUUCAUGGUUUUUACCUUAUGGAUCUAAUGCUAAUUAGAACUAAAUAGCUAGAUAGGCUGAUUUAGUAAUUGAAUAACCUUAUGCUGUUGUAUUCUUUCAUUCUUUUAAAUAAAUAACCCACUCCUGUGCUUUACAUUUUCAAAGUGAUUGUGUAUUUAAUAGAAAUUGAAACUCAAAGCUGAAAUAAAACUAACUAGGUCAAAAUUCAGUCAUGAUCCCAUUUAAAUCCUUCACAAACAUUUAUUCUCAAUAGUGGUUGCAACCCUGACUUGAAGUUCUACAACUCUUACUCUCUUUCAAAUUCAUCCCUAUUUAAAAUAUAAUAAUUCGUUGUCUAAUUUAAUUUAAAAAUUUUAUAAUAUUUGAUCCAAUUCAAUUCAAUUUUUGUUGCUUUAAACCAAUUCUUUUAAUAAAUUUAUUAAGCUGGAUUCAUUGAUACCGUGUGGAUCUUACAAACAUAUAUAUUUAUAUACGGUUUACGUAUGUUAGUUGCUAACAAAUCAUGCUUUGUUUACAAACAUAUAUAUUUAUAUAUGGUUUACGUAUAUGAGUUGCUUUGCCUACAAAUUUUGAGUUAAAAUGAACUUGGGAGACUAGAAUUUAAUUAAGAAUUAAAAACAUAAAUAUGUUAAGGUGAAUAGAAUCUAAUUUCGAUUUAUCCAAUUAUCAUUCAAAAUUAACUUAAUUUAUUCAAAUUCGCCUUAAAAAAAUGUAACACUAUCAAGCCGGAUCGAAUAGAUUUUAUAUAUUUUUUUACAAUCCCUACUUCUAAAUUACUUAAAUUUGAGUUCAAGAGUAAAACUUGCAACUCUUAGUUUUCUCCCUUCAAGAGUCUCGUUUUAAUUGAGCUAACCAGCAGUGGUUAAUUUAAGCAUAGUGGUAAUGUUUGAUUAAUCAUCUAGAAAUGGAUAAUUGAUUUGCACAUGUUUAGCUAUAUAUCAGGAUUCAGCCCCCCAAAGCAUCCAACAUAAUAAAUUGCUUAUAAAUGUUGACACAGCCUGGUUGGAUACCCAGCCUAAUGCAACAAUUGAUUCUGUACGACUAUGGGAAAUAAAUAAAUAUAGGCGGUGGUUCGCUGUCCCCUAAAAUGCGCAUGCAAUGGGGACGAGGAUGAUCAGGUUUAAUUAUUCUUGUUUCGUAUGCGUAAAUUGGCAGCUUAACAACUAAACAUAAUUGGCUGCCCACCAAUCAAAGCAGGUGAGGGCAGAAAUUUAGGUCGACUGUAUAACUGAAAGACAAAGUACAUCACUCACAAUCAAUACAACUAAUUUCGUAGAUUAAGGUAUAGUUAGAGUUUGUGGGUAUAGAUUUAAAUUUGUAAAUUUGAGCAUAAAAUAUUUUUAAACUUGUAUAUGUGGAGUACUGAUAAAGGUUUUGUAUGCAAAUUUUCAUCAAUCUCUUUAAAUUCUUGGUUUCUAAUGUAACACUAAUGAUAUAAGUAAUAAAUUAAAUUUAUUUAUUUAUAACAUAAAAUUUAAAAAAAAAACUUAUAAAACAUAUCCAAAUAAAAUAUAUCAACAAACUCAGAGUUAUAGUCAUACAAUUAUAAUAUUGUCAUAUAUUUUGGACUUGGAUUUUAAAUAAUAAGUAUUAUAUUUAUGUGGGUGAGAGUUUAUUUGAAUUUGGGUAUAAUAUAUUUGAGUUUGAAUUUAGAUAUAAAUAUUUUGAAUAUAUAAAAAAAUUAAUAAGGUUACACGUUUUAACCAUAAUCUCUCCAAUGGUCCAAAAUCAAAGUGAAUUUUUAAUCAUCAUCUUUUGCUUAUCCAUAGAAACAUAGACCACAGGUUUAAAUUUUAGGUUUAUAAAUUUAAUAAAAUAUUUUUAAUAUUGAAAACCUAAUGAAGAAAAUUAAAAAUAAUUGAAAUGUAAAUGUGAUAUAUAAUAAAUAAUAAAUAAUAAAUUAUAUUUUUAUUAGCUCAAAAGUUGUGUAUAGAAUAAUUACACGUUAGAUUAUAAUGUAAAGUUGCCAUAAUAAAUUAUAUUUUAAACUUGUUACUUAGAUUAUACUUGUAUUUUCUGAUUAGGUAGAUUAAGUCAUUCUUGGCUUUCAACCAUUUGACCUUUUUCAUUAUCUUCAACCUCGAUUUGCUAGUGCGUGGGCUCUAUUUGCAAAUCAAUGAAAACUUUUAGUAAAACUUUAGGGCUAGAAACCAAAGAUCAAUUUUUUUUAAAUAUAGAAUUUGUUCUUAAAAUAACUAUAUUUUGACAAAAUGUCGAUGUAAAGAAAUUUGUUAUUUGACCUAGCCCUUAGUCUCUAUUUAUAGUGAAAAUAACAAAAGUCUUAGUAAAAUAAAAAAUAGCCGAAUAAUGAUAUUUUAAUAGGAAAACAUGAUUACUACUAGGAGUGUGUUACAAGGGGCGGUGAAACCCUCUUUAGAACUUAGGGUUUGCUGCCCCUUCCCUUUAAAUCAAGCCUAUUAGGCCUCUUCAUGUAUUGAGUCAAUUAUAUGUGUUAUCUAGUCUUUAAAUCAAUUCAUAUAAUUUAGUCAAUCGCGAUAAAUGUAUUUCCUAUGCCCAAAAUACAAUUUAUUCAUUUAAUUAAUUAAAUUAAUUAAGUUAUUUCCUCAACCCAAUUCUGUUUUCGUUAAAAUCAUGACGAUUUUACCAUAUUAGAAUCUAUGAGCAAAUUAAUUUAAUUAACUUGUUCUCAUGAAACUACGAUGACUUAAUUAAUUUAAUCUCCACUUCGAACUUUAAUUAUUUAAUUACAAAUUAAAUAAUUAUUAGAAGAAAUUAAUUUAAUUCUUGAGUCAUCCUUUUUUUAUAGUGAAAAACAUAUUCAUUAUUUAUAGUGAUACAUGCAACCUAUUUCUCUUACUUCAUUGUUUCACAAAUUUUCAUUUCAUCAAUUAAUGCAAACCAUCAAGGUUAUAUCGAGUUAGGGGAGGGACCGAUUGGAUAUAUAAAGUUAGAGCUCAAAUAAUUUGUAAUUAAGUUACGACCCUACGUCUAUUAAUAACAAUGUUAUUUAGCCGUGGAGUUAUUCACAAUUUUUUAUUUCAUCAAUUAAUGCAAACCAUCAAGGUUAUAUCGAGCUAGUGAAGGGACCAAUUAAACAUAUAAAUUUGAGAUCAAAUAAUUUGUAAUUAAGGCUCAAACCUACGUCUAUUAAUUACAGCAUUAUUUAGUUAUGGAUUCAUUCCACUAAAGUGUAAUGAAUGAGUUCCCCCUUCCAACCCUCUAGCUCCACCAUUGAUCUUCCUUCAUGAAAUAUCAAUUACUAACACAUAGCAAUUAAAUAAUUCAUCUUAGGACAAAUGUCCCGUGGCCACAUUACUUUCCAUCUAUUAUGUAAUGUCAAUGAGAGGAUAUCAUUUACCUUUUAUUGGGAUAUGAAUUUCACUAGUGUAACUGAAGUUAUGUCAUGCAAAAGUCAAAUACCCAAGUAACAACUUUUGGCUCUAUUACCAAUUGAACUCAAGCUAUCAAUACAUCAAAGUAUAAGAGUCAUGCACACAUAGUUCAUCACUUACUCAAGAUUUAGGCAAGCCACAUUAUGAACAUCACAAAUGAAUAAUUCAAUAAACGGAUCUAGGAUUUAUUUUACUUGAGUCUUGUCCAAUGUACUAUCAGUCCAAUCAGUCACGUAUGUCUUUAUAUUCUAGGAGUCAUCCACUCUGAUGCCUAAGACGGGAUAUCUCUCCGUUUGGACUAAAUAGACGACAUAUUAUUCUUUUAACUAACCUGUUCAAUUUCAAUUAGACUAAGGACUUAUUUAGAUUAUCUAUUAAUACAAAAAGAUAUAUCUUCCUGUAUUACGAUCCGAACACGUAAUGCAACUUAGUGUUAGUUAAACACUAAGAUAAUCAAUGAGCAAUAUUUGUUUUCAUUUUGCUUUGUAUGUAAAAAUUGUUGAGGACAAUAUAUAAAAGAUAUUAAUGAAAAUAAUAGUUUUAUUUAUCAAUUUAUUUGAAAAAUUACAAGUACAUAAACAUAAUCACUACACUAAUGACAUUAGAUCCCAACACUUUUGGGGGUGAUUCACUACUUAAAUUUUAGACCUUCUAGUUCUCUUUGAAAAGGUUUUUGAAUUUCUUUAUUUCGUGCACUAUAGCUCGAGAUAUGAUCAUUUUCGUAAGGUAGUGUGAUUUCCUAUAGGAAGUUCAAGAUUAAUUGUUGGGUUUCGUUUGGGUUACUUUGGCUUGACUUUCUGAGAUCAUCUAACCACAUUUUGGGGUGAUUCUUGUGUUGAAAUUGUAGAUUGUCGAGUCUUCUUUGAAAGUUCAAGAUUAAUCGUUGUGUUUCACAAAGGUCAAUUGGACUUGACUUUCCAAAACCUUCAGACCACCUUUUGGGGUGAUACCUAUACCGAAAUUGUAGAUAUUCAAGUCCAUUUUGCAAUGAUUAUUGAAUCACUAGAUUUACAUAUAUGUAGCUCAGGAUAUGACCCUUUUCCAUAAAGAAGUGCAGUUCCCCGCAAACAGUUCAAGUUCAAUCACAAAUCAACUUCUCCAACUUGUUAAAUUAUACCAGAACACAACUAGGUACUAAUGUCAUUGGCCGCAGGUCGAAGCCCAUGAUGAAUGCACAGAAAAUGUCUUAUGAAUGUCAACUAAUUAAAUGGGGCUCAUUUGACUAAUUUGAAUUGGCUCGAUUCGUGAAACGUAUGAAGAAACUCAUCUACUUGAAGUCUUGGUGGCCCAGUGGAACACUCCAGUAAAACCUGAGUUGUCAUGAUUAAUAUUUGUAAUCCUAAGGGAUAAUAUUGUAUAGAGUUUAAAUCUCUUAGGACUCUUAUCUUGUAAAUAGGCUUUGAUCUUGACUGUCGAUGUAAUUUAAAUUGUACCGUUAGAUUUGGGGGGCUCAACUAUAAAUAGAGACAUUCUCCCUCAUUUGUAAUCACUCAAUUGUAUUCCUUCAAAGUAAUAAGAACAAUUAAAAAGUAUUUACUCAAACACUUGGUGUGCAUUACUUUUCUGUGGCUUUUCUAUUCGUUCAUAGCUUCUUUUUCUUUCGAGUAUACUUAUGCUUUAUUUUAGCGCCCUAGAGAAUCUCCUUUGUACUUUUGAUAGUAAGGUUAACUUAGGCAGAUUUGAAACAUAUGGAUCGCCUAAGGCCACUCGCUUUGCCAAACUAAUCUAGCCCCAUCACAUUAGAUGAUUGAUAUUCUAUUGUUUUUAACUAUUUGAGUUGAUCCUAGAUGCAUAAAAAAAAUUUAAAUUUUCACGGCGCACACGUUCCAUGUUUUCGAACUUUGGUCUCACCCACAUUGAUUUAGUUACUUACAUGGAUUAGAUCAUUUGAAACUCUCUCUUUUUGUGUAUGGAUUCGAUUGAUAGAGGGUGACAUUCUAGGAUCUUUUGCAUGUUAUCAAAAAUAUAUGUGAAUGAAUGUUGAUGAAUUAUAUAAUUGUUAUUAUGUAAUUUUGUCAUGGUUGUGGUACCUAAAAUUCGAACAAUAUUCUAAGAUCUUUUGCAUGUUAUUGAAAUACAUGUAAAUGGAUGUUGAUGAAUUAUAUAAUUGUUAUUAUGUAAUGUUAUCAAUGUUGUAGUUACAAAAAUUAGAAUAAUUGUAUUUAGGUUAGUUAUGAAACUAAACCGUAGACUAUCAUUUUCACGCAAGUAUUUUAGUUUAUUGCAAUUAGAAAGUCUUGUUAACUGAAAACACAUUAAGAAUCUUAUAACAAAACAGGAACUCUAAACUAUCUAGAAGAAAAUCUAGGCACCCUCCCUGGACUUGGAUGGUUAGAGGGAAAAUUCAAAUCUAAAGAAAGUGGUUAAAGAGAUGAACAAAACCUAUUGUCAUAUAUUGUUCGUGAGGAAGGUUUUCGGCUCUUCACUACCUGCUUCUAUUAUUUAAAUAUUGAUUAGAAUGCAAAUUUUUAGAAUGGUAGCCUGCCUUUGUCAUGCUCAACAAGAAGGUUGGACAUGAUGACUACUUGAGACACUCAAUUCAUUAAAAGCUUGUGUCAUGGAACGAGACUUUAGCUCCAGCCACAUGCGAUCUUAGGCUUAGUUUCUACAACAACAAGCCUCAGACAACGAGAAAGAAUUUGGGAGGAUCUGGAAGUAUAUUCGCUCAAGCACAAGAGAGAACAAUAAAGAAUUAAGUGGGGAAUGAACUAAAAGUCUUCCAAGUCAUUUCAACAACCUCUGGCUCAUUUUUCUCGUGUUUGCACUGUUUCGAACUCAUCGCGGGCAGACUGAGACACUCGCACAUGAUCUAAGCAAAUAUUCAGCAAGUUGGACACCAAAAAAGAUUGCUUGCAGGCGCUUUGCAUCCUUCAGAUCCCCUAGUUCAGUCUUCAGCACUUUUAGCAUCAAUUAAAUCCGCUUCUUUAAUAUGGUAUUAGAUUCUACUUUGCUUUAGCUAAUGCAUCAAAUAAACUUUAAUUAUGGCUUUUGUGUCCACCCUCUAAAAAAAAAAAAGAAAUUUGACUUGUAUUGCGGUUUUCAAAAUAAAUGAUCUCAUUUGUGGUUGACAUGCUGCUCAUUGAGAAUUUUAAAAUUCAAUUAGUAUCCAGUAUACUAUAGACUAAUAUCAAGAAUACUUCAACUUAGCCUAAAUCUACAUUCAGCUGAACAAAGGGAUGCACAAACAACGCAUUCAUUCAGAAAAAUCCAUGCUUAAAAACAGCAAAAACAAUCAUGUUGAAAUGGAGUUUCAUAAUGUUGAAAUGGAGUUUCAUAUUUCAUCCCAUUAUGCUUACAAUCUUCCUUCACAAUCACUUUAUUGAAACCGAAGAAAUUAACAAAAGACAUUUGGAACAACAUCUGCAACAGCAAGCCUGUAAUCAGAUAAUCUUCCUGUGCCUAAACACAAUCCGGGAGUCACUGAAGUGGAAAACAAGUUUCUUUCAUGUCACUCUGCACUCUUAGGACAUGAAUAUAAAUAUACCCAAACAUAAACUAAAAGCACCAAUGAAAUUAGCAACAGACAAAUUAAAAAAUGCCGGCAAAGCAAAUGAAUGCUAAAAUCCUAAGGCCUCCUAACAAAGUAACAAGGAUAGGCGAAUAGAAAAAUCAAGGAAAAAAUAUCUAAUAAUAAUGCUAGUUCUCGGUUUUUCUCUCCUCUUUUAUUGUAUCAAUCCUUGAACCUUGUGGAUACACAUGCAAAUGAAAUCAAUUACAUGCCAUUAUGACAGAGACAGGCCAUAAUUCCUUAAAGUUAUGUAGACUUGGAGCACAAAAUAUAUAGGCAUAAAUAAAGUAACAAUGAAUUGGAGUUUCAUAGUAACUCCGAGUAGAGGAAAAAGAAUCAAGUUUUCAAGCAUCAAGAAUAAAUGACCUCCCUCUUAGUUGUGUUCGAUUAACCUCUUAUAAAUGCAAAAUAUGCAAAAUCAAAACUCAACAAAUCAUACUAAGCAGAAAGAAAAACUGUACCUAAUGCUUAUCUCCAUGACCGUGAGAAUGAUCAUCAUGGCCCUCCCAAGGGUGUCGCCAACCCUAAGAGCGACAAAGUCAGUCCGGGAAUGAAAGCAAGUUACUUCAGAUAAGGAUUGAUUAUGAAGGCAACUGAAAAGAGGAACUUCUUACCAAUACAACAGGACCAUCUUGCUUAGCCCUGUACAAGACCCAAAACCUGAAACACCAGAUUCAAGGAACUUCAAAAAAUCCAUCAGCAUUGCAAUCUAAUCUUUAUUAAUGUUUGCAAGCAACCUGACUUAUAUCAUCUAUGAAUCACAAGGAUAAUACAGUGACAAUGUACACGGCCAUCAGUAUCCAUGAUCGUUAAUGGAAAAGCUUGCAGAUAAUAAUUCUAAAACAUAAAACCUUCGAGCAUCAACUAAUUUGAUCCAAAUUCAAGCCUUCACUGCACAUCUUUCAAACUAAACCCCCAAUUUUUUUAUAAAUUAAAUUUCCACUUUCAAGGCGUAUCCAUGAAUUCUUUUUACAGAUAUGCUAAUUGAAAUUGCACCAAAUUCCCAAAUGUCUUGGCACAACAGAAUCACUAGAUAAACUAAAUCCAAUAAACGUCAGAUUGGUAACAAAUCAGGAUACCGAUUAAUUCAAACAAAAAGGAAAAAUAAAAAUUACCACAUAACGGCACACAAGCCUUUGCCGGUGACAACAUGCCAUCGCUUUGGAUGAUGCAAAGUUAGACCUUUGUAAGUUGUACUCUCUCCAUGGCCUCCUCCCAUCUCUCCCUGUAACCAAACCCUAAACACCAGAAAUGUUCCCAAGUGUUCGAAGGUGGAUUAAUCACUUGCCGGUUGCUUAGAUUUAAACCGAUCCUGAACCGUUGGAUGCGAAUUUGACCAACUGAAGGUGUGGUUCCCAUAUGUGCUGGUUUCUUUUCGUUGUACCAGGCCUUUUUCACGAAAUCGGCUAAGCCCAAGCCAUUGAUCCAUAAAUCUGAGAGUUGAUGUAUUACAGGGAUUAGAUGGUUGUAUUAUUAAAUGAAUCAAAUUAGUCCUAUAUUAUUAAAAAGUAUCAAAUAGAUUUAACAUUUAAUGUAUAAAAAAUGGUCUUUGAAAAUUAUUUUUUCAAUUGUAAUUUAAUUCUAAACAGAAUAUUUUAUUUACAAAACCAUAAAACUUUUAAAAAUAUUAGCUAUGCUGAAUAGUAAAUGAUACUUUUUUAAAAUAGUAUAUGUUAAAUCUAUUCUAAUUUAGUUUUAGUCAAUUUUUUAAUAGUAUAAGGACUAAAUUAAUUUAUUUAAUUAUAAAAAAUAUUAAUUUAAUCAGAUUUUUAUAAUAGAGGACCUCCCCAUUUCACUAAAGGAGAGGAAAACAAAAUUCAUUUCACCCCUUUCACUUGUAGUUUAGUUUAUUUAAUUCUUAAAAUUGUAGAUUGUUUUUUAAUAUUUAUUUAUUUUAAUUUUAAUAUAAUUUAUAUAUUUUAAAUUAUUAUUAAUUAGCACAAAAUAUAGUUUUAAUUAUUUAAUUUAGAUUUUUAUUAUAUUUUAAUUUUACUUACCAAAUAUAUACUUUUUAUUUUAUAUUUCAUUAAUUAAUAUACAUAUAUUUUUAAUGAUUUUAAAUUAUUUAUUAUAUAUAAACACAGUUUAAUUUAAAUAUCUUUAAUGGUUAUUUUCUAUUCUUGUCUCUAUUGUUAUGUUUUGAAUUUAAAUAUAGCUAUUGCCCUUGGUAAAUUUACCGAAGAUGAAAAUGAUUUAUUUGAUAUUAUGUAUGACUGGUUAUGUAGGGACCUUUUCGUUUUUGUAGGUUGGUCCGCCCUAUUGCUCUUUCCCUAUUCCUAUUUCGUUUUAGGGGGUUGGUUUAUAGGUACAACCUUUAUAACUUCAUGGUAUAUUCAUGGAUUGACCAGCUCCUAUUUGGAAGGUUGCAAUUUUUUAACCGCCGCAGUUUCUACCCCUGCUAGUAGUUUAGCACAUUCUUCGUUGUUACUAUGGGGUCCUAAAGCACAAGGAGAUUUUACUUUUUGGUGUCAAUUAGGUGGUCCGUGGACAUUUGUUGCUCUCCACAGUGCUUUCGAACUAAUAGUAUUUAUGUUACAUUAAUUUGCACUUGCGUGAUCUGUCCAAUUGCAACCUUAUAACGUAACUGCAUUCUCUGGUCCAACUACAUGCACAAUAUUUUGGAAUCUACAUCAUGUUUUUGAAAACGUAAGAAUUCAAAGUAUCUUGGUCCUUUCUUAUGAGUUGAUCCCGAAGGAAAUUAAUUAGAAAUUUUUUGGUAAAUCGUUAAUUUAUUUAAUAUUUAACUAUAUUUAUUUAUAAGUUUACUAGAUUGAAAUUUUAUGAUGUAUAAAAAUUUAUAGACCCCAUGUUACAUUCAGUAAAAAUUUAUGAUACAAGUAUUGGGUGUACUCAACGUGUCUAAGCCUGCUCCACCGAUGUGUUAGAAAUGAUUCCUUGCAAUGGAUGUAAAGCUAAGUAGAUUGCUUCCACAGUCUAACUACUUAAUUGAUUAAUUUCUUUACCACCACUAUUUUCAAUCUUAACAAAGUCAUUUCAUUGUCAUAUAAGUAGAAAAUGUAUGUAUUUUGAAUAUUGAUAGGUUGUAACACCCCUCACCAGUAUUCAAUGCCGGAAUAGGGUUACAGAGUAUUAUUGAACUUAUAAAACAAUUAAAAAUUCAUUUAGCAUACAUUUUCACAAUUCAUGCAUUCAUCAUUCAAUCUCAAUCAAUUUGUCCCUACUACGAGACUUCGAGGCCCUACCUUAUAUCCAAAGUACUAAUAUCAUGGCCCGAAGCCAAAUCAGUCGAUAUUCACGACCGGAAGCCAAAUCGGUAUAACUCGCACCCAAAGUACUAAUAUCAUGGCCCGAAGCCAACUCAAUGUAUCCCCUAAUGACAUGUCACUAGUAUCCUAAACUAUUCCUAAGGUUCAACUGGGAUUUCGAAUGCCGAAUUGCCAUUAAGUCAUGUCAAACUUAUCUGAAGUCUCGUAUUCAAAAUUUAUACAAUAUCAAGCAUUUAAAAUACACUUAUAAUGAAAUUUAUCACUUACGAACUUACCUCGAAUGUGAAAACGAUGAAAUAAGUCGAUUAGUCGAUAACUUUAGUUUUCCCCCGAUCUAGAUUUGAAUUCCGCUUUUCUUGAUCUAAAUAUAUUUAAAAUUAACUUAUUUAAUAAUAUCUCUAUUCAAUUUAAUCCAAAACACACAUUUAAGCAUGUUUACACAUUUUCCCCUAAUGUUUCACUACUUUUACAAUUUACUCCUUAUUUCAUAAAAUCACAAAUUAAUGAAAUUAAAAAUAAACCCAUGCUAGCCGAAUUACUAUUAUGCCUCUAGCAGCCCAUAUUUUUCAUUUAUUUCACAUUUUAACCACAAAGUUUCAGCAUUUCUCAAUUUAAUCCCUAUUUUGCAUUUUCACUAAAAAUCACUUAACAAAACUUGUAUAUUUCACAACAAACAUUCAUAAUCUAUCAUCAAACAUCAAAAAACUCAUGUAUUCAUCAAUGACAUCAUUCAAACUCUUUAACAAUUUUGCAAAAUAGCCCUGGGCUAGCUAGACCUAGUUGUAACGAACUCAAAAACAUAGAAAUCAUUAAAAACGAAAUAAAAAUGGACUUACAAUUGAGUAUCAAAGUAACCGAAAGUUUCAAGCCCUAAAAUGGGUUUUCUUCAUGCUUCAUUCGGCCAACGAAGAUGAUUAUAAAAUAAAUUUUUUUGUUUUAUUUAAUUAACCUUAAUUGAUAAAUUACUAAAUUAACUUUAAUGAUAAAACAUUUAUAUCAUCUAUUUCAUGUCCAUUAUGGACCACUUACUUUAAUAAUGGUCCAUUUAUCACUUAAGGACUUCCACAUUUAAUAUUCAUAGUCAUUUAGUGCAUUAAAAAAUAGAAUUCAACUUUUACACUUUACGCGAUUUAAUCAUUUUUACCAAAUUAAUCAAUCAAACGAUAAAAUUCCUUAACGAAAUUUUCAUACAACUAUAAUAUCAUGCCAUAGACAUUAAAAUGAUAAUAAAAUAAUUAUUUUAACCUCAGAUUUUUUGUCCCAAAACCAUUAUUCUGAUUUGACUAAAAACGGGUUGUUACAACUCUCUCCCUUAAGGAUUUUCGUCCCUAAAAAUCUUACCAGUGAAUACGUUAGGGUAUUAUUUUCUCAUAGCUUCCUCGAGCUCCCACGUAGCCUCUUCGACACCGUGACAUUGCCUCAAGACUUUCACUAAAGCUAUGCGUUUAUUUCUCAGCUCUUUAAUCUCUCGAGCCAAAAUUCUGAUCAGUUCUUCGUUGUAUGUCAUAUCGGGUUGAAUUUCGAUCUCUGACGGAGAAAUCACAUGUAAUGGAUCAGAUCUAUAUUGGCACAACAUCAAUACAUGAAACACGUUAUGGAUUUUCUCUAACUCAGUCAGUAAAGCUAGCCGAUAUGCCACUGGUCCUAUUCUUUCAAUGAUCUCAUAUGGUCUGGUGAAGCGUGGACUCAAUUUGCCUUUGUAACCAAAUCAUAGUAUUUUCUUCCACGGAGACAUUUUCAAAAUACUUUAUCACCGAUUUGAAAUUCAAUGUCUUUCCGUUUCAAAUCUGUGUACGAUUUCAUCGAUCUAAAGCUACUUUCAAACUGUCGCAGAUUACUUUCACUUUUUCUUCUGUUUCUCAGAUCAAUUCAACCUCGUGAAUCUUUUUCUUACUCAACUCUAUCAAAUACAAUGGAGUUCAGAAUUUGCGACCAUACAAAGCUUCAUAUGGUGCCAUUUUAAUACUUUAUUGAAAGCUGUUGUUAUACACGAAUUCAACCAACAACAAAUAUAUCUCUCAGUUGCUUUCGAACUCUAAAACACAACAGCGAAGCAUAUCUUUGAGAAUUUGAAUUACUCUCUUGGACUGACCGUUAGUUUAUGGAUGAAAUGCAGUACUAAAGUUUAACUUCGUACCCAGAGCUUCUUGCAAUUUCUUCCAAAAUCACAAUGUAAAUCUCAGAUCUCUAUCCGAAAUAAUCGAAAUUGGUACCCCGUGCAAUCUAACAAUCUCAGCAAUGUACAAUUUAGCUAAUCUAUCGAAUGAAUAGUCUAUACGUACUAGUAUAAAAUGCGUCGAUUUCAUCAAUCUAUCAACUAUAACCCAAACAACAUCUUUCUUUUUUAGAGUCAGGGGUAACCCCGAUACGAAAUCCAUCGUAACUUUAUUCCAUUUCCACUUAGGUAUCAUUACUGGUUGCAGUAGUCCCAAAGGCACUUGAUGUUUGGCUUUCACUUGUUGAUAGAUUAAACAUCUCGACACAAACUCUGAAAUAUCUCGUUUCAUGCCCGACUACCAAUAUAACUAUUUCAAAUCAUUGUACAUCUUAGUACUUCCAGGAUAAACGGAUAAAAAACCACUAUAUGCCUCGUGUAAAAUUUUCUGAAUCAACUCUGGAUUUUUCAAUACACAGAUUCUACCUAGGAACAUCAGACAAUCAUCGGCUCUAAUUUGGUACUCUAAAUCACUAGUUGACUCGCAUUGCAUUCUUUUAGCUUGCAAUUUACUAUCACAUUUCUAACCUUCGCAAAUUUGCUGAAGAAAUACUGGUUUAGCCUUUAACUCAGCUAAAAUCGAAACAUCAUCAGAUAACGUUAACUGAGUAUUUAUUAUUCUCAAAGCAAACAACGAUUUUCUACUCAAAGAAUCAACGACUAUAUUAACUUUUCCCGGAUGAUAAUUAAUUACUAAUUCAUAGUCUUUUAGUAGCUCAAGCCAUUUCCGUUGUCGCAAAUUUAAAUCUUUUUGAGUUAUAAUAUACUUUAAACUUUUAUGAUCAGUGAAGAUGUGCCAUUUUUCACUGUACAAAUGAUGACACAAAAUUUUCAAUGUGAAAAAAAUAGCAGCCAACUCUAAAUCGUGCGUCGGGUAAUUCUUUUUAUACGGUUUCAACUGUCUCGAGACAUAAGCUAUCACUUUUCCCUCUUGCAUCAACACACAACCUAACUCGUUUAAUGACUUGUCACUAUAAAUCACAAACUCUUUACCCGACUCAGGUUGAACCAAAACUGGUGCUUUGGUUAGCAAUUCUUUCAAUUGUUCAAAACUCUUUUGUCAUUUUUUAGACCACUCAAAUUUUACAUCUUUUAGUAGUAACCUGGUCAUCGGUGUAACAAUCAUUGAGAACCCUUUUACAAAACAUCGAUAGUAACCAGCUAACCCCAAAAAGCUUCUGACUUCGGAUACAUUUCCCGGUGGUUUCCAAUCAACAACUGCUGAAAUCUUACUCGAAUCAACUUUUAUACCUUCCGCGGAAACAAUGUGCCCCAAAAAAUUUGACUUCUCUGAGCCAAAACUCACAUUUGCUGAAUUUAGCAAAUAGUUAAUUGUCUCUUAAAGUUUGCAACACAAUCCUCAAAUGCUUGGCAUGCUCAGACUUAUCUCGAGAAUAGAUCAGAAUGUCGCCAAUGAAUACAACAACAAAUCUAUCUAAAUACGAUUUAAAGAUCCUAUUCAUCAAAUCCAUAAAGACUGCAGGAGUAUUAGUUAAUCCAAAAGGCAUAACAAGGAAUUCAUAAUGUCCAUACCUCAUUCUAAAUGCAGUUUUCGACACAUCUAAGUCUUUAACUCUCAACUAAUAAUAACCCAAUCUCAAAUCAAUCUUCGAAAACACUAUUGCCUCUUUUAACUGGUCAAAAAAAUCAUCAAUUCUCGGCAAAUGAUACUUGUUCUUUAUCUUAACCUUAUUGAGCUAUCGAUAGUCAAUACACAUUCUCAUUGAUCCAUCUUUUUUCUUUAUGAACAAUACUGGCGCACCUAAGGUAAAAAACUAGGUCGUGCAAAACCUCUAUCUGUUAACUCUUGCAACUGAGAUUUCAACUCUUUCAAUUCUAUCAGAACCAUUUUGUACUGAGCUAUGGAUAUCGGUGAAGUUCCUAGUACUAACUCGAUAGCAAACUCAACCUCUCUGAUCGGUGGUAAUCUAGGAAAAUCUUCUGGAAACACAUCCAGAAACUUACAAACUAUCGACACUGAUUCAAUCUUCGAUUCAGACACUCUUGUAUCCAGUAUAUAAGCAAGAUAAGCUUCACAACCUUUUCUCACAUAUCUCUAAGCUGACACAGACAAAAUCACAGCAGGCAAUCCAUUCGAUUCAUCUUAUUCAAUUCGAAGAAUUUCACUGUUCUGACAUUUCAAUUCAAUGAUUUUCUGUUUACAAUUCACAAUGACAUCAUGCAGAGUCAACCAAUCCAUUCCCAGAAUCACAUCGAACUCAUCAAACAGAAAAAGCAUCAAUUCAACCGGAAAACAGUAACCUCGAGUCAUUAAAGGACAGUUCUUGCAUAUUUUAAUCAACUAGAACAUACUUGCCUAAGGGAUUCGAUAUUUUAAUCACAAAUUUAGUAGACUCAACAGGCAAACUCUUACUAAACACUAAAUUCAUACAAAUAUACAAAUGAGUCAAUCUAGGAUCAAUCAAUGCAGUUACAUUAGUGUUAUAAAGAGAAAAUGUAUCGAUGAUAACAUCAGAUGAUGACGCUUCUUUGCGAGCGCGAAUAACGUAAGCUCUAGUUGCUACUCUAGUAUCGGAUCUCACAGCUGAAUCUCUAGUUACAUCUUUUCCACUAGACACAUUCCCCAUAUUUCUCGGGGGCCUCCAUCUCGCAGUCGUACUGCUCGGUCUUAUAUUCUGAAAUUUAUCUCUCUCAGAUAACUCUGGGCAAUCUUGAAUAAAAUGAUCUGGCGAUCCACGUAUGAAACAAGCUUUAUUACUUUUAUUCCAGCAUUCUCCAAAAUGUCGUCUCCCACAAUGUUGACACUCAGGUUGAUUGUUUCUUAUACUGCCAACGCUUGAGAUGGAAGUUGCUUGAGCUUUAGGACUCACAUAUUGUAACAGCCUGGUUUUAGCUAAAUCGGAAUAGUGGUUUUGAGACCAUAUAUACGAGGUCAAAAAAUUAUUUUAAUAUUAUUUUUUGUGUUUAUAUAAUGUGAUUAUAUAUGUGUGAAAAUUUCGUGAGCUAAUUUUAUCGUUUAAUAACUCAAUUUGAGAAAAAUGACUAAAUCGCGUAAAAUGCAAAAGUGAUAUUUUAUAUGUUAAAUGUGUUUAAUUGCUAUGGUUGAUUAAAUGUGAGGUUCUUAUGUUGAUAUUAGACUAUUUAUAGUGGAAUUUUACAUAAAUGGUCAUUAAUUGAAUGUUUUAAAUGGUUUUUAAUUACGACUAAUUUGGUAAUUUGGUUAUUAACGUUAAUAUUAAUAAAACAAAUAAAAAAUAAACCUUAUUAUCAUCUUCCACCACUAAUUAAUGAAGAAUGAGAAGUUUUUUUUGGUGUUUUAGGUUUUGGCUAGCAUAUAACUUGAUUAAGGUAUGUUUUGAGCUCGGUUUUUGACGAUUUCUAUGUUUUGUAAUCGUUGCUUUGUGUUCUAGCUAGCCCUUACCCUAAUUUUUGAAUUUUUUAAUGAUUUUGUAAAAUUCCAUUGAUGAUCUCUUGAGUUUUUUGAAUGUUGAUGAUGGAAAAUGAAUAAUUGUUGAUAGAUUUUAAUGUUUUGUAAAGUGAUUUUUGACAAAAAUGUCAAAUAAGGAUUAAAUUGUGAAAUUUGCAAAUUGAAGAGUUGAAAUAUGAAAUAAAUGAAAGUUUUGGGCUGCUAAGGGUCCCUAUGAAAUUCGGCUAGCAUGUAAUUGGAUUUAAUUGUGGGAAUUUUAUGUAUUUUUUAAAUAGAGACUAAAUUGUAAGAAAUGUGAAAGUUUAGGGUCAAAGUGCAAAUUGGCUAAAAUAUGUGUUUGUGGAUGAAAUUGAUUGAGUUGAUGAUUAAAUGGGUUAAUUUUGAAUACAAAUAGAUUAAGAAAGAAAGAAUUCGAAUUUAGAUCUAGGAAAAUUGAAGUUUAUUGAGUAAUCGAUCCGAUUCGUCAAUUCUAAGUAGGAGGUAAGUUCGUAUGUGGCAAUUUCAUUUUAAAUGCAUGUUAAAUUCUUUGACAUCGCAUAAACUAUGAUAAUGAGAUUACAGAUAGUGUUGAAUAGUGAAAAUGACUCUACGAAUGCAUUCGAUGAUAGAAACGAGAGGUGUGAAAGCUCGGUUGAACCUUAGGAAUAGAAUUGGAUAUUUGUGAAAUGUUAUAAGUUGAUUUGGCUUCGAGCCAUGCAUAUCAGAUGAGUUGGCUUCACGCCACGAUAUCGGCACUUCAGGUGCAAAUAAUACCUUGAUUUGGCUAUGGGCUAUGGUAUAGCUACUCUGAGAUAAGUUACCUUGAUUUGGUUAUGGGCCAUGGUAUAGGUACUUAUUGAUUGAUAUCUGAGUAUCUGACUUUUAAUCCAAAUGGUUCAACAGGUAAUGAAUGAUGUAGUUGAGAAAAAGGUUAGUACGAGGUGGUAUAGCUACGUACGGAACUUAUUCAAAUAUUACAUUGAGAAAGUUCAAUGAGAUUAUAUUGGAUCAUGUUUAAGACAUGACAAAGGUUUGUAGUUAAUGUGAUUUUGAUUUGGUAAUGUGAAAAUGGUUGAAUUACAUUUAUUUGAUAAAUUGAGUUAAUCACUUACGAGCUUACUAAGCUAUGAAGCUUACUAUGUGUUAUUUGUCUAUGUUUUAUAGAUUAUCGAAGCUAGCUUGGACUCGGGGAUCGUCGGGAAACGUCAUUACACUAUUGAACAUUUUGUUGGUACUUUUGAAGCUUAGUAUAUAUGGUAUAUGACAUGUAUUGGCUAGUGUCAUUAUGGUACAUUUUGUGUAAUGAAAUUCUAGCCAUGUGAUUUGGCUUGUAUUUGGUAAAGUUGUGGGAUGUGAAUUUUACUUAUUGAAUGUGUUUAUAUAUGCUAUGUAAUGUGAAUGGUAUGCCUUGUCAAUUUAGCCUAGUAUGGUAUGAGAAUAAGGUAUUGAAUUGGUGGUAUUUUGAAAUUUGAAUUAGAUGAUAAGAUGAUGAGUAAAUGCAUUUGGAACUUAUGUAAGUUUUAAUGAUUUUGGCAUAAUGAUUUGGUAUGUUUUGAAUAUGAAAUUUAGUAGUUGAAAUGAUUGAGGAUAGUUUGCAUGAAUUGGCAUAUUUUGUCUACCUAUAAAUGUAAUGAAAUAGGACUAUUUUGGUUGCUAGGUGUGCAUGAGAAAAGGGUGGCAAAUUGGCUUGGCAAAUGGCCUAUUUUUGUCCACACUGGCAGAGACACGGGCGUGUGUCUCAGCCAUGUGCAACACACAGUCACGUUACACGGCCGUAUGUCCCCUAGGUUCCCUUUCGAAUUAAGUCAAUAUACCCUACAGGUUUAGCACGGCCUAGACACACGGGCUGGCACAUGGGCAUGUGGUUGACCGUGUGACACAAGUCAGUAACCCCUCUAAUUUUCCCACUGUCAUGGCACACGGGCGUGUCCGGCCGUAUGAUGCUAGUCAGUAUGUAUGCCCUAUUUUCACACAGCCUAUGACACGAGCGUGUCUGGUGGCUGUGUGAGGCACAUGGCCUGUUCACACGGGCGUGUAACUCUUAAAUGCAAGAAAAUUUUCUAUGUUUCCUGAAGUUUGCUAAUGUUAUUAGUUUCAUCCCGAACUUCUUUUAAGCAUGUUUUAAGGUCUCGUAGGGCCUUAUAAGGGACAAUGUGAAUGUGUUGAAUGAAAUUUUAUUAUGAAUGCAUAUAUGUAUGAUUUAUGUUGUAAUAGAUAGGUAAUGCCUCGUAACCCUAUUCCGGCUAUGGAUACGGGUUAAGGGUGUUACACAUGUUGAUUUCCACGAUCUCUAUUAUGGUAUCCCACAGAUGCAUUUGAUCGACUAUACGAAUCUCGAGAUUUCUUUGAUGAAGAAUGAUAAGGUUUAUUCGUCGGUCUUUUUCUCGAAUAUCUAGCCCAUGAAUCAGCUUUCAUCUUUUCUAGGCUAAAGCCUUUGGCUUUACAAGCCUGGUCAACUAGUACAACAAAUUCUUUCAAAUCUAAAAUCCCGACCAGAAGUUUAAUGUCUUCAUUCAAACCGUUAACAAACCGCUUGCACAUGAUCUCUUCGGUAGAAACAUACUCUCGAGCAUAUUUACUCAACCGCACAAAUUCUAAAAACUCUUUGUGUUUUUUAUCUAGAAACUGUUGGCUUAUAUAUUUCUUCCUAAACUCAGUUUGAAAGAAUUCUCAGGUGACUCGUUCUCUAGGUACCACAUAUACUAAUGUAUUCUACCAUUGAUACACGACAUCUCUCAAUAAUGAAAUGGCACACUUUAAACUCUUAGCUGGAGUACAUAACAGUUCAUCACAUACCCGAAUAGUGUUUUCAAGCCAAAAUUCAACUCUCUCGGGAUCGUCAUCCACGGUAGCUCUUAACUUCUCAGCCCUGUACUUACGGAUUUUAUCAACUGGAGGCUUAUUUAAUCGUGGAAAUUCCACAACUUAAGGGGCUAUAGGGAUCGGUUGAGGAUUAGGUUAGGGUGGAGGUUGUUGAGCAGCAGGAUUUGUCCGGACAUACUGUGUGAACCUUUCGUUCAUCAUUUGGAAGAAGGCUUCUUUAGCCUCUCCUCCUUGGCUACCCGAUACGAGUCUAGAUUCUGAAGACACUGUCCCUCGAGCGGGAGCUGGCGCAUUACUUUUAACCUCAUCAACUACAACUCGAUUAAGAUCCAUUUACUAUACGAAAACACAUUUUAAAAUGUCAGGAGUCAUCACGCUAUCACAAUUUAUAUAUGGCAUGUAUAGCUAAACUCUCACAUACACUACGUUAGUCCUAGAAUCGACUAAACCGUAACUCUGAUACCAAUAAAUGUAACACCCAUCACCCGUAUUCAAUGCCGAGAUAGGGCUACAAAGUAUUACCGAACUUAUAAAAUAAUUAAAAAUUCAUUUAGCAUAUAUUUUCACAAUUUAUGCAUUCAUAAUUAAAUCUCAAUCAAUUUAUCCCUAAUACGAGCCUUCGAGGCCCUAAACAUGCUUUGGGAAUGGUUCGAGACUAAACCAAUAACUUAAGAAACUUUCAUGAAACCUAGAAAAUUUUUCUCAAAACAGAAGACACACGCCCGUGUGGUCCGCCCGUGUGUCUCACACGGCCACCAGACACGCCCGUGUCACAAGUCGUGUGGACAUUCGAAAUGGAAGCACAUGGCCGUGUCCCAGCCCAUGUCUGACCCCGUGUAACUCUCUAACUUGGGUCACAUGGCCAAUACACACGUCCGUGUGCCUUAAAAAUGACCAUACACGCCCGUGUGCCAGCCUGUGUGCUAGGCGGUGUAAUAGCCCAAAUUUCAACGAUGUCGGAAAUAGUGGUUCGAGACCACCAAAUCCAAAAAAUGAACUCAUAGAUUAUAUUAUUUAAUAUUUAUGAGCCAAAUGUAGCUUUUAAAAUAUUUUUGAAAUAGUAAAUUAUAUUUUAUAAAGAUUUAUUUGGUCAAGAAAUUGAUAAAAAAAAUUAUCGAGAUCUCGGUGUUAUAAACCAAGCCAUAAAUAUUUUUAUAAAUAUUUAAAGAGUGUCAAUAAGGUAGUAUUAAAAUUUUGUUAGAAAAUUUUGACAUUUGGGUGAUUAGUUAAAUAAAAAGGACUAAAUUGAAAAAAAGUGUAAAAGUUGCUAGAAGGAUUAAAUAGCUCAAUUGUCAAAUGAGGAAGGACCUAAAGUGCAAAUAAUCCCAAAGGAGAUAUUUUGGCCAGCAAUAGCUGAGAAAAAUCAGGAAAUGGGUGAAAUAAGGGCAAAAUUGGAAAAUUGACAAAAUUAGCUAAAUAAAAAUGGGACCAAAUUGGAAUAUCUAGAAUUCUCUUCAUUUUCUCUUCAUUUUCAUCAGCUGAAAAAUAGCCAUGAAAGAGGGUUCAAGUUGGUUUUCAUACUCUAACUUCAUGUAAGUUUAAUUCUUACUUUCUCCUUGAAAUUUCUAAGAUUUUGGACUUUUACAAUUGGGUCCAACUUACUAUGUCAUUAGUUUUUGAUUCCAUGGCUAAUUUUUAAAGUUGCUAUGGAUGAGUGCUAGAAGCGAUGAUGAAUAAAUAUAGAAUUGAAGCUUUAAUUUUGAUAUAUGAUGAUUUUAUCAAGUAAAAUUGAUGGAAAUUGAUUUUAAGACCUAAUUAUGAAAGAGUUUGGAAUUAAGGUCUAGUGCUAAAGUUCUAAUUUUCAGGGGUUAUGAAGUAGUUUAAAAUGAUAGACUAAAGUAUUAAUUGAUAAAAAUUAGCUCAAUUUAGGGGUUAAUUGAGCAAGGACUGAAUUGUAUGAACUGUAAAAUUUGGGGUAAAAUGGAAAUCAACAUUUUGCAUUAAAAUUGUUUUGGACAGCAGCAAUAGUCUAAUUUUGAAAAAUCACCAAAAAUUGUAAAAAUCGAAUGAGAGAAUGAAUAAAUAUGAAAUUAAAGCUUAUUGAGCCUAGUUUCUUAUAGAAGAAAUGAUGUAAGCAAUGGGAUUGUAAAUCAUGAGAUAUAAUAAAUUUUGUGAGAUAAGGUCAGAAUGAUUUUGGGUUCCUCUAUUCUGACUUUGGAAAAUCAUCAAAAAUUGAAAAAGAAAAUUAGGGCUUAAGUUCAUAUUUUUAUAAUCCUGAAUGAGUUUAUUUUCAAGAAAAACAAACAGGAAAAGUAUUCGAAUCUUGUACAAGGAGAUAACUAAUUUUUAGUGAAGAAGGGUCGGAACUAUCAGACAGUAGAAUAGGGGUGAUUUUAAAGAAUAAAAUGUACUUAUUGGCUAAACCAAAAAUUCUAAAAAAAAUUUGGUAAUAAGAUAUGCAAGUCUAGUUUCAGGGAAAAUUAGCGGAUCUUAAUUUGGAGCUCUAUAGCUCAAGUUAAAAAUAAUUUAGUGACUAUGACACGGAUGGACAGCUUUGGAAUAUAAAUAUAAGUAAAUAGUGAAAUUAUAGAUAAUGUUACUUAUAAGCGUGUUAUAUACAUUAAGGAUGUGGAAUGGAGAGGAGGAGGAGGAAAAUAUGUGAGUGACUUAUGCAUAAAUCAAUUACAUGCUCGAUUAUAUUUGGUAAAUGUUAAACUUUCUUAAAAUGAAAAAUGUUAUAAAUUCAUGUUUGAAUUAAAUGUUAUAAAUGUUAAAGAAUAAUUUGAAUAUUUGAUAUUGCCUAAUAAAUGAAUAUCCGAUAUUGCUUAGUAAAUGUUAAGCCAAAUAUAAAAAAAAAUAUGUUAUAAGUGAAACAUGUGUGAAAGAAUGUGGUAAGUAUUUUCAUGGUUAUUAUUGAGCUCAUUCACAUGAAUCUGUCAUUUGAAAUUGUGAUAGACAGGAAGAAAUAGUGAAUGGCAUGCUUAUGUAUGGUUAUAUGUAUUUAUCUAAAACACAAGAAAAUGAUGGCUAUAUUUUUUAUAUAUGGAGACAGGAGACAUGAGACUAUGAUAUAUGAACAUGGAAUAUAUUUUAUAAAUGUGUUCAUUCAUAAUUAUAGAAUCCUGCAACUCAAGUGUACUAUUUGUAUAAUGAUAGUAUUUCAAAUGAUUUGAUGAGUAAAGCUCCAAUGUGAGAUAGUCUGAAAUCAAGACAAAUUGUUAUGAAAGUGUAUUUAAAAUACAUAGAUAUGAUUGUUAUAAGUUAUGUGAGUAAAUGAUGUGUAAAAGUAUAUGCAUAUGAGAAAUUUAAUGAAAGUUGAGCCCAUACAUGUUUCUUGAUAUUUAUAUGAAUUAUAUGACUAACAAUGUGAUAAGAAUAGGCAUUAGGGCUCAUGAUCAAUUCGAAUAAUUAUGCUUUGCAUAAUUAUGUUGAAUAUAGAGAAGCGAUAAGUUAAUUACCAUGUUAUACGAAUUUAUUAAAUAUUACAUGUUUACUUUGUUUUACUUUUUCCCCUAAUUAAUAAUGAUUCGAUAAGCUCCGAUAAUGCCUCGUACCCUAUUUCAAUGACGGAUACGGGUAGGGGGUUCUAUAGGCCGUGCCAAACCUGUAGGGUAUACUAACUUAUGCCACACGGCCAAGUCACACACCCGUGUGUGAGGCCAUAUGGAGCAUACUAACUUGAUUUUAAUUUCAACACCAGGGAACACAUGGCCGUGUAACAUAACCGUGCGUCACACACGGCUGAGACACACAUCCAUGUCUCUGCCCGUGUGGACAAAAAAAUAGGGCAUUUACCAAGCCAAUUUGCCACCCAAAUUUAUGCAUUCCUACAUCAAACCAAUUGGUACCAAUACAAGACAUAAAUAAGCAUUCAAUCUACUUCAACCAAGCAUCAUUUAUUCCAUUUCAAUAUAAACAAUUACAAGAUUUACCAUACCACAAUAUACAAUUCAAAUACAUAUCAAAUUUUACCCUUUUCAUUCAUCAAUAUGGUCUUUUUCAAACAUGUAUCAAAUUAUCUAAACUUGUAAGCAUACUAAUUACCAAUUCAUCAACCAUUUGAUAUUCACCAUAUCCAUUUUCAACAAGCACCAAAUACCAUCAUAACUAACAUUUAUAAGGAAAUUACUAAACUCAAACAAAGGCUAUUUGCACACUUAUAUACAUUAUCAAAUUCACCAUUAUAAGCCAACUCACAUGAUUAUAUAUUUACAUACCAAACCUAAUAUUUACAAGCCAACACAAAUGGCCAAAAGAUAUAUACUAAAAAUACCAAGUCCCUAUACAUGCCAUAUACUUAAAAUACCAAAGUUCAUAGGUACCAAGUGAUAUAUGGAUAGUGUGAAGCGGACUCCGAUGAAUCUCCGAAUCCGAGCUAGCUUUGAAUUCACUAUAAAACACGGGAAAAAUAAACAAAGUAAGCUAUAAAGCUUAGUAAGCUCUUAUGAAAUAAACUUGAUAUAAUCAUAUCCGCAUAAUCCAACAAUUGAUAAUAGAUACAUGAAUUUACAUCAACUAACAAACCUUUCAAUUACUCAUUUACAAAACUAUAUACUUUCUUCACCAUUUCUUCGAUUCAAAGCUAAUAUGGUUUAUGCACAUACUUUUACCAUCUUGUACCAAUCUCAUUCUCACCCACAUCAUUCAUUUACCCAUUGAACCAUUCAGAAUAGAAGUCGGAUACUCAGGAGUCUUACACAAUAAGUACCUAUACCAUGACCCGAAGCCAAAUUAAGGUAACUUAUAUCCGAAGUACUGAUAUCAUGGCCCAAAGCCAAAUCAGCCAAUAUUCAUGGCCCAAAGCCAAAUUGGUAUAACUCGCACCCGAAGUGCUAAUAUCAAGGCCCGAAGCCAACUCAAUGUAUCCCCUAAUGACAUGUCACUAGUAUCCUAAACUAUUCUUAAGGUUCAACUGAGAUUUCGAAUGCCGAAUUACCAUCAAGUCAUUGUUGAACUUAUCCGAAAUCUCAUAUUCAAAAUUUAUACAAUAUCAAGCAUUUAAAAUGCACUUAUAAUGAAAUUUAUCACAUACGAACUUACCUCGGAUGUGAAAACAACGAAAUAAGUCGAUUAGUUGAUAACUUUAUUUUUCCCCAAUUCUAGAUCCGAAUUCAGCUUUUCUUGAUCUAAAGAUAUUCAAAAUUAAAUUAUUUAAUAAUAUCUCUAUUUAAUUUAAUCCAAAACACACAUUUAAGCACAUUUACACAUUUUCCCAUAAUGUUUCACCACUUUUACAAUUUAGUCAUUAUUUCAUAAAAUCACAAAUAGUGAAAUUAAAAUAAACCCAUGCUAACUGAAUUACUAUCAUGCCUCUAGUAGCCCAUAUUUUUAUUUAUUUCACAUUUCAACCACAACGUUUCAGCAUUUCUCAAUUUAAUCCCUAUUUUGCAUUUUCACUAAAAAUCAUUUAACAAAACUUGCAUAUUUCACAACAAACAUUCAUAAUCUAUCAUCAAACAUCAAAACACUCAUUGUAACACCCCAAACCUAGCCUAGAUGUUAUGGCCGAAUCUGGCAAUGUCACAUGGAAUGGGAUUCGAAAAUGAGUUUGUCGAGUUAAGCCGUUCCAGUUAAUUAACUUGUUAUGACUAAAAUCGUAUCUUUUUAGCGGAAGCUUUGGUAACGUUUAUUUUUUUGAAAAAUUGUUUGGGUUGAAAGAAACCUUUGUUUUAAGAAAAAUCGAGUUUUUACUGUCUAGCCAUACUAAAAUCGUAAAGCAGUUUAAAAAAUCCAAAAUUCAAAACCCAAUAGUCCAAAAUCCCAAAAUUACACAAGAAAUACCCAAAAUAAUGUGUAUUCUGAAAACUGAAUCAAAGCAGUACGAAACAAUGGUGGUCGCCGUCGAGUCUUCUGCCGCAUCGAUCCAUCUAAGACUGGGGAUUACCUGUACAUAUUAACUGAAAUCGGGUGAGUUUUCGUAAACUCAGUGUGCAAUUCCCACAGAAAAUAUAUAUACAGAUACACAUAAGAAUACAGUCAAGUUCAGUAUGGGCCUGAGCCCAUUUUAGGUUCAGUUUGGGCCUUAGCCCAGUCAGUUACAGUUUCAGAUAUAAAUUAGGGCCUUUGCCCAUCUUAGAUACAGUAUGCAGUAACAGAAAUCAGAGUCCUACCCACCAGCCUUUACACACCAUCUCCGUCCAUCCCUACACACCAUGUGGGGUUAAAAACACUCACUCAUCCCUACACACCAUGCUGUACCGAAAUGCGGCACAUAUUCAGUAAUUUGUAACUGAGCUGCCAGAUAACAGGCUUGAAAGCCUUUCGAACACUUCCUCUAAAUAUCAUCAACCUACCCCGAUGCAAUGCAACAAACAAUAAAUGACAUGCUAAUAUGCGAUUAUUAGUACAUACAUUCAAUUUAGAAUACAUGCUUAGUAUUAUCAGGCUCAGUACAGAUAUCAUACAGAUAAUUUAUAUAUAUAAGGGUCUAAGGAUUGCUUACCGACCCUACAUUAGGUUCACAGUCGACUUGGGCGACCUGUGCAACCUUAGAAACUUUUCAGUUAAAAUGGGCUCACACGCCUAGGUAGCCUGCCCGUGUGGGCCCACACGCCCGUGUGGCCUAUACGGCCCAAAUUGGCCUUGGUCGUGUAGAUCACAUAGUCUGGCCCAUAAUCCCACAUGCCCGUGUGGACUAUCCAUGUAGGCCGACACGCUCGUGUGGCCCACACGGCCCAAAUCAGUCUAGUCCGUUUGUCGCACACGGCCUAUCUGGCCAUUACACGACCGUGUCUGUUGUGCACGGCCUGUCCUCGUUGAUCACACACCCGUGCUAUAGCACACGGCCUACCACACAACCUACCACACGGCCAUGUGACAUCGAUAGAAUGGUUUUUAGCUUUCGUCAAAACCUCGUUUUCUGUGUUUUCGGGUACACACCUGGUUUGUUUUCGACGCGUAAGCUGUUCGAAGCCUCCAGAACCUAAAAAUGGACCAACGUAACACUUAAUUAAACACUUGUUUCGCCAUUCAAUUAAAAAUCUAUCAAAACCUAUCAUCGACAAUAUAAAUAACCCUUUGUAACACCCUAGACCCGGCCUAGACGUUAUGGCCGAAUCUGAUGAUGUCAUGUGGUAGUGCUUUUCGAUAAAUAUGUUGUUGCUAAAUCUCCUUUUUCAUUUUCUUAUGUUAAUUUCAAAUCAUGUCGUUCGAUUUCCAAACAUUAAUCAUUUGUAAUUCGAUAGUCAAUUUCCAAAACGUUUUUCAUUACAGAAGCUUUUAAACAGUUUGCGUAUUCGUGGUAUUUUUUAUAAAACAUCAUUUUCAUUUGAAAACUCGAGUUUUAUCUAACACUAGCAGAUAUGAAUCAUUAAACCGUAUAAAUCCAAAUUUAAACCAAAAUCCAUAAAAGCCAUAAUUACAGUAAAAUACUCCCAAAUAAAAGUAAAAUCAUGAAUAGAUAAUAAAAUAGGGUAAAAGAAGUCGUGUGGCCACCACUGAGUCCUCCGCUGCACCAACCCGCCUAUAUUUGGGGAUUUCCUGUACGGAUUAAACAUAAGGGGUGAGUUUACGUAAACUCAGUAUGUAGUCCCCAUACAAAUGAACAGACAGUAACCAUAUAAUCACAGUCUGGGCUUAAGCCUUUUUCAGUAUCAGUAUCAGACCAGUUUGGGCCUUAGCCCAUCUCAGUACAAAAAUGGUCAUGCAGUAGGGCUUCAACCCAUCACAGUAUCAGUAGCAGUAACAAAUAUGCAGUCAUAGAAAUCCUACCAAUCCAGCCUCUACACACCAUCUUCGUCCAAUCCUACACUCCAUGUGGGGAUAUAAUCAACCCACCCAUCCCUACACUCCAACUAGCACCGAAUGCAACACUAGACAGUAGUUUGCAGCUGUGCUGCCAGUAAAUUAGGCUCGAAGCCUUUCAGUACACUUCCUCCGAAUAAUAUUAACCCCCAACCCAAUAGAAUGUAAUAUAUAAAUAUGACAUGCUAUAACAUAAUAUCAUGAAUGUAAUCAAGGCAUACAGUAUCAAAUCAGUGGGACAUCAUCAUACUUUUUCCAUAUUAGUCAUAUAGUCAUUUCAGUUAAUUAGGGGUUUAGGUAAUGCUUACCGACCCUACAGUAAGUUCACAAUUGACUUGGGCUACCCGUGCAACCUUAGGAAACAUCUCGGCAAAAUGGGCUCACGCGCUCAUGUGGCUUGCCCGUGUGGGCCUACACGCAUGUGUAGCCCACACGGCCCAAAUUGGCCUUGGCUGUGUGGAUCAGACGGCCUGGCCAAUAUCCCACACGCCCGUGUGGGCCCACAUGCCCUUGUGGCCCACACGACCCAAUUUAGUUGAGCCCGUGUGUUGCACACGGCCUACCUGGCCAUCAUACGAUCUUGUUUGGUGCGCACAGCCUGGCCUAGUCGACCACACGCCCGUAUUACAGCACACAGCCUACUACACAGCCUAUCACACGGCUGUGUGGCGUUGACAGAAUAGUUUUUGACUUUCGUCGAAACCUCGUUUUCUGAGUUUUCGGGUACACACCUGGUAUCGAAUUGAUGCAAUAGCACUCCUAUAAAGACCAGCACCCUACAACGUUAUAACAACUUCUAAAAUCAGUCACAAAUCUCGAUUAAACUAAAACCUCGAAAACGAAAAUAGCCCAAAUAGGGCGUUUAUCAUUUACCCUAAACACUCCGAUUGAUUCCCACUAAAGUUCCACCAAAGAGGAGCUCCGACCUUCGUGAAUCAUUGCUGCCAAAAUCCAGAAUUAAACUAAUGAAAAUCAAUGACACAAUAACGAUAUAAAAAGAAAAUCCCCCCUUAAAACGAGUAAAACCUUACCCACACUACCGAAGCACAGGCAGUUGGAAAGCCGGAAAACUGGAGUUGAACAACACCAGAAAGAUGAAGAAAUAAAGAAAAGGAAGAGACAGACGCCCGGGAGGCUGCGAAUUUUUAGUAGAGAGAGAAAAAGAAUUAGCAAAAGAACAAUCAAGGGAUAUUCCCUCAAUCCCUUAAUCCUCUUCACUACCCACAGAACAGAUAACUUCCACAGAAUUUUGGUUUAACAGAAACUCUCACCGCAACACUGGGCAAAAAUAAACCCCCUUGCAGAUAUUCGAACUCAAGACCUCCAGCUCACCAAAAUUUCCCCCUAACCACCAGACCAGUAGGGCCAUUCUAAUAUAAUAUUACAAGCAUUUUAAAUAAAAGCCUACUGAACAAAGUUAAGGCUUUACUCAGAAAAAUCCAAAAUUUUUCCAAAGACAAGACUUGAACUUAAGACCUCUCACAUACACCCAGAACAUUUAACCACUAAAGUAGAUACACAAUUGUGUCACAAACACACAGAAAUAAAUAUACAAACUUUAGGGUGUUACACCCUUAUCGUUAACAAACCGAAGUCGCAACUCUUAAUUCUUUGUAGCAACACCGAUCAAAUAUUGCCCCUCGCCUAAACCAGGAGUAACAAAACAAUUUUUCAUCAAUCAUCAAGUCGAAUAACAAAAAGACUUAUAAAAAAACAGAACUUACUGAACGAGGCAGUCAAUGUUUGCACAAAACUAACUAGUUGAAUCCAGAAAAAGAAUCGAAAAGAAGGUUUUCUGCAGUGAAUUUCCUUUGGGAAAACAUUUUUACUCAAAUCCCUAGAUUCACUUAACCACUCACCCACUACUUAGAAUUCCUGUUUGACCGAAACUCUCUCGGUCAAACGAGCAAAAAUAAACUCCUAUGCUCAAGCAGGGAAUUAAACUCCAAACCCCCAACACACCAACACAUAUCUUAACCACCAGACCAGCAGGCCCAUUCUGAUAUAGUUUAAUAAAUAAUUCAACAUAAGCCUGUUGAGCUAGCACAAGGCUUAAGUUAGAAAAAUACCAAAAUUUGCUAAAGGCAUGGCUUGAACUUGAGACCUCACACACACAUACCCAGAACAUUUAACCAUUGAAGCAGAUACUCAAUUGUAUCACAAAUUCACAAAAAAACAAAAAUAAGAAUUUUGGGGCGUUACACUCAUGUAUUCAUUAAUGGCAUUAUUCAAAAUCUUUAACAGUUUUGCAAAAUAGUCCCUAGGCUAGCUAGACCUAAUUGCAACUAUCUCAAAAACAUAGAAAUCAUUAAAAACGAAAUAAAAACGUACUUACAAUUGAGUAUCAAAGUAACCAAAAGUUUCAAGCCCUAAAAUGGCUUUUCUUCGUGCUUCAUUCGGCCAAGGAAGACAAUAAUGAAAUAAUUUUUUAUUUUGUUUUAUUUAAUUAACCUUAAUUGACAAAUUACUAAAUUAACCUUAAUGAUAAAACAUUUAUUAUAUCAUCCAUUUCAUGUCCAUUAAUGACCGCUUACUUUAAUAAUGGUCCAUUUAUCACUUAAGGACCUUCACAUUUAAUAUUCAUAGUCAUUUAGAGUAUUAGCAAAUAGAAUUCAACUUUUACGCUUUCCGCGAUUUAGUCUUUUUUACCGAAUUAAUUAUUCAAACGAUAAAAUUCCUUAACAAAAUUUUCACACAACUAUACUAUCAUGCCAUAGACGUUAAAAUAAUAAUAAAAUAGUUAUUUUAGCCUCAGAUUUGUGGUCCCGAAACCAUUGUUCUGAUUUGACUAAAAACAGACUGUUACAUAGGUAAAUCAAAGUAGAUGAGAAAUAUGGAGUCAAAUCAAGGAUGAAUUUAUAACUUUUAUAACUUUUCUUCAAAAUUUAACAAAAAGUAAAUAAAAAUAAUAUUUUUUUACUCCUAAAUUAAACAAUUAGAUUCACUUUGGUACUUUUAUCUUUUACAUCCAUUUUGAUAUCUAAAUUUAACAAUUAAAUAUAUUUCAAACUCUAACAGGGAAAACAUAAGAACACUAAAAUGGGUUCACUGUCUUCACUCCUAGACCUAAGAUUAUUUGUAUUCAAACGGUUAAUCAAACUGAAUUAGUAUUAACCAAAUUAACCAAACUUUUUAAUCAUUUAACCAUUAAUUGUACCAAUUUUUUUUCAAAAAAAUUAACCAUACCGAAAUAUUUCGGGUAAUUCAAUUGGUUAACUGAAAUUUAUGUUUUUUUUUGUUAAAACAAGUAUAAAAACAUAUCAAAAUAAAUAAAUUAAUAAUGUUCAUUUGACCGAAUUAACCGAAUUAGUAAGAGAUUGAUACAUAUAAUAUAUAAUAUUAUUUAUUAAGUUCGGUUAAUCACUCGAUUUCAAAUCGAAUUAACCGUUAACCGAAAUUUUAAAAAACUUUUAAUUACCUUUCAACAAAACUAAAUCGAUUAACUGAAUUAAAUCGGUUCAGUCAAUUAAUUCGAUUUUAAUCGAAAUUUGUAAACUAGAGAUUGAUAUAUUUGAUUAGGGAUGAGCAUUCGAUCGAGUUGAGUCGAAUCGAGUCAAAAAAUUUUGAGUUAGUCGAGUUGACGAAUCCUAUUUUAGCAACCGAAUUCAAUUUGAAUUUUUUUUCAAAUCAGAUCGAAUCGAGUCAAAAAAUUUCGAGUCGAGUUAACGAAUCUUAUUAUUUGUACUCAAUGUUGCGCUUUACAUGAACCGAUUAUUUAAAUAGGAAACGAAGUAUAAAAUUAUUUAACAACAUAAACAAUAUAAUGGUUUUGCAUUUUAACUUAAUUAGUAAACAUUUAUCAAAACAACAUAGUUUUACCUUUUUAAUUUAAUGGUUUUGACUUUUAACUUUAGAAAGGUAAACAUUCAUCAAAAUGACGUAGUUUUGCUUUUUUUUAUACGGAUUUUUGAAUAACUCGAAUUGUGUAAUUCACAUUCGAAUUAAACUAAAAAACUUUUUUUAUUCGAGUUGACCUAAAUAACUUGAUUAACUCAAAUAACUUAAAAUAUUUAAUUCAAAAUUUAAAAAUUUUAUCAAAUUUUUCGAAUCGAAUUAAAUUUUUCUCACUUCUAUAUUUGAUUGUGCAAGUCCAAAGGGUUGAAUAAAAGAAUCGGGACAUCUUUAUUGCUGAUGAUAAAAAAUUGGAAAUAGGGUGUGCGUGGCAAACAUUGCCCUGACGUAUAGAAUUAUUAUUUAAUAUGCCCUGACGUAUAGAAUUAUUAUUUAACAUCGCUUUUGUCAGCUUUAUGGAUAAUUUUUUCAAACCCAAAAAUACUGAAAUAAUGGAAAAUAAUUGCACCAAAUCCACUUAGAAAAUGCAUUAAUUGCUAAAGCUGUCAUAUGUACUCAAGGGGAAGAUCUUAAUACUAAAAUUUUUCAUAAUAUUAUUUUUUGAUAUAAUUUUUUAUUUAUAUAAUUAAUAUCAAUUUUUAUAAUAUUUAAAUUUAUAAAAAAAUUAUAUAAAUUUAAUUUUAAAAAAACUUAAUACUAACUUAUAUCCCUUUUAUAACUAUUUUAAUAUUGACAACUUUAUAAAAAACAAAGUGUAUAAAAGAUUAUUAGUUUUGUUAUACAUUUUAUAAUACAAUUAUUAUUAUGCUAAUAUUGCAAUAAAUGAUACCGUGUCAUUUUAAUUAAAGUAAAUAUCUAUUUUCAACAUAUUACAUAUGUUAAUUAAUUAUUAGUUUUAUUUUUUAAAAUUAAACUAAUAAUAAUAUUUUGAAAUAACUAUUUAGAGUAGAUAUUAAAUUAUUAAAGUAAACACGUAUUUUCAACAUUAAUAUAUUAUAUAAAAUAAAUAAUGUCAUAAAUAUAUGUGAAUUUUCAUGUAAAUUGUUACAUAAUAUUAUUAAAAAAAUUAAAUUUUCGUUAAUAUUAUCAUUAGAAAAAAUAAUUUAACUUAUUUUUUAAAGAUUGAUGAUAAAAUUUAACUAGAAUAAUAACAAAAUCAUAAUAAAUGUUAUUAAUAGCGGAAUUUGACAUUAUGCUAGGGAUACCACAAUAGGCAGCUUGCAAGUGAUCACAGGGUACUGCUCUUAAUCUACAUAAAAAUGCGAGAAAGGAAGUAGCAGAGGAAGAAGGUUAGUGAGAGAGAAUAAAACCCCAAACCAUUAUUAUGGCUGAAAUUAGCAGCUUAAGAAUCGAUCCCAAGAGUGGGUUUUGUUCUUCCAAUUCUACUUUCUACAGCAAACGCGUUCCCUUUCCACUUCCAUCCAACCAUGCCCUUGACAUCACCACUUUUAUCUCCUCUUACCCUCACCAUGGCAAAACCGCCUUCAUCGACGCCACUACCGGUCGCCACCUCUCCUUUUCCCAACUUUGGCAAUCAGUUGACUCCGUUUCCACAUGUCUGUCCGAAUUGGGUAUUCGGAAAGGAAACAUCGUCAUCAUCAUCGCACCAAACUCCAUUUUCAUACCCAUUGUUUGCCUCUCUGUGAUGUCUCUUGGAGCUAUUAUAACCACUAGCAACCCCCUCAACACGUCUCGUGAAUUCGCGGUACAAAUGGCUGAUUCAAAGCCCGUCCUCGUCUUCACCACUUCUCAAGUCGUCCCAAAAUUGGCUGGAUCACCUCUCCCCAUCGUACUUCUCGACGAGCAAGUGGCGACCGAAAAAACAGGCCAAGUCAAAAUAGUUACUACUAUUAGUGAAAUGUUAAAGAAGGAAACAAAGGACAAGAUCCGAGUGAGGGAUCGAGUGUACCAAGAUGACGCGGCAACUCUACUCUAUUCCUCGGGCACGACGGGUGCCAGCAAGGGAGUAAUAUCAUCUCACGGAAACCUCAUGGCUCUAAUGCAAAGUUUUUCACAUUUGAGCAAUCCAGACGAAGGGGAGCAAACCCAUAUCUGCGCCGUUCCCAUGUUCCACAUCUACGGCUUCGGAGCUUUUGCCAUCGGGAAACUCACGCAAGGAUCAAAAGUAGUUGUUUUAUCAAAGUUCGACAUGAAGGAAAUGCUGUCGGCAAUAGAGAAGUACCGUGUCACUUGCCUCCCCCUGGUGCCACCUAUACUCUUGGUAAUGGUGAAGGAAGCUGAUGAGAUACGAAAGAAGUACGAUUUGAGUUCGUUGCAAUCAAUAGUGUGCGGUGGCGCUCCGUUGAGCAAGGAUUUGAUAAAUAGGUUUAUGGAAAAGUUUCCAAGCAUUGAUAUUCGGCAAGGGUACGCGAUGACAGAAUCGACAGGAUUUGGCGCAUCAAUGCAAACGCCGGGGGAGUGUCUCAAGUAUGGCAGUGUAGGGUUGCUAUCGCCGAACUUGGAAGCCAAAAUUGUAGACCCUACAACUGGUACGGCCUUGAAGGUCAAUCAGAAAGGGGAGCUUUGGCUAAGGGGUCCCUCCAUUAUGAAAGGUACGUAAUUUAUGAUCAAUCAAUUUUAGGUGGAGACAGUGAGUGUGUCCCCAUAUUGCGUGUAUUCAAGACAAGUCCAAAUAAUUUUAUCAAAUGCAAAGAUCUUUGCUUUGAUUUUGUUUUCGGCAUGUUGUUAAUUUUUAAUCCCAGGAGAAAGAUCUUUGCAAUUAAGAAGAAUAAACAAGAUUUGCCUGGCGAGUCCCCGGGAAAGAAUAACACGAAAUCCACUUAAAAAAUGCAUUGCUGUUACAUCUAAUUAUGUAUUUUUCUAAUAUUGAUAAUUAUUUUAUUGAAUGUAUAUAUUUUGCUGACUAUUUAACCAUUUCAAUUUCAACUAUGGGAGUAAAUUAUUAAUAUUAAAAUUACAAAAUAAUUAUUUCAUUAUUUUUAAAAUGUUCAUAACCCCCUUAAAAUACCGUUUGAAACACAUGUAUAAUAUAUUUAAUAUCCACGUAAUUAUCAAAUGGUAUUUUAUAGAUUUUUAAAAUUUAAUAAUUAAAAUGUGAAUUUAUUAAUAAUUUAGUCACCUAAUUUGUAUUACUUCACUUAUAUUUAAUGAAAUUGAAUCCAAGUAGACUGAAAUUUCAAUUUAUCAAGAUAACAUAAGAAAAAUAUGGGAUUAUCCAAAGUUUAAACAUUAUGAGCUCAAGGGAAAGUUGUUGAAUCAUAUAUUCUAAUUUAGUAAUGAAAUCUUACAUCCCUAUCCAGAGCUUCCUAAAUUUUAUACUAACAAAAAAAUCAUAAUUUUUCUUAAUCUAAGCCCCCAAUCAGUAAUGAACUCUAAACUUAUAUAGUAGGAUUGAUAUAUGUAAUAUUUUAACAUGAAAUUUGGAUAUCCUGAAAAGUUAGAGAUGUGUGUUGUUGAUUGGUGGGCCUGCUGCUGCUGCUGCUGGUAUUUUAGGUUAUCUGAAUAAUGCAGAAGCCACAGCAGCUACUCUCGAUUCACAAGGAUGGUUAAAAACCGGUGAUCUUUGCUACAUCGAUGAUGAUGGCUACGUCUAUGUUGUUGAUAGGUUGAAGGAGCUGAUCAAAUACAAGGGAUAUCAGGUCACCGCAUAGUUCACAAUUUGCUUCAUAUAUUCUAUACAAAAUCACAGGUUAACCAUUUACACUUACAGGCUUUAUUUAUAUUUGUUUUAGGUUCCUCCUGCUGAAUUGGAGGCAUUGUUACUUUCUCACCCACAGAUUUCUGAUGCUGCUGUCAUACCGUAAGUUUAUAUAGAGCUGCUUCCACUUGAAACACCCUUUGUUGCACAAGAUUCAGAGAUAUUAUUUGGUUUGCGAUUAGGUUUCCGGAUGAAGAGGUUGGGCAGUAUCCCAUGGCGUAUGUGGUUAGAAAAAGUGGAAGCAAUAUAUCAGACACUGCACUCAUGGAUUUUGUAGCAAAACAAGUAAGCAAUUAUAUACAUACAUACAUACAUAUAAUAGUGUUUUAAACCCAAGAUUGCGAAUGGGUAUGAUGAUUUAGCUUAAGCUAUGAAAUGAACAAAAUAGGUUGCACCAUACAAGAGAAUUCGGAAAGUGGCAUUUGUAACUUCAAUACCCAAGAAUCCAUCUGGGAAGAUUCUAAGAAGGGAUAUCAUCAAGCUUGCAAUUUCCAAAAUUUGAGGGCAUCUCGUUUGCAGCUCUAUAAUAAUAAUAAUAAUAAGAUGAUGAAUGCAUUUCCAAAGUAAAGUUUCACUUCUUUGAUUGUUUCGGAGAUGGGAGUUUUUCAUUUCUCAUGUCUGGUUCAUCAAUGUGGUUCUCAAUAAUUUCAUUUUUAAAAUUUAAAUUUGUGUUGUCCUAAUAAAAGUUACAAUAUACUGUAUCAGCACUUAAUAUUUGUUGUUGUCUGGAAUAAAUUUUAAGUGGGACAAUGAUUGAUCUGAUAAAUUUGUUUAGCGUUAUCAUUGCUAUUCCCGUCUGUCCAAGGCAUUCAUUCGGCUUUAUGCUUUUUGUUUGAUCUGAUAAAUUACAUUAAAAAUAUUUUUGAUUGAUAUAAUAAUAUUUAGCUCCUAAAAUUAAGAUAUUCUAUCAAUAUAGUUUCAAUUUAAUAGAUUUAAUUUCGACAUUUAAUAAUAUAUAUUAAGGGUUAAAUUUGUUAAAUUUUUUAGAAUCAAGAUCAAAUUGACAAAAUAUGUAAAUAUUAAGGGUUAAAUAUGUUUAUAUACCAAUCAAAUUUGUGUACAAUUAACGAAAUAUAUUUACAAUAUAAUUGAUUACCUUUAAUUGCUCACUUUUAAAAUUGAUAAAGAUUAAAAUACUCCAAUCUUUUUAAAAAGAACUAAUUUACUUAAUUUUAAAAAUAAGAGGUAUUGGAAAGGUAUUUUUACCAAGAAAUUAUAGAGAUGUUGUUUAAAAUUUUUUAUGUUAUAGUUAUUCAAAAUUGCAUUCAAUUUCUAAGCCUCUUCUAUUUGUAUCCCUUAUUAUCAGAAAACAAAAUCCUUGCAUUAUGAUAAUGGCAUGAUUGGUACUCGGCCAUUUCGAAUUAUUUAGUUUCUCUAUCACAACACUGUGCUUCUUUUUAAUAAUAUAUUUUUAUAAUUUCAAAAUAUAUAUUUAUUAGUUAAUGAAAAUUGGUGUAAUUUAUAAUAAAAAAUUCAUUAAUUUUAAAAAAUAAUGGAAAGAAUAAAAUAAUAUUAAUAUGCUAUCAUAAUAAUUAAUAUUAUCACACUAAUUGUAACAUCCCUACCCGUAUCUGUCACCAGAACAGGGUACGAGGCAUUACUGGAGUUACAAAUUUAUUUAUCAGACAUUUUAUUUCAUCUAACAUUCAUAGUUGGGACCAAUCAAAAUCAAACAUAUUGCCCCCUAAACAUACUUAUUUUCCUUGUAUCAACGUAUAAAAAAUAAUCACAUAUUUACAUGUCAUGAUAAAUAUCAUUCUCUUGCCGUUUCUUCAUAAACAUAAAUCAGUUAAUUCAUUAUAUCAAUAUUUCAUGUACCAUCAACUCGUAUUUCCUUAUAUCACAUAAUUAGGUUUCAUGAACUUAUCUGGCUAAAUUGCAAAAAUACCAAGAUUCAGGGGCAUUUCGAUAAUUUUAUAUUUUCCUCGAUUUUUCAACCAAUCUUGACCUAAAUUAAUAAUUUCAUUCAAUUUAUAAAUUUAGACAAUAAAAUAAUUCAUUUCACUCAAUUUGGUCAUUUUUGAUAUUUUUACAAAAUUGACCCUAAAGUUUUACUUUUAUUCAAUUUAGUCCCGAGCCUAAAACAUGCAAUUUAACCACUUUAAUGUAACCCAUGAUAACUAAAUAUUCAUAUAUAUUUUCCUCCUCCUCUCCAUUCCACAUCCUUAAUAUAUAUAAUUCCACUAUUUUCUCAUAUGUUCAUAUCAAGCUGUCCACUUGAGUCAUAGUCACUAAAUUAUUUAUAUCUUGAGAUACAAAAUUCUAAAUUAAUAACCGCUUGAUGUUUCUGAAACUAGACUCAAAUAUAUUUCUACCAUAAAAAUUUCAGAAUUUAUAAUUUAGCCAGUAAGUACGGUAAAAUCUUCAAACUUACCCCUAUUCUACUGUUUAACAGCUUCGACCUUUCCUUACUAAAAAUUAAUUAUCUUUUAGUACAAAAUUUGGAUGAUGUUUCCGUUUGUUUCUAUUGAAAAUAGACUCAUUAAAUAUUUAAACAUAUAAAUUUAAUCCCCUAAUUAUUUUUAUCCAAUUUUUUUUAUGAUUUUCCAAAGUCAAAACAGAGGAACCAGAAAUUAUUCUGACCUUGUUUCAUAAAAUUUAUUAUAUCUCACAAUUUACAAUUCCAUUGCUUACACGUUUCUUCUAUGAAAAACUAGACUCAAUAAACUUUAAUUCCAUAUUUUAUUCAACCUCCAAUUUGAUUUCCACAAUUUUUGGUGAUUUUUUAAAGUUUAACUACUGCUGCUGUCCAAAACUGUUUUAGUGCAACAUAUUGAUUACUAAGUUUAUAACACUCUUAUUUCCAUUCUCUACAAUAUUUCCCACCAUUUUCUCUUAUUUCCUUUCACUAAUAUAUCAAGAACAUAGAACCUUAUAUAAGAAAACUUUACCUUAACAUUAUUUUCAUGCUUUUGAUAUUACCUUACAUGAGAAACUCUACUUAAAAAAUAUUGAUGAAGUCUUAAAGUUUUUACCUUGUCCUAUUGAUUUUAAUCUUUAAUUUGAUUUUUCUCUCUCCUCCAACUUCUAUUUCUUGAAUCCAACUUGAUAUUCUAACUCCCCUUAGUCUCCUUAACAUUUUUAUCUCUUGGUAGCUAUGGAAAUUCUUUUGAUUUCUAGGUGAAAAUGGUAAAUUUUUGGUGGAAGGACUAAUUUGUAAAGAAAGCAAAACUUUCUUUCUUCUCUUCUCUUCUAACGUGAAAUGCAUGGAAAGAUGAUGGAUGGUGUGUGUGGGGGGAAAUUUACUAAAAAAAUCCCUUUUAUUUCGUUAUUUACCAAGAUGGCCCGACUUUUUGAUUAUUUGCUGGAAAUGACCAUUUUCCCUAAAAGCGCGUUCACGUCAGUGCGAAGUCAGGGGACGUGUCAGCAAAACGCUCUCCCAGGGAAGCGUUUUGCCCCCAAGGGUCACAUGACCGUUUGAACUCCAAACUCCAACAGUCAAAAAAAAAUAUAAAAGGCCCCUCCCCCUUUCAUUUUUUCACACAAUAGUCCUUUCACAAUUCUCUUUAAAUUCUUUCUAAAUUCUCUCAAAUUUCUCUCCAAUUUCAUCAAAGCUGUCUCUAAUUUUUGCAAAAAAGCUUUGUUAAAAUUUAUUUUAAAGUAGUUUUAUUUUAUAGAUUACAAAAAUAUCCGAUCGUAUUAGCAAUGGCCGGAGAAUUAAUUUGUUUCGAUACGAAACAAAUUUCCGUCGAUCAAAUGACAAUGGUAAGUGAUAAGUUUAAUUAAUUUUUGAAUAGUAUUUAAUUUUUUUCAUUUAUGUAAUUUUAAUUAAUAUUUAUUUUAUAAUUUUUUUAUAACAGUCUGUAGAUCGGGUGUUGCAAUGCUAUAUCCGUAAUAUGUCUGGUCCUCCAUCGCCAUUGAUAGAGAAUUACCUGCGGGAAGCGGGUUUUUGGCACGUGGCCACGAUAGGCCGGGGGUGUAAGUUGGACUCGAAACUAAUCAGUGCAUUGAUAGAGAGGUGGAGACCCGAGACACACACUUUUCAUCUUCCAUGUUGAGAGUGUACUAUCACUCUAGAAGACGUGCAAUUGCAAUUGGGAUUGCCGGUCGAUGGAUACGAAGUCACUGGGUCCACUCAAUCUGCUGAUUGGGGGGCCAUAUUCUAUGAGCUUUUGGGUGCUAUUUCGGAUAAUAUUAAUAGAGGUAGGAUCGAGAUGGGCUGGUUACGAGACACAUUUUCGGAGCCGGAUAAUGAUUCGUCUGAAUUAGAAAGAAUACGAUAUGCUUGGGCAUACAUUCUUGAGAUGAUUGGAGGUUAUCUGAUGCAGGACUUGUCACGAAAUCACGUACAUCUGAGAUGGCUGUUGAAACUCGUUGAUUUUAGAGCAGUAGGUGAAUUAAGUUGGGGGUCUGCUGUGUUAGCAACAUUGUACCGGGAGAUGUGCGGGGCGACACGACCGAAUAAAGCCAAAAUCAGAGGAUGCCUAUCACUACUGCAAUCAUGAGCACGGUUUCGCUUUCCAUUUUUACGUCCUCGAGUGAACCACCCAUAUACAUUCCCACUAAUUGUAACAGCCCGAUUUUGGGCAUAGUCGGAACAGUGGUUUUGGGACCACUAUUUCGAGGCCAGAGAAAAUUAUUUUAGUAUUAUUUUAUGUGUUAUAAUAUAAUUUUAUAAGUGCAUGUAAAUUUUGGUAAGUUAAUUUUAGCGAUUUCUAGUCCAAUUUCGAAAAAAGACUAAAUCGCGUAAAAGGUAAAAGUUGUAUUUUAGUGCCUAAAGGUGUUAAUAGACUAGAGAACUAAAAUUGGAGGCCUUUAAAGGGCAAUUGGACCCUUUUAAUAAAAUAAAAAUAGGAUGAUAUCAUCCCUUUUUCAUCUUCUCUCCACCGAUUUUUCCAGCCAAGAAAUGGGUUUUGAAAGCUUCAUAUUUUCAGCAACUUUGAGGCUUAGCAAGUAAAUGAUUUUAAUGUCUUUCUUGAAGAUUUUUACAUUUUUGUAACCCCUAAAGCAUGAGCUUUCAUAAGAGGGGACUAUUGUGCAAAAUGAUGAAGAGUCUAGGGUUUUGCCAUAAGAGUAAAUGUGUGGUUUGUUGUGUUUUUAUGGAAGAUUAUGAGUUCUAGUUGUCUAAUAAACAACUUUUGUGAAAGAAAUUGCAUGAAAACACCCUAAAAAGGGCUAGAUUGCUAAGUUGUAAAAGGAGUUAUAAAUAUGUGAAAUAGUUGAAAUUAUGAGUUGCUAUAGUUAUGAAAAUGGUUCAUCUAGACUCAAGGAGUAAAGAAAUGUGAUAAAAAUUAUUUUACGAGCCUAGGGGUAAUUUGGUAAUUUUGGUAAAAUAUAGGGGCAAAAUUGUAAAAAUAGCCCAAGUGUGUCAAUGGACUAAUUUGAUCAGUACAUUGUUUUAAUAAGUUGAAUGUGAUGUUUUAGAUGAUGAAAAUCGAGAUUUGGACCUAGAACGGAAAUAAAUCGAUUAAGGGAUAAUUACGUCUUUUUUUUACCUUUGUGGUAUUGAGGUAAGUUCGUAUGUAAACAAUACCAUGUUAUACAUGUAUUUAAAUGUUAUCCUUACAUGAAUUGUACAAAUAUUAAUGUGUAUGUGAUUAAUAGAAAUAUGAUAAGACAGAGCCUUAAUAGACGAGGAAAAAUCCCGUUUGAACAUUUGGAAUAGAAUAGGAUACGAGUGACAUGUCACUAGGAAUUAUGAGUCUAGAUGACUAGCUCGAGAGUGAGCAUUGAAAUGUCAUAAGAUAUGAGGUAGCUUUAGCUACAAUUGAGGCACUUAUGUGCAAAGGCUUUUCCGAGUAUCCAAUUAGUAUUCCAAGUGUUCAACGGGUAAUCCAAGGAAAGAGUUGAUGAUGGUCCCAAUGAGGUAAGUCAUUGGUGAGUAUGCACUUGAGUUAUGUUACGAGUUGUGCAAGUAUGUAUACUAAGCCUAUGAGAAUGCCUUGAUAUGUGAUGAUCUAUGAUGCAUAAUAUGUGUUCUUACCAUGAUGGAUGAAAUGAUGUUGUAUUAAUUUUGUGAACAAUGAUCAUGAAUGAGUAACUUAGCCUUGACAGAUUUGAGUUACUGCAGUAGUGUAACUUUGAAAAUACACUAAAAAUAGCGGAAAAUGAGUUAGAGGCAGAAUAAAAUAUGGGAUUAAAUCUUAAUGAGUCUUUUUUCACAUGAAAGAAACAGGGGAAGAAAAAUAAUUCUAUAUUGUGUGAUAUUUGAAUUCUUGUAAAACAGGGUCUGAAUGAAUUCGAGAUCCCCUGUUCUGAUUUUAUAAAUUCACCAUAAAUUGUAAAAAAAUUAUUAAGAGUCAUAUCUUACAUGAAUGGAUUCCUUAUUAAGUCUAUUUUUACGCGAAAUAAACGGCAUGGUCAUUGGAAUUCUGUACAGGGAGAAAUUCAGUUCGUAGUGUAGAGGGGUCAGAGUAGUCAUACCCCGAAACAUGGAAUACUUUAACUAAUAAACUGUACUAAAUGGCUUGACCAAAAAUUUUGAAAAUUUUAUGGAAGAAAGAUAAAUGAGUUUAAUUUCAGGUAAAAUUUAUGGAACUUAAUUCGGAGUUUCGUAGCUCCAGAUAUAAAUAAUUUAGUGACUGUUGUGCAGGAAGACAGCUUGUCUUAAACUUGAGAAUAUGUUGUAAAAAUUGAUAAAACAAGUUAAUGAGUUGCUUAUUGUUUUCAUAUGAACUUACUAAGCGGAAGCUUACCCCCUUCUUUUCCAUGUUCUCUAGGGUUUCCAGGUUUGUUCGGGUUGGAGUUCGUCGGAGAUAUUAUCACAUUGUCAAGCUAAUGUUAUUGGUGUAGUGAUUUCAAGUACUUUGAGUCUAUGGCAUGUAUAGGAGUUUAAAUAUUAGAGUAUGUGAUAUGGCUUUGACCAUAUGUGUUGGCCUAUUUUGAUUAUGGGAUUAUAAAUUCAUUUUAAUUAUUUGAGAUUUCAUGGCUCUGUUUAGUAUAGAAGUGUUAGUAAAAGUUAGGUAGCACCUCGAACCCCGUCCCGGCGUCGGAUGCGGGCGAGAGGUGUUACACUAAUAACGAGGUAAAUUUUAUAUUAGAUUUUACAAUUAUUACAUAGAUUAAAAUAUAAUUGUAUGCUAAAAAAUUAUUUAAUUAGGUGGAACCAUUCGGCCAGUUAUAUUGGAAUACCCACAUCUCUUGAAGAUAUACAGCUUCUAUUAGACCAACGGUCGGAAGCACAAGUAAGUAUUAAAAUAAAAUAUAUAUAUACAUAAUAAAAUAGUUGUUUCGUAUUUAAUAUUUAGUAUUUAGUAUUUAGUAUUACCUAUAUAACUAAUAUUUUUAUCAUGUUCAUAUAGUUUCAAUGGACACCAUACGAGGAUCCGGCAAUUCGGGCAGUAAUUCGGGAUGAAUUUUUUUAAAAUCCGAACAUUUGGCAUGUGAAGUUCCCAUUGGUCAACUAUGCUAUCGUGGAGAUGCACCAGUCAGAUAGGGUAUUGCGGCAAUUUGGAUUCCGACAACUGAUUCCCGUGGAACCUGAGGUGCUCGAUGAUGAGCACAAAGUCGACUUACGGCUAUUGAAUACGGAUUGGCCGAGACACUGGUCAGGAUAUAUCGAAAUAUGGGAAAAUCAGUAUGACUAUAUAGCUACUCGAGAAUCGAUAAUCGUUCCUAAGUUAGCAUGCGUGCCAAAAUACAUGCCAUGGUUUAGGAUCCAUGGCAAGCCAUAUUUACUAUCGGAAGAGAAGAGGCGACGGCAAAUUCCUGUGCAAAGGAAACGACGAGACCCUUUAAAUCCAAGAAGAAGGGAUGAUGACGCGGGCCCAUCAGCAGCCUUUUCAGAUUAUGCUAGGUACGUAUCCUAGCCAUUAUAUGUAUCUUAACCCUUUUAUGUUUCCUUUUUUUAGUCCUAUGGCAGGUUGAAAUGCAUGGCCCGGUUCAUCUCCGUUCCUAAUUACUCCAAGUCAACCGUCGAUCAAUAGGCCACUGUCGCAAGAGGGAUCGCACGAGGCGCCGUCGGGGAGCUCUUCUUUUUACCAUUCCCCAUCGCCUUAUGGGAUUCAAACACCUUUACCAUGGGUGAUGCAAACACCUCCGCAUUCAUUAUUCUAUCAAGGUGGGUGAUCCUCCCAACACCCACAACCAAAUCCCCUACCGGAGGAACCACAAUCCCCACUGGAGCAACCACAACCCUCGCUGGAAGCUGAACUAAAAAGGAAUUCAGCGCGUAACCGUCGACGACCCCCAUGUGACACUGAUUUCUACCGACACCAACAUUGAUUUUUUUAAUAUAUUUGUAGAAACAUUUUUAUAUAGUUUUAUAUAAUAAAAUAAAAGUUGUUUUUAAUAUUUUAAUUGUACUUUACUUUUUUUAAUUUUAUUAAAAUAAAUGUUCUUUUAAAUUAGCCAAUAUUUUUAUUAUUUUUAUGUUUAUUUUUAUAUAGUUUUAAUUAAUAAAAUAAAUUUUUUUUAAUAUUUUAAUUGUACUUUAAUUUUUUUAAUUUUAUUAAAAUAAAUAUUCUUUUAAAUUGGCCAAUAUUUUUAUUAUUUUUAUAUUUAUUUUUAUAUAGUUUUAAUUAAUAAAAUAAAAGUUGUUUUUAAUAUUUUAAUUGUACUUUACUUUUUUUAAUUUUAAUACAAUAAAUGUUCUUUUAAAUUAGCCAAUAAUUUUUAUUAAAAUAAAUGUUAUUUUGAAUACAGCAAUAUUUUUAAUAUUUUUUAUAUUUUUAAUAAAAUAUAAAUAAUGCAAAAUAAUUUUAUUACAACAACUAUCAGGUAUUCCGAUUUGGACAUGAUCGAGUUAUAUGGCUUGGGUUCCUACACCAUCCGCACAACCUCUGUUGGUUCGUUGCUUCUCAGGUAUCCAUAUUGUUACAUAUUCUAGUUGAGCAAGGUCGACCCUUUGGUUUGCGAUGCAAUUCUCUAUCCGGUAACAACUUAAACGGAGAAAGCAGUACAGGCGGCCACUUACGUUCAUCUGUGAUCGGUGGGAAUACGUGUCUCCACAUAUUGUACAUGUAUUCUAUUUUGUACACUUGGUCAACAUACGUUAUGGGAUCCAGACGGAGAUUCUGACAAGCUGCAAUUACAUGAGUGCAUGGAUAACGUAGUGCGUCAAACACUCCACAGUUGCAUGUCUUAUUUCUCAAGUGUGCACGAUAUUGCCUAGCAAUAAUACCUUGGUUCGGUCUGUCAAACUCCGUCACACGAAACCAUAGGUUGUCGCGAUCAUGACACACUAUGUGCAUGGUGUUGGCUCGUGCCUUCGCCUUGUUAAUCUCUCGCAACACCUUCGCGUACCAUACAUGGCCUCCCUGCAUUUGGCCUUUAUAACUCGCUGCUCGCUUUGAAAAUAGUGCCGCUAAACGAAAAUAUGUCUCUCAUACAACGACUGUUAUGGAAAAAUGACACGUUCCUUUUAGAACAGAAUUUAUGCAUCCAGCCAAGUUUGAGGUCAUAUGAUCAUAUCGUAGGCCGCCGUUGUAUGCUUGUGUCCACUGUUCGAAAGGUAUGUUACAAAGGUAGUCUGCGCCUUCUUCGUUAACUAAACACAAAACCGCUAACUUUUCAUGAAAACGGUCAUUACAUAUCUCAUACCCUACCAAUAUAAGUUGAUAACGAAAAUUACAUACCACUCUUCCAUUCAGAAUAAAUUGAAUAUUACAAAUAAAAUUAUAUUAAUAGAGAUUAAAUACCCAUGUUGGUUACUUACCGUCGUUCAGUUGUAUAUCGAUAUUGCCCGUAGUAGUUGGACGCAACGUGCCUUAGGCAAUACUGAUGGUGUGUGCGAUGCCAUUGGCUUCCUUGUCGCUCAAUUGUGGCUUGUAUUCUAGUGCCCCGAUCUGAUAUAAUGCAUAUAUCAGGUUAGGGCCAGACAUGCUUCCUUAACCUAGAAAGAAAGAAAUCCAGUCAUCAGCUGACUCCCCCGAUGUUAUUGCAAAUGCAAUUGGAAUGAUUCUCCCACUGCUAUCUUGUGCCACAACUAGCAAUAGUCGAUGGGUAUAUCUACCAUACAUAAAGGUACCAUCAAUUUGUACCAAUGGUUUGCAGUAUAUAAUGUGUCCCGACAUUGCUUAAAGCUCUAGAACAGAUGCUUGAACACUUGGUAUGCACAGAGCAAUUGGUCGUUGUAGUACGCAGGUGCUGUUUCAAGGUCUGUUAUGCAACCUGGGACAUAUCUCUCCAUCACCUGACACCACUGCCAUACUUCAUUAUAUGAAGCGUCCCACCUACCAUGCAUCUUUUCCAACGCCUUCUGCUUAGCUAUCCAAACCUUGCGGUAAGAGGACGUGUACUUCAAUUGGCUACAAAUAUUAGCAAUUAAAACCGUCACUGAAGUCUUCGGAUCUGCCUUCAGCGUCGGUAGUAUUAAGCUAGCUAACAUAUCUGAAUCCAUCUUGGGAUGAUCUUGUGAAACGCAUGUCAAUGAAGUAUGUUAAAUAAUGUAACAUUACGUAAUAACAGUUUUAUUCAAAAACCUUAAACACCUAAUGAUACUUUACCGCCAACACAUGUAUAUGGACCUUUGUACUUUUUAAUCUCCCACAAGUUUGUCUUUUUCCUCAAUGAGGCCAUGCUUUUUCAUGAACAUGUACCGUCUUGCACUGCACACUUGGCCUCAAACUUAUCGGAUUUGAAUUUAACCACGUUGUAGUUAACCCCGUUCAUGAUGUUAUGUUGUUUCAAUGCAGCAAGAAAACUAUCCUUAUUGGAAAACUCCCUACCAACUUCAAUUUCACCCGAAUCUAAUGACGAACUUGUACGAUCACACCUUCUGUGUGGUAGAUCUAGAAACUCCAACGCAUCAUCUUGAAAUAGAUCGACAUUAUGCAUGUAGGCUGAAGGCGAGUACGCCCUGAAUUGCGGAUCUUCUUCAUCUUCAUCUGAACCCACUUCAACAUCUUCAAGUAUUGUUGGAACAGGCUCCGGUUGAGAAAAUAAUCCAACUUCUACACCAUCGGGGCCGGGCUCUCGAGGUGGAUCCACAUUGGAUUCAUCAUUCGACCCACCAUCAUCUGCAACGAACGAGGUCCCCUCGCCGGUGGAUGUUGUAGGGAGUACAUCAUCCCUUCUUCUAUAUGUUUCAUAAUGUCCUCAAUCCGAUGUGGAUUGCCAACCACUAGAAGUUGAUGUCAUUCCCCAGUAUGUAUUUCCAGUAUCAAACAUCGACCCACUAAGGUGCAUGUCUCAUCCACAAAAGGAGUGUCGUGCAGGGGUUGUGUAUUCCAUACUGCUACCAAACACGGGCGCUUCCGUGUUUUACCACCCACUAACGUAGUGUCAGGCAGGAGUCGUGUAUUCCUCUUGAACAGCAUUAAAUUUUGAAGUCGCAAAUGCAUCAUUUGGCGAUGAAAAUUGUACAUAUAACUCAAGAUAAGGUGAUCCACUAGCAAGAUAAGUCUGCACCAUUGCCUCCAAGCUAUGAGGACUUUUGAUGUCGAAUGAGACAUAUCUCAUGGGAUCAACCGAAGUACAAAAUCAAUACUUAAUAGACAAAACUUUCAUUGGCGUCGUUCCGAAGAUUUUACGCCUAAUUCUUUUACGAAGUUCUGUCAAAUCUAUGUUCUGGUUAAAAACCAGUCGCGCUAUGCUCUUCAAUAAAAAAAACAACGCUGUUUUCAGUGUCAUAGACCUCACCAUCAUAGAAAAUAACAGCACUAAUACGUUCACUAAUCUUCAGUUUCUAUUUUACUUUAGCCUCAAUUUCUCUUGUUGUAACUUAUGCAACCUGAGAAUGAAAUCUGGCUCAUUUAUAGUCUAAGGCGUUUUCAGAUACUACUGUAGCAAAAGAGUGUCCACGUGGGAGCUUUUUUCCGUAAUUUUGCUGACAGUGCAUCAUUCUUAAAGCAUUUUUGACACUAUUUGUUCAGAAACAUCUUCUCAAAAUUAUUUUUUCAAAUACUACUGUAGCAAAAUAGCAUCCAUGUGGGAGCUUUUUCCUGUAAUUUUACUGACAGUGCAUCAUUCUUGAAGCGUUUUUGACACUAUUUAUUCAGAAACAUCUUCUCAAAAUUAUUUUUUCAGAUACUACUGUAGCAAAAGAGCGUCCACGUGGAAGCUUUUUUCCGUAAUUAAUAGUUAAUUUAAUUAAUAAACCCUAAAAAAUCCUAAACCCUAAUUUAAUUAUUUUUUAAUUUAAUAGUUAAUUUAAUUAAUUAACCCUCAAGUCUAAUUAAAUUAAUUUUUUCCUUAAAAAAUACUAAAAUCCUAAACCCUAAAAACCAUAAACCACUAAACCGUAACCUUAAAAUAAUAAAAAAACCUUAACCCUAAAACCCCUAAACCCUAAUUUAAUUGAUUUUUUUUAAUUUCAUGGUUAAUUUAAUUAAUUAACCCUCAACUCUAAUUAAAUUAAUUUUUUCCUUAGAAAACACUAAAACCAUAAACCCUAAAAACCCUAAACCACUAAACAUUAACUUUAAAACAAUCAAAAACCCUAACCUUAAAAAACCCUAAACCCUAAUUUAAUUGAUUUUUUUUAAUUUCAUAGUUAAUUUAAUUAAUUAACCCUCAACUCUAAUUAAAUUAAUUUUUCCCUUAAAAAAUACUAAAACCCUAAACCCUAAAAACACUAAACCACUAAACCCUAACCCUAAAAAAAGGGUCAAAACGCUCCCCCAAUGAAGCGUUUUGCUGACACGUCCCCUAACUUCACGCCAACGUGGACACGCUUUUGGGGAAAAUAGUCCUUUUCGGUAAAUAAUCAAAAAAUCGGGCCAUUUCGAUAAAUAACGAAAUAAAAGGGCUUUUUUUUAGUAAAUUGCCCGUGUGUGUGUUGUUUUUUUUUCCACACACACAUAUAUAUAUACUAAAUAAAAUAAAAAAAUAAUCAUAAAUAUCUUAUUAAAAUAUUAAUAAAAUAAUAUUUAUCUAAUUAAUUAAUUUAAAAUAUCAUCAACAUAAUCAUUACAUUCUAGAAUUCCCUCUCUUACUAAGUGACCAUUUUGCCCUUCAUAAUCUUUUAAAAUUCCAUCAUUGAGUCAUCACUUAAUUUGGGAAAAUUAUGAUUUAGUCCCUCAUAAUUCUUCACCUAUUCGAUUUGUUCCUAAUUCAUCUAUUUUCCUUAGUUUCUAGUUUAUUCCACCCCUAAAAUAUUUGCACUAUUGGUCCUUCAAAUUUUUCAUAUUUACACUUUAACCCCUCAAAUUUUGAGUAUUUACUCUUGGGCAACAAAACUUUUCUUACUUUUACAAUUUAGUCCUUUCUUUAAUUAAUAAUGUAAUAUAUCAUAAUAUACUUCCCAAUGUUGACAUAAUAAAAUUUCCCUUUUUGUCACUUUAUUUCCUUACUUAACUACAUCAAGGAUAAUAUCUUACUUUCUUACUGUAGUAAUUUUCAGGGUAUUACAUUUUUCUCCCCCUUAAAAAAAAAUUUGUCCUCGAAAUUUCCUUGUUUUCUUUUGAUCAUAAACUUCAUUAUAUUCUAUAGUUCCUUUCUGUAUAUAUAUCUAGUUUAUCAUUUAUAUCCAUUCUCAAUCCAUUCGUUUCACAAUUUAUUUUUAAUUCAAAGAUAAUUCCUUACCUUGUAACAAAAAUUAUUUAACUUUCUAACAGAGGCGCAGUAAAUUGAACUGAACAAUUUGGAUAUAAGGAACUGAUACAGAGGUGCAUUAUUAUGCACUAUUAAACAGAGAGUACUGAAGUGCUAUACAGAGAGCAUAGAUGUGCUAAGCGGAGAGCACUAAUGUGCUAAUAAUCAGAGAGCACUAACGUACUAAUAAUCAGAUAGCGCGCUAGAGUUCCUUAAUGUCAUGCCACUAAUAUCCUAGUAGUUCUAAAUUUCGUCUACUUCAGCAUUAAAACUGAAUUUCAUACAUUUAAAUACUUUACAAUUUAAUCCUUGUACCAAUAAUCCAUACAUUUAUAUAUUCUCUAUCUUUGAUACAUGUAAUAUAUUUCAAAAUUCACUAGUCGUUCGUAAUUUACUAAUAAUUCUCAUCAUGUACUUCAUAUAUCACUUUUCAAUUCCAAUUUCACUUUCAUUUUAUUCACAACUCAAUUUAAUUUCACUUUCUCAUCAAUAUACAAUUAAACACUAAUAUUUAUCCAUCACUCAAUUCAAUUUCCAUUCAAUUCAACAAUAACACUUACCUUCUACUUCACUUACCAUACACAUAAUUUAAAUUUAACAUUUAAUAAUAAUUAAUUUGAAUUGUAGUAAUACAACCAUACGCUGAAUAUGUCUAUAUUCAGUGGUAUUACCAUAAUUCAAAUUAUAAAAACUAUAAUAAAUAAUAGACAUCAAACAUGUAACAUUAUAAGUCAUAUGUGUUAAUUUAUGCUUUAAUUUCAUAUCUCAACAAUAGUCUUUCAUCAAAUGGCAUCAUAUAUAAUCUAUAUUAUCUUUAAUCAAAUCAUGAACCUUUGGUUCAAGCUUUCAAUCACAUAUCUCAAUUUCAAUUCACAUUUCAAUUCAUAAUUCCACUUUUUCAUACUUUCAAUAGUUCAAUCGAUCAAAUUCAUUCAAUUUUCUCAUUUCAUUUAUUCAACUGAUUUCAAUAUCAACAAUUUGAUAUUUUAGCAAAUUCAUGAACCUUAGGUUUAUGCUUCAAAUCUCACAUCUCAAUUCAAUUCACAAUUCAACUCAUAAUUUCUUUCUCAUAUUUUUAAUAGUACGAUCAAUCAAAUUUAUUUAAUUUUCUCAUUUCAGUUAUUCACCCUAUUAACAAACUUGGACUUUGACGGAUACAAGGAUUCCAAUCCAAACACACCAGUACGACACAUUGUACCGAAAAUGGUACAUAGUACCUGAUCAGUAUAGGACACAUAAGUGCAUGAAACGACACACGAGGUGCCUGAUACGACACACGAGAUGCUUGAAAUACGACACACGAGGUGCCUAAAAUAUGACACAUAAAGUGCCUGAUCGGCAAAACCGAUAAAUCCCGUACUCUUCCAAAUCCUAUGGCAUGCCAAUUAUAUCCGACUAGCCUGACAAGUUAAUAGGGUAUUCAAUUUUCAUUUGAAUUUCACUUAAUAUUCAUAUUUACCCCUAUUAACAAGACUCGGACUUUGACGGAUACACGGAUUCCAACCAAACACACCAGUACGGCACUUAGUGCCUCAUCGGCUUUGCCGAAGUAAACAGUAACAGUACAGUACUUAGUACCUUAUCGAAUUAAACCCAUGUAACAGUAGCAGUAUGACACACAUGGUGCCUCAUCGACUAGAUGUUGAAGUAACAGUACGACACUUAUAGUGCCUCAUCGACUCAAGGUCGAAGUAUCCCUGAAUACUUCCAAUCCUAUAGCAUGCCAACUAUAUUCGACUUAGCCCGGUACAGUUAAUAGGGUAUUCAAUUCACUUUCCGGUUUCCAAUCAAAACACAUUUCAAUUAAUCACAUAUAUUCUCAAUUCAAUACAAUUCAAUUUACUUUUCAAUAACAAAUAUUCUAAUUUCGUAAUAAUCACAUAUUCAUAUCAAUUUUAUCACUUUCCCAAUCAAUAAAAUUUUCAAAUAUAACAUAUAUCCAAUAUUCUAUUUCCACAUCAAUCACAUAUAUCUAUACAAAUUCAAUUCAAUAUUGAUACUUACCUUAAAAUUUUACUUACUAUACACAUAAAUUUAAAUAUAACAUUUAUUCAUACCUUUAUGAAUUCCGAGUCAUCAUAAUCAACUUUUACUCAUAUACUUGAGUAUCGCUUUCAACAUUAUCAGAAUUAGCUCGGUUAGGAAAGCAUCUCUAUCUUUAAGUAAAACAAAUCUCAUCAGAGUCGGAAGAUAUCAUAUUAUCACAGGUUAUAUAAUGACAUGUAUUUCUAGACUUCACAUAUGUUACGUUACGUCUGAGAACCGACUAAACCGUAGCUCUGAUACUAAUAAAUGUAACACCCCCUACUUGUAUCCGUCACCAGAAUAGGGUACGAGGCAUUACCGGAGUUACAAAUUUAUUUAUCAGACAUUUUAUUUCAUCUAACAUUCAUAUUUGGUACCAAUCAAAAUCAAACAUAUUACCCCCUAAACAUACUUAUUUUCCUUGUAUCAACAUAUCAAAGAUAAUCACAUAUUUACAUGUCAUGAUAAAUAUCAUUCUCUUGCCAUUUCUUCAUAAACAUAAAUCAGCUAACUCAUUAUAUCAAUAUUUCAUGUACCAUCAACUCGUAUUUCCUUAUAUCACAUAAUUAGGUUUCACAAACUUAUCUGGCUAAAUUGCAAAAAUACCAAGAUUCAGGGGUAUUUCAGUAAUUUUAUAUUUUCCUCGAUUUUUCAACCAAUCUUGAUCUAAAUUAAUAAUUUCAUUCAAUUUAUUAAUUUAGACAAUAAAAUAAUUCAUUUCACUCAGUUUGGUCAUUUUUUAUAUUUUUACAAAAUUGCCCCUAAAGUUUUACUUUUAUUCAAUUUAGUCCCCGAGCCUAAAACAUGCAAUUUAACCACUUUAAUGUAAUCCAUGCUAACUAAAUAUUCAUAUAUAUUUUCCUCCUCCUCCUCUCCAUUCCACAUCCUUAAUGUAUAUAUAAUUCUACUAUUUUCUCAUAUGCUCAUAUCAAGCUGUCCACUUGAGUCAUAGUCACUAAAUUAUUUAUAUCAUGAGCUACAGAAUUCUAAAUUAAGAACCCCUUGAUGUUUCUGAAACUAUACGCAAAUAUAUUUCUACCAUAAAAAUUUCAGAAAUUAUAAUUUAGCCAUUAAGUACAGUAAAAUCUUCAAACUUACCCCUAUUCUGCUGUUUAACAGCUUCGACCUUUCCUUUCUAAAAAUUAAUUAUCUUUUAGUAAAGAAUUUGGAUGAUGUUUCUGUUUGUUUCUCUUAAAAAUAGACUCAUUAAAGAUUUAAAAAUAUAAAUUUAAGACCCUAAUUAUUUUUCUCAAAUUUUUUUUAUGAUUUUCCAAAAUCAAAACAGAGGAACCCGAAAUUAUUCUAACAUUGUCUCAUAAAAUUUAUUAUAUCUCACAAUUUACAAUUCCAUUACUUAAACCGUUUCUUCUAUGAAAAACUAGACUCAAUAAACUUUAAUUUCAUAUUUUAUUCAACCUCUAAUUUGAUUUCCAAUUUUUUUUUUGUGAUUUUUCAAAUUUUAACUACUGCUGUUGUCCAAAACUAUUUUAGUGCAACAUAUUGAUUACCAAGUUUAUAACACCCUUAUUUCCAUUCUCUAUAAUAUUUCCCACCAUUUUCUCUUAUUUUCUUUCACUAAUAUAUCAAGAACAUAGAACCUUAUAUAAGAAAACUCUACCUUAACAUCAUUUUCAUGCUUUUGAUAUUACCUUACAUGAGAAACUCUACUUAAAAAAUAUUGAAGUCUUAAAGUUCUUACCUUGUCCUAUUGAUUUCAAUCUUUAACUUGAUUUUUCUCUCUCCUCCAACUUCUAUUUCUUGAAUCCAACUUGAUAUUUUAACUCCCCUUAGUCUCCUUAACAUUUUUCUCUCUUGGCAGCAAUGGAAAUUCUUUUGAUUUUUAGGUGAAAAUGGUGAAUUUUUUGUGGAAGGACUAAUUUGUAAAGAAAACAAAACUUUCUUUAUUCUCUUGUCUUCUAACGUAAAAUGCAUGGAAAGAUGAUGGAUGGUGUGUGUGUGUUGUUUUUUUUUCCACACACACAUAUAUAUACUAAAUAAAAUAAUAAAAUAAUCAUAAAUAUCUUAUUAAAAUAUUAAUAAAAUAAUAUUUAUCUAAUUAAUUAAUUUAAAAUAUCACCAACAUAAUCAUUACAUUCUAUAAUUCUCUCUCUUACUAAUUGACCAUUUUGCCCUUCAUAAUCUUUUAAAAUUCUAUCAUUGAGUCAUCACUUAAUUUGGAAAAAUUACGAUAUAGUCCCUCAUAAUUUUUCACCUAUUUGAUUUGGUCCUAAUUCAUCCAUUUUCCUUAGUUUCUAGAUUAUUCCACCCCUAAAAUGUUUGCACUAUUGGUCCUUCAAAUUUUUUAUAUUUACACUUUAACCCCUUAAAUUUUGAGUAUGUACUCUUGGGCAACAAAACUUUUCUUAUUUUUACAAUUUAGUCCUUUCUUUAAUUAAUAAUGUAAUAUAUCAUAAUAUACUUCCCAAUGUUGACAUAAUAAAAUUUCCCUUUUUAUCCCUUUAUUUUCUUAGUUAACUAUAUCAAAGAUAAUAUCUUAUUUUUUUAUUGUAAUAAUUUUCAGAGUAUUACAGUAAUAAAUUAUUUUUUUAGCAAAUAAAGCCUCAAAAUAAUUACAUUAUUAUUUCAGGAUUAUUAUGAAUAAACUUACUAUCAAAUCCACAGCUUCAUGCGCAACAAUCUAGGAGAGGUUUUGUUAGAGAUCCUCCAUGUGCAAGUUGUAGGCAUGUUGAAGAGUCUAUUAUUUAUGUUUUGCGAAGUUGUGCCAAUACAAGAGAAAUGUGGUAGUCCCUUUAAGGAUUUGGGGGGAAUUUCUUUAUACUCCAUUGCCAGAGUAGAUCUCGUUGAUUUAAAAAAAAUUAUUAUUUUAAAGUUUAUUUUAUAUACUAUAGAUUAAUUGAUGCAUUAUUUUUCACUUAAAAUAUAAUUUUUUAACUAAUUGAAUUUUAGCUCUAUUAACGUAUGUAUUUAUUAACUGGGAUUACAUUAAAUUUAAGAAAAAAAAGAAAAAGAAAAAAGAGAGAGGAUGUCAUUGAAGUCGGUAUAGAUAAUUACAAAAGCAUUACAAUCAUGACUUAAAGACGUGAGCUUUUAAAAUUAUAUCUAUGAGUUGAUAAGACUUAUUCAAAUAUCUAAUUUGUCGCCUUCUUCCCAUCUCCCUUAUCCAAUUAUAUUUAAUGGUUUUUCCAUUUUUAAUUCCUACAUCCCUUAGAACUAUUAAGUGUAACAUAAAAAAUUAAAUGGGUAAAAUCAUAAACCGGCCACUUGUCCGUGGGCCUCCACUCCAAGUAACGUAUCCCGGGAAAGCGACGAAAAUAAAGUGGAGGAUAAGUUAUACCGAAGCCGAGGCCAUGGGGGCCCUCCACAAUCUCGAACCCUCCUCCUUAUUCACGACGUAAUUCGACACCUUUCUCCAACAAUCGUCUCUUUGUAUGGGCCCCAUUCACAGACCAUCGGGUCCCGCUAUCCACGUGUCACUAUUCCAGUGGUACCAUGCUCUCAUGAUAGUGCCACACUGAUUUUUUAAUUUCUUUUUCGUCUUUUGACUCUUAUUUCACACCAAUAAAGCAUAUCUUCACUCGCUUUCUUUGCUUGACACGUAGGAUCAAGGACAGGUGUCGAGUAGAGAAAGCGAGUAAGGUAGAAUCAAUUAGGGGUGCCAGAGUAGUGUUGUUAAGACAUAUUUCUCAAAGUUUAAUGCAGAGCUCGGUUACAUGGCGCUGGAUUGCCCAUCCCAUUUAAAUUGCGUUAAUUUUUUAAUGUUUUCUCUUUUCCCUAAACUGCGUCAGAUCCGUGUUUGAAAAUACUAUAAAAACCCAGUUCCUCUCGUUUCUUAAAAUCCAUCAAUCUGUGUAGCCAACUUUGUACGUACAAGUGAAGUGAUCCACAAUCUUGAUACGGUAAUACGUUAGGUAGCUUUCAGCAUACUUGUUUUGAGUUUAGUGGUUGUAGAUAAAGAAAAAAUGGCUGAGGAGCAUACCAAGGUUGGUGGUGAGGAAGCAGUGGAGAGCAAGGAGCGAGGGAUGUUUGAUUUCUUGGGGAAGAAAGAAGAUGAGAAGCCUCAACCUCAAGAGGAGGUGGUCGCCACCCAGUUUGAGAAAGUCAAGAUAGAAGAGGAACAUAAGGAAGAUGAGAAGAAACACAGUCUCCUGGACAAGCUUCACCUAUCCAAUAGCAGCUCCAGCUCUGUAAUUACUUUUUUUUACUUCCUUGCUUACUAUUCAUAGUUCAAACAGUCAAAUCUUUUUCAUAUAUAUUAUAACAUGCGUUGUAUGAAUGUUCAGUCUAGUGACGAGGAAGAAGGUGAAGGCGGAGAGAAGAUGAAGAAGAAGAAAAAGGAGAAGGGAAAGAAAGAACAGGACAGUGCAGUCCCAGUGGAGAAGUGCGAUGAGGCAGCAACAGUUCACCACUCAGAGACGCCGAAAAAGAAGGGUUUCAUGGAUAAGAUCAAAGACAAACUCCCAGGACAGCAUAAGAAAGAUGAAGAGGACACCACCCAACCACCAGCUGCUGCUGCCCCAACUGAGAACGACCACCAUGAAGGAGAGACAAAAGAGAAGAAGGGAUUUUUGGUGAAAAUCAAGGAGAAAAUUCCUGGUUACCACUCCAAAACAGAGGACGAGAAGGAAAAAGAGACCACUGCUCCCCAUUAAUGAAUCAAUAUAAUGCAUUUCAAGUAAAAGAUGUGUAGAGAUUGUGUGGUUUAUCAAUUUGUUGGAACUGUCUGUUCUCUGUUUUUCUUUUUGGGGUUGCAUACAUCAUAUAAAUUUCUGCGUCUGUUUUCCUGCUUGUAAGUUAAAAAGGAAAAAAAAGAAAAAAGAAGGUAUGUAUAUUUAAUGUUUUCAAUGUCAUUAUAAUAAUUAAGAAAUGACGGUAUUAUUUCCCUUUUAUCAAGUAGGUUUGUGCACUCUUAAAUGCAAGUUUUAACAAAUAUGAAUUAUUUAAAUAUACAUUUAAUUUUUGAAUUUAACAUUUUUUUUUCUAGGUUGAUGUUACUCAAAUUUUUAUUUCAUUAACUAAAUUAGUAUUAAUUUAAUUCGCGGAAUAAAAAUUCUAACAUUAGAAAAAAAUAAAUAUAACAUAAAUUAUAAAAUGAAGGAAAAAAAAAUUUCGACCGUAGUUAAUGAAUAAUGAUCAAUGAAAGAUCAGUGAAAAGCUAAUUCAUGUAACAAAUUGUUUAUUGGUUUUUAAGCAAAAAUACAAUAAUAUUAGGUGGCAAGCUUUUAAUUGUUUGACAAUUGAUACUCUAUUUAUAUGAACAUAGAAUAUGUUCAAAUACUUUGAUCAAAAUGUUGGUAAAUUUUAUGAUUUAGCGUAAAAAUGAAAAAAAAAAUCAUUUAUGGAUCAAAAUGUUUCAAAAUGAUUACGAAUAGAAAAUAUUUAGUAUAGUGUUGAUAAAGUUUUUAAACUUCAUAAAUAAUUAUGGGUUAAGUGUUUUAUAAGUUUUAGUAAAAUAUUAAAAAAUGUAUAUAUAUUUAAAAAAUUACAAUUUUUUCAAGUCGUGAAAUAAAAAAUAUAUAUUAUCAGUAUAUCAAAUACUAAUUUAUAAAAAAAUCAAUCUCAUAAUGUUUAAAUAUCAUUCAUUUAAGUCAUGAGGUGUGGUGUGGUAAUUGCUCAUCUCAUUUCUCAAUCAUUAGGUCAAGGGUUUAAUCCUUGCUUAUAGGAAUGGAGCACAUUUUAUGGUCAAUCAUUUAUCUUUUUGGAGAGCUCUAAUAGCGAAAGAAUUAGUCAUUACUACUAGUGGUGGAUACUAUAAAAAUAUUUAUAACUUUGUAUAUAUUUAUAUAACAAACUUUUUCCCUUAAUUCAAAGGGUUAAUAGCUAAUUUGGUCCCUGUGUUAUAGUUAAAAGUCAAUUUGAUUUUUUUUAAUUCUCUUAACAAUAAUUGUAAAAGAAAAUCUUAAACUAAAAAUUAAUAGAAAAUCUAUAAAAAUAAUUGAAAAUUCAUAAUUUUUUUUAAAAUAUGGAACUAUUUAAAUAUGUAUAAAUCUAAAAAUUUCUUAAAAUUAAAACCAAAAGAUUUUUAGGGUCUGUUUGAUAGGGGAAAAUAUUUUCCGGAAUUGAUUUUCCCCAUUUUCCAGUGUUUGAUUGGAGGAAAAUAUUUUCCUUUCAGAAAAUCAACUACAAAACACGGGAAAAUGCCUUACAAUUUUUGGGAAAUUGUCUUACCGAUUCAAUCUCCGUAAGACAUUUUCCUAAAGCUCUCAGGCAUUCUUCUCCCUUCAUCCAGUAAGCUCCCUUCAUCCAUUCUUCUCCCUUCCUUCAUUCCUUCAAAUUUCUGUUAUUGAAAGCUUCAUUUUGGUUCAGAACUGGAAACCGCUGCUGGUACGUUGCAAUUCCAUUUCCAUUUUUCGACGGUUACUUCAUUUAUUUUUCAUUUCUUUUUGGCUUUUAUGCUCCGUUUAUUUUUCAUUUCUUUUUGGCUGCUACUGCCGUUGCCAUUUCUUCUUUCAAAUGAUGGGUAAGCUUCCUUCUUCUUUUAUUCUUCGUUCGGUUGUUAAUGCUGGAAGCCAUCUUUCUAAUUUCCACUCUUUCUUCUUCUUCUAACACUAUUGCUACCCACAUCGACUGCCUAAGUAAGAAACCAAUGUCCAUGCCUGUUAGAGGAAAGGGAAAAACAGACCACCGCUUCGAUAAUGUUGAUCAUGCUUUGAGUUUGUUCACUUCUUUUUGUUGUCUCUGGUUUUCUGAGAUUUUGUUUAGUUUUUAUGUUUUUUUUAAUGUGAUGGGAAAUUGGGUUGGAAUUGAAGUUGAGGGUCCUUUUGCAACUUUCAAUUCUAAAGAAGGGGAAAAAAUUGCUUGCAAGUUUUAGAUAUGGACUGACGGUAUCUUUUAGAAGUUGUUCAUGUAGGAAGUUCUUAUUUGAUGAUUCAACUGCAGUUCCCAAUUGAUCUUCUAUAGGAUUAUCCUUGGAUCAUGCUAAAGGAUAUAUCAAUCUGGGAUUUAUUUUGAUUCUAUUGGAAAUUUGUGUCUGAUAUGAUUGAUACUAUUUAAGGUUAUUAUUAGAUUUGUUCUUCCUUGUUCAUUUAGCAGCAAUAGGAAUUCUCAAUAUGAAAUGUCAUGGUUUGCUUUGUCUAUAGUAGGGGUGUAAAGGUGCUUGCAAACUACUUGAAGAAAGACUCGAACUCGGUCGAGCUAUCAAUUGAGUCAAAUUUGAGCUUUGUUAAAUAAUGGCAUGUCUGGAAAUCAUGGACUGGGUAAUGAAGUUAGUUGCUUUGUUAAUUUAUGGAUUAAUGGUUUUAUAGGAACUUAAGUUAGUUUCUUUGUUAAUUUGGGUAAUGAACUUUGUCUGGAAAUCAAGGACUGGUUAAUGAAGUUAGUUGAUUUGUAGUUUUAUUUUUGUUUUUGUAUGGUCUAAUGCAAAUCCUUUUUUAUUAUGCCAUGUCGUGGUUGAUAAUCGCGAGUUGUGUAAUUUUAUGUUGUUCUUUCUCCUCCUUCUUCAGAUUGGAAAAAUUGGGAGCCUUAAAAUGGGACAAGGUAGUGCAUGGAAAUCAAGCGUGGAGGCUUAUCACUUGCAUCUGGCUGCACGCUGGUGUUAUUCAUCUACUUGCAAACAUGUUGAGCUUGAUCUUCAUUGGAAUUCGCCUUGAACAACAAUUUGGAUUCAAUACGUUAUCCGUUCCCUUUUGUAGUGGUAGCGUACUAUCGUCUCUUUUCAUUCAACGUAGCAUUUCUGUUGCUGCCUCUGGUGCUUUAUUUGGCCUUCUUGGAUUAAUGUUGUCGGAGCUGCUGACUAAUUGGACUAUCUAUACAAAUAAGGUAAUAUUAGUUGCCUUGGGUUCCUAUCUACUUAGAAAUGCAAUGAAGGGAAACCAGAGUUAUAGGUGAUUUCUUUUUUCAUGUGGCUUGAAAAGUAAUAGAGGAUAUUGAUUUUUUACCUUAAUUUGUAGGCUACAGCUCUGAUCACACUCACGGUCAUCAUUGUCAUUAACUUAGCAAUGGGGAUUCUUCCUCACGUCGACAACUUUGCGCAUAUUGGAGGUUUCUUAACCGAUUUUCUCCUUGGGUUCGUUUUGCUGCUUCGUCCCCAAUUCGGGUGGGUGGGACGUAAACAUCUUCCUGCCGGUGCUUGUGUAACAUCUAAGCAUAAAGCAUACCAAUACCUAUUUUUGGUGAUAGCUAUGGUUUUACUCAUUGCUGGGUAAGUUCUCUCAACCCUACAUUACUAGUUUAGCAGCUCGUGUUUAUAAUUUUGGUCCCGUUUGUUUAAUCUCCUCUGUUUUCCUUUUUCGAAUGAUGACAGUUUCACAUUGGGGUUGGUAAUGCUGUUUAGAGGAGAGAAUGGACAUGACCAUUGCAGCUGGUGCCAUUACCUGAGCUGUGUUCCUACAUCAAAAUGGCACUGUGGGAACUAAGCAGACCUUUAUUACAUAUCGUUCACUGAUUCUUUUCUGGUUUCCUUUACAUUUUUUACAUUUGUUAAUUUCUUGGUGUUGUUACGUGCCUAUGUGUAUAUAUAUAUACAUACAUACAUACGUACAUGGUUAGUUUUUAGACUUCGAGUUAUUUUAUUCACUGUUGUUAUGUGAUUUGACAUUUUAUACACAACUUGGUCUAAAUAUAUAUAAUAAGCGAUUUUACUUGAAGAAAAUACGAGAAUAUCUUUCAGUUUUUCCCUAUAGUUUUAGCUAAAGGUUUUGGCUUUGCAAUAUUUACUUUCCCUGAGGUCGUAUCUAUAAUCUAACUUUGUCUCUUUGGACAUUAAAGGAUGAAAGUUUAAUUAUUAGAGAAUUAAGCUUUGCCUUUGCAAGUAAUCAAUAUUAAACAUAUAAAUACCUUGUUUGUGAUAUAUUAAAAUGGAAUUAAGUAGACAUUAAGCAUUAAGAUUCUCAAAACUAUUUAUUAUAUGUUACUCAUCAACUCACUAAUAAAUUUCACUUACCAUUUCAUUUUAGCCCAAAUAUAGAUUUAUAGGACAUAAGGAUAUGUGGAUAGAACACUGAAUCACUAGAACAAAUGUAAAAACAACUUUUCCGAAAAAUAUUUUCAAGAAAUCUGUCAAAAAGUAGAAAAUAUUUUACACAGAUUCAAUCAAACACCAGAAAAUAUUUUCCAGUAAAUCAUUUUAUAGAAAAGUAAAACAUUUUCCAGAAAUUAUUUUACGGAAAACAUUUUACUGGCAAUCAAACGGACCCUUAAUUUAAAUCCCAUGUUAAAUAUAUGUAUCACAAGAAUCAGAUUGGAUAAAAGUAGAAUCAAAUUAAUAUAAAAUUUAAAUACAAAUAAAUGUUUUAAUAAUGAAGAAGUAAAAUCAAAUCGGUAUAAUCUACAAAUAGAUGAACAUUUGGAAUUUAAUUAGAUAAAAAACUUUUAUUAAUAAAAAAUUUAUUUAUAAAUAAAUCAUUGCAAUAUGUGUAAAAAUAAUUUAAAAUAUAAAAAUUUAUUAAUAUGUAUAUAAAUUUAUUAAUAUAUGUAAAAACAACUUUUCCGGAAAAUAUUUUCAGGAAAUCUGUCAAACAGCAGAAAAUAUUUUACACAGAUUCAAUCAAACACUAGAAAAUAUUUUCCAGUAAAUCAUUUUACAGAAAAGUAAAACAUUUUCCAGAAAUCAUUUUACGGAAAACAUUUUACUGCCAAUCAAACAGACCCUUAAACUAACAUUUCUUACAAAUUUUUAUUAUAUAAAACAAUUUAAAAUUUUCAAAUUUGUUGAGUAGUAUUUUUCUCGUAUCGUAUUAAGAGAAACACAUGGGGUAUUUAUACAUGUUUCUAUUGCUACUAUUACAGCUCACAAUAGGGCCCACUAUUUUGUCUCAGUCUUUGGGCCGAUGGUACUGACAUUCCCUGUCCCUGGUGCUGGCAUUCCCCUGGGUAUCCCUUGGCUUAUCGGAUGCAUGUCUGCGAAGCACGCAGUCUUUUUUGAUCCUAAGACUGACUCCUCCAGCGAGCCUCGUACCUACUAAUCACAAGCAGGGAUUCCUAGUAGGGCUUGUGAUCCCUUUUGCUGACAUAGCUCGCGACGUCAUUCCUAUGAGGCUUACGUGAGCUCUCCUUACGAGCUUUCCGUGCGAGCUAUCUUUGCAAAAAUCUAGCAUUCCAGUGGGGUCCCCAGCAAACUAUGCCUGUAGGUGAACAUUCUUGUAACACCCUUUACUCGUACCCAAGACCGGGAUAGAGUACGGGGCAUUACCGAGAACAUACAAAGACAUUUGGGAAAUAUGGCUAUCAAAUUUCGUUCGAAAAUAAAAACAUUCAUAAUAUCCCUAAUAUGAGCUUAAGAGGCCCGAAACAUAUUUAGAAACCCAUUCAGGAACAACCCGGGUCCUUAAAAGAAUAAAAAAACCUUCACUAAAAACAGGGGCACACGUCCAUGUAACCUUCACGACAUGGCCGUGCUGAUGGCCCGUGUAUUUCACACGGCCUAAGCACCUAGGGACACGCCCGUGUCCCUUACCCGUGUGGCCAAUUUAAUUCACAAUUUCUCAUAAAUCAAGUGCAGACUUCAUACGACCAGAACACACGCCCGUGUCUAUGGUCCGUGGAGCAUACUGCCAACUUAACUAUAAACAAAAAAAUCACAUGGCCAAGGCACUCGCCCCUGUCUAUUGCCCGUGUCUUUCACACGGCCUUGACACGCCCGUAUCCUCAGCUCGUGAAGCUAUCUGUCUAAAUGGUCAUGGUCUAAAUGAAGUCGUACGGCCUUGUGCUAAAAAUAGGCUAUUUAACAAGCCUUCAAGCCAUCCAUGCCAACAAUAACCUACAUAGCAUUCUACCAUACCAAUAUCCCUAUCAACAUGGGACCAAACAACUAUAAGAAACAGUAAUUCAACUAACUACUAGAACAGUUCAAUUAACCAAGGGGGCAACAACCUUCAACAUAUGAUUCAAUAUGAAUAUUAGCCAUUAACCAUGGCCUUAUACAAAAUGAAUUAAUAACACAUUCAUGAACCAAUACUUUGGCUAAACUAAUGACAUAUACCAAGCAAAAUAAACAAAAGUCCUAUACAUGCCAUUAUACAAAAUAAAAGCUUCCAUAUACCCAAAACGGAAUUAGUUCAAUAGUGUGAUCAACGCUCCAACCGUCUUCCAAUCCUCAAGAGUCCACGAGUACUGUAAAACAGGGGAAAAUAAAAAGGGCAAGCAUUAACAUGCCUAGUAAGUUCGGAUAACGGGAAAGUAAACCUACUAGUUAUUUAGUAUAAAACCAUAAUAAGCACACAAUCCAAACAAGUAUAGGAUAGAUUUCCUAUCACAUGCACUCAACCAUUAAGUUAGUCUCAUAGCAUGACAAAAUAAUAGCACAUCUAGAUGAGCUCAUCACAUCAUUAUUCCCAAUUUACAUCUCAUGUUAGUCCUAUUGAAUUUUUUGGUUUUCCUAUGGAUAUCUCAUUUCCCAUCAGUUCAUAUAAGUGGUCAUUUUGAGUACGCAUUCCCGCGAACCUCGCAUCUUACGGCAGAAUUACCAGAUCAGACUAAAUCCCCCGUAAUACAAACUCAUAAAGUAAAUGUCGGGAUUACCAGUCCAGGUUAAAUCCCCUACAACGACAUAUACUCUAAUGAGCUCGAAUCUGAAUUACUGGUCCAGGCUAAAUUCAGAUCCUACUUCGGAUUACCCUUCCGGGCUAAAUCCUUAAUGUACACAUAUUCUUCGGGAGGCUAGAUCACUAUAGGAUCAUCCGUCUGGGCUAGAUGCUUUUCACCGUCAAUUCAUUUUCGAGAUAUUCCAUUGAAUAACCCUAUUCAUUCAACCUGGGGCAUUCUUAUACUCAUUUUACUCACUUUAUUAAAUCUCAUAAAUUAUCAUGCAAUAAACAUUUACACAAUCAAGAAUAUACAUUUUAAGUACAUUAAAAGUCUACCUUGACUUAUUAGAACUUACCUUGUGAUCGUUUCAGAUUUGAGUUUUGAUCACUCCGAAACCUUUCGUCUCCCUCAAUCGACUUCCAGAUUGUAAUGAACCGAAAGUUACGGUAUCGGAAAUUGAGUCUUGAGUACUGUUUCCGUGAAAUUAAUUCAUGAAUAUUUAUUAGAAAUAUUUAUGAAUUAUAGUUGAAUGGUUAUUUAAUGUUUAAUUAAGUGAAGUAGCUUGAAUUUAGUUUAAAGGACUAAAUUACAUAAGGUAUAAAAGUUUAAUUAUAGAUUAAAGAUUAAUAAAUGGACUAAUCUAGCAAUUAGACCCUAAGUGCCAUGUGUGUGAAUGUAUGAUAUAACAUGUGUAAUAGUUGGUAAAGAUAUUAAAUGUGUUAAAGUAGUUUUUCUUAUAGAUUAAGUUAUUUUAUUAGAAUAAUAUUAUAUUAUUAAUAUUAUUAUAUUGAAUAUAGAUUUAUGAUUAAGUUAAAAAAGAAAGAAAGAAAGAUAGAAAGAGUUACAGAGAGCAAACGUGAGAAAGAAAGAAAGAAAUAGAAAAGGGAAAUUUGAGGAUUAAGGCCCUAAAGCUUGAUUGGUAAGAUGUUUUAGCUUAUUUUCUUAUAAUUUUUAUGUUUAUGGAUGCCUAAUUCAAAGUUCUACAUGUAUGAGGUUAAAAUGAAGAAAAAUAGAAAAUUUUUAGAUAUUGAUUUAGUUGAAUAAAUUGAGGUUUUAUGGGUUAAAUUGAUAGAAAUUGAAGUUAGAAGUGAAAAUUGAGUGAUUUAUUAAAAGAAUUCUAAGUUAGGUUUAAAUAGGGAUUAAGUUGAAUAGAGCUCAAAAUUUAUGUUUUAUAAUGAAUUUUAUGAGUUAGAAAUUGUUAAUGAGUUGAUUAAAAGAGAAUAAGAAGCUUAAGUUAAAGAAAAAAAAGAUUAGUAAUGGAAAAAGGAUGAAAUUAGAACUUUUGUAAAAGUUUGAUAGAAAGUGAAAAUGUGUUUUAUGAAUUAGUAUAUUGAUGAUUUUUAAUUGUAUGAUUGUUAGUAGCAAACGUAGCACCGGAUACGUCAUCGAAGAAGGGAAAAGAGAAAGUGAACGAAGAUAUCGAUUAAAUUCGAUAAAUAGAGGUUUGUAUUUCUAUAAACCGAGCUUAAUCGUUAUUGCUAUAUUUGAUAUUUAUAUUGUAUGAAAAUGUGAAUGAGGUAAGUAUUUUUACCAUAUUGAAAUGAAUGUGAUUUUGAAUACCGUAUUAACAGUGUCGGGCUAGUCGGAUAUAGUUGACAUGUCAUAGGAAUUGGAAGUAUUGGGAUAUUCCGACAUUGAGUCGAUGAGACACUAUGUGUCGACUACUGUUAAAGUUCCGGAUUUGUUCCGAUGAAGUACUUUGUGUACUAUAAUGUUAAAGUUCCGGAUUUGUUCCGAUGAAGCACUAUGUGCUUAUCCCGGAGUGUGGGUUGGAUCCGUGUGUCCGUUAGUGUCCGAGUUAUGUUAAUAAGGGUAAAUAAAGUAAAGAUUAUUAAAGUACUGAUUGAUAUUGAAUAAUAGCAAUAAUGUGUUUGAAUUACCAUGUUUUAAAGUUGAUUAAGCUAUUGUUCAUAGAAAUACAACUGAGAGUAUUCUCAGCGUACGGUUUGUUUCCGUGCGCAGGCUAGGUACGAAAGUAUAAGGACUCAGCAUACAAGCCGAUCCCCGAACUCAAAUUGGUGAAGUUUCUAUCUUUUUGGAAAAUGGCAUUGUACCUAGGAUGUCUUUUGGUCAUUUUGAAAGUAUCUAAGUUGUUAAGUGAUAUUUUGGUAUGUUAUGUAAAUGUUACCAAAACCUUAAGUAUGGUAUGUUUUGAUAUGUUAGUGAAGAGUAAUAAGAGGAAGUGUUGGUAAAUAUUGUAGAGAGAAGAAAUGAAGAUGUUAUAAACUUAUUUAUCAACAUUUUAUACUAAAACAGAUUUGGACAGUAACAGUAGUCCAACUUUGAAAAUAUACCAAAAAUAGUAUAAAGUGAAUUAGAUGAUGAAUAAAAUAUGUAAUUGAAGCUUAAUGAAUCUAUUUUUAUAUGGAAUAAACAAAAUAGGUAAAAAAGUUUUAUUUUAUGAGAUAUUUACAUUUUGGUGAAACAGGGUUAGAGCAAUUUUUGGAUUCCCUGUUUUAACUUUAGAAAUUCACCAUAAAUUUUGUAUUAAGAAUUAGGACUCAAACUUUAUAUUUAUGGAUUCUUUAUUGAAUCUAUUUUUAAUUGAAACAAAUGGCAUAGUCAUUGGAUUUCUGUACAGGAAUAAAUUUGAUUCGUAGUGCACAAGGGUUAGAGUAGCUAAACCCUAAAAUAGGGGAGACUUUUUCUAAUAAAAUGUACUAAUUGGCCUGACCAAAAAUCCUAGAAAAAAUUUAGUACGUAGAUAUAUGAGUCUAGUUUCAGGGAAAAUUUACGGAAUUGGAUUUUGAGUUUCUUAACUCAAGAUAUGAUUUUUUAGCGACCGUGAUGCAGAUGGAUAGUUUACUACGAAAACUAUUUAAGUGCUAAGAUAAGUUUUGUAAUGUCUCCUGCUUGACUCCAGCAACGGUCUCGGGUAGGGGGACGUUACAAUAUUGAUUGGUAUCAGAGCUAAUUAGGUUUAGUCGGUUCUAGGACUAAAUCGAAUGUCAAUGUGAAUCUAGAGGUACAUGCCAUUACUGAGUCAAAUUUGAGUUGGGAUUGGAUGCUGAUAUGUUUGUUGAAUAUUUUUGUUUUAUAGCAUUAAGAAUGUCUGAUAAAAGCAUUGAGGAUACUGAUCAAGAGAUGUAUAGUGAAGAUGAUGAACCGUAUAAUGUGAAUGAAUCGGAGUUUGCAACUCCAAGUGUGAAUCCAGUAGGAAAUCAACCGAAUGUUGGAAGUGAUAAUACUGAAGUCUUUAGAAUAAUCGCCGAUGCCCUUCAAAAAGCGGUAGGAACUAUGCUUGCUACGUCCUCUAUCCCUACUACCCGAAGAGCUCCAAUUAAAGAAUUGAGAAAAUAUGGAGCUACAGAAUUUUUGGGUGCAAAGAGAAUUGAUUCGACUACUGCUGAAAAUUGGUUAAAGACUACAAAGAGAGUUCUGAAGCAACUUGAAUGUACACCACAAGAAAGCUUAGUGUGUAUUGUCUCAUUACUGCAAGAGGAAGCUUUAGUAUGGUGGGAAUCAGUGAUUCAGAAUGUACUUGAGGAACAUAUAAGUUGGGACUUCUUUCAAAAAGAGUUUCAAAAUAAGUAUUUGGGAGAAAUGUACAUAGAGGACAAAAGAUAAGAGUUCUUAACACUGAAAUAAGGUGAGAUGCUUAUAGUGGAUUAUGAACAAGAAUUUCUAAGACUGAGCAGAUAUGCCACUGAGUUUGUACCGACUGAAGCCGACAGAUGUAAAAGAUUUUUAAGAGGAUUACGUGAUGAAUUUAGACUACAGUUGAUGCCUCUUAGAAUCACUGAGUUUGCGGAUUUAAUGGAAAGAGCUAAGAUGAUUGAACAAAUUCUCGGAAGGGAUAAAAAGUCUGAAGUUGCUCGUUCGACUAAAAAACGUCCCGGAAUGGUUAGUUCAAGUUCGUAGCCUAAGCGGUCAAAGGAAUCACGAGGUAAUUGGAGAUUUAGUUCUCGAUCGGAAAGAAGUGAUCGAGGUCGGAAAAGAUAGACUACUGUGUCUACUGGCAGUAUCCGAAGUCCAGUUCAGAAUACUGAAAUUCCAAUAUGUGAGCAUUGUGGAAACCGACACAAAGAGGAAUGUAGAAAGUUGACUGGAGGUUGUUUCCAUUGUGGGGCUACUGAUCACUUUAUUAAAGAUUGCCCAAAGAUAUCUGGAACAACACUGAAAGUAGUGCAAAGAUCUGAAUUUGCUUCCAGAGGCCGGGGAUCAGGUCGAAGUAGUUCGUUUGCUAGAGGUGGUACUAGAAGAACUAGUGAGAGUGCUACACAACAAUCUGAAGCUAGAGCUCCAGCUCGAGCAUAUGUUAUGAGGACUCGAGAAGAGAAAGAUGCUCAUGAUGUGGUGACAGGUAUAUUCUUGUUGAAUUCACCACCCGUUUAUGCUUUAAUAGACCCUGGGUCAUCACAUUCAUAUGUUAAUACGAAAGUAGUUGAGACAAAAAAAUUAGAGUCUGAAUUGUCUAAAGUUAUGAUAGAAGUGUCUAGUCUACUGGGACAAACUACUUUAGUGAACCAUAUAUGUUGAAGAUGUUCAUUAAUGAUUCAAGAUAGAAUAUUCCCUGUUGAUCUAUUGAUUAUGCCAUUUGGUGACUUUGAUGUUAUUUUGGGAAUGGACUGGUUAUCAGAACAUUGAGUGAUUUUAGACUGUUAUAAGAAGAAGUUUAUUGUUCAGAAUGAAAGAGAAGAUACGAUUGAAGUAAAUGGUAUUCGGACUAGUGGAUCAAUUCGUAUUGUUUCGGCCAUUAAAGCUAGCAAGCUUCUUCAUCGAGGUUGUAAUGCUUUCUUAGCAUAUGUGAUUAAUUCGGAUUCAGUUGAAAGUUAGUGUAGUAAAAUUUAGACUGUAUGUGAAUUUUCUGAUGUAUUCCCUGAGGAAUUACCUGGAUUACCCCUUGAUCGAGAGGUAGAAUUUGUGAUUGAAGUCUACCCAGGUACAGAUCCGGUAUCGAUACCUCCGUACCGUAUGGAACCUACUGAGCUAAAGGAAUUAAAAGUACAGUUGCAAGACUUAUUGGAUAGAGGUUCUAUACGACCUAGUACAUCACCAUGGGGAGCUCCAAUGUUAUUUGUUAAGAAGAAAGAUGGGUCGAUGCGGUUGGGCAUUGAUUAUCGACAACUCAACAAAUCAACUGUCAAGAACAAGUAUCCACUUCCCCGAAUAGAUGAUUUGUUUGAUCAACUGAAAGGAGCUUUUGUAUUUUCAAAGAUUGAUCUGAGGUCGGGAUACUAUCAGUUGAAAGUAAAAGAGUGCGACUAUUGAAGACGACAUUUCGUACGAGGUAUGGGCAUUAUGAAUUCUUAGUAAUGCCAUUUGGACUGACAAAUGCCCCUGCUGCUUUUAUGGAUCUUAUGAAUCGGAUUUUUCAGCCAUACUUGGAUCAGUUCAUAAUAGUUUUUAUUGACGAUAUUUUGGUGUAUUCCAAGUCAGAAAAAGACCAUGAGCAACAUCUCCGGAUUAUUUUGUAAAUACUACGAGAAAAGCAAUUGUAUGGAAAAUUGAGCAAGUGUGAAUUCUGGUUAUCAGAAUUUUAAGAGGAUUACAUGAUGAAUUUAGACUACAGUUGAUGCCUCUUAGAAUCACUGAGUUUGCGGAUUUAAUGGAAAGAGCUAAGAUGAUUGAACAAAUUCUCGGAAGGGAUAAAAAGUCUGAAGUUGCUCGUUCGACUGAAAAACGUCCCGGAAUGGUUAGUUCAAGUUCGCAGCCUAAGCGGUCAAAGGAAUCACGAGGUAAUUGGAGAUUUAGUUCUCGAUCGGAAAGAAGUGAUCGAGGUCGGAAAAGAUAGACUACUGUGUCUACUGGCAGUAUCCGAAGUCCAGUUCAGAAUACUGAAAUUCCAAUAUGUGAGCAUUGUGGAAACCGACACAAAGAGGAAUGUAGAAAGUUGACUGGAGGUUGUUUCCAUUAUGGGGCUACUGAUCACUUUAUUAAAGAUUGCCCAAAGAUAUCUGGAACAACACCGAAAGUAGUGCAAAGAUCUGAAUUUGCUUCCAGAGGCCGGGGAUUAGGUCGAAGUAGUUCGUUUGCUAGAGGUGGUACUAGAAGAACUAGUGAGAGUGCUACACAACAAUCUGAAGCUAGAGCUCCAGCUCGAGCAUAUGUUAUGAGGACUCGAGAAGAGAAAGAUGCUCAUAAUGUGGUGACAGGUAUAUUCUUAUUGAAUUCACCACCCGUUUAUGCUUUAAUAGACCCUGGGUCAUCACAUUCAUAUGUUAAUAUGAAAGUAGUUGAGACAAAAAAAUUAGAGUCUGAAUUGUCUAAAGUUAUGAUAGAAGUGUCUAGUCUACUGGGACAAACUACUUUAGUGAACCAUAUAUGUUGAAGAUGUUCAUUAAUGAUUCAAGAUAGAAUAUUCCCUGUUGAUCUAUUGAUUAUGCCAUUUGGUGACUUUGAUGUUAUUUUGGGAAUGGACUGGUUAUCAGAACAUUGAGUGAUUUUAGACUGUUAUAAGAAGAAGUUUAUUGUUCAGAAUGAAAGUGAAGAUACGAUUGAAGUAAAUGGUAUUCGGACUAGUGGAUCAAUUCGUAUUGUUUCGGCCAUUAAAGCUAGCAAGCUUCUUCAUCGAGGUUGUAAUGCUUUCUUAGCAUAUGUGAUUAAUUCGGAUUCAGUUGAAAGUUAGUGUAGUAAAAUUCGGACUGUAUGUAAAUUUUCUGAUGUAUUCCCUGAGGAAUUACCUGGAUUACCCCCUGAUCGAGAGGUAGAAUUUGUGAUUGAAGUCUACCCAGGUACAGAUCCGGUAUCGAUACCUCCGUACCGUAUGGCACCUACUGAGCUAAAGGAAUUAAAAGUACAGUUGCAAGACUUAUUGGACAGAGGUUCUAUACGACCUAGUACAUCAUCAUGGGGAGCUCCAAUGUUAUUUGUUAAGAAGAAAGAUGGGUCGAUGCGGUUGUGCAUUGAUUAUCGACAACUCAACAAAUCAACUGUCAAGAACAAGUAUCCACUUCCCCGAAUAGAUGAUUUGUUUGAUCAACUGAAAAGAGCUUCUGUAUUUUCAAAGAUUGAUCUGAGGUCGGGAUACUAUCAGUUGAAAGUAAAAGAGUGCGACUAUUGAAGACGACAUUCCGUACGAGGUAUGGGCAUUAUGAAUUCUUAGUAAUGCCAUUUGGACUGACAAAUGCCCUUGCUGCUUUUAUGGAUCUUAUGAAUCGGAUUUUUCAGCCAUACUUGGAUCAGUUCAUAAUAGUUUUUAUUGACGAUAUUUUGGUGUAUUCCAAGUCAGAAAAAGACCAUGAGCAACAUCUCCGGAUUAUUUUGUAAAUACUACGAGAAAAGCAAUUGUAUGGAAAAUUGAGCAAGUGUGAAUUCUGGUUAUCAGAAGUUGUGUUUCUUGGUCAUGCCGUAUCAGCAGAUGGAAUUAGAGUGGAUCCAAAGAAGAUUGAAGCAGUUAUUCUGUGGAAAGUUCCUAAGAAUGUAUCAGAGGUACAAAGUUUUCUUAGAUUGGCUGGUUACUAUCGAAGACUCGUCAACGGAUUUUCAAAGAUAGCCUUACCGAUGACCAAGCUACUACAGAAGAAUAUUCCAUUUGUUUGGAAUGAGUAAUGUCAGAAAAGUUUUGAAGCAUUAAAACGAAUGUUAACAGAGGCACCGGUGUUGACUUUACCAGAAUCAGAAAGAGAUUUUGUAGUGUACAGUGAUGCUUCAUUGAGUGGACUGGGAUGUGUACUGAUGCAGAACGGGAAAGUCAUUGCUUAUGCUUCACGGCAACUGAAACCGCAUGAACGCAACUAUCCAACUCAUGAUUUAGAAUUAGCAGCUGUAAUUUUUUCCUUGAAGAUUUGGAGGCACUAUCUUUAUGGUGAAAAGUGCUAUGUUUAUACGGAUCAUAAAAGUUUGAAGUAUCUUCUUUCGUAAAAAGAAUUGAAUCUGAGACAAAGGCGUUGGAUAGAGCUUCUGAAAGACUAUGAUUGUGUCAUAGACUAUCAUCUAGGGAAGGCUAAUGUAGUAGACGACGCACUGAGUAGAAAAUCUGCGAUUGAAUUACGAGCAAUGUUUGCACAACUUAGUAUCACUGAAGAUGGAAGUCUUUUGACUGAAUUAAGAAUAAAGCCAGUAAUGUUUGAUCGAAUCAGAUCAGCACAGUUAGAAGAUGAUAAGUUGUUAAAGAAAAGAGAGAUGAUUCAGAAUGGUACAACAGAAAAUUUUAGCAUUGAUGGAAAUGGUUGUCUAAGAAUUCAGAAUCAACUUUGCAUUCCAGAUAAUUCUGAGUUGAAAGAGUUAAUACUUCGAGAAGCUCAUAAUAGUCCAUUUGUAUUUCAUCCUGGAGGUAUGAAAAUGUAUCGUGAUUUGCGUGAAUUGUAUUGGUGGCUGGGAAUGAAAAAGGAUAUAAAUGAAUAUGUGGCAAAGUGUUUGACUUGUCAACGAGUGAAGGCAGAACAUCAAGUUCCAUCAGGAUUACUUCAACCUAUCAAUAUUCCUGAAUGGAAAUGGGACCGAAUAACGAUGGACUUUGUGAAGGGAUUACCGACGUCUACAAGUAAAAAGAAUGCUAUUUGGGUAAUAGUUGAUCGACUUACGAAGUCAGCUCAUUUCUUAGUUGUGAGAACCGAUUGGUCGUUAAAGAAACUUGCUGAGGUUUAUGUUCGGGAAAUCAUUAGAUUACAUGGUAUUCUAAAACCAAUAAUUUCUGACAGAGAUUCAAGGUUUAUGUCAAGGUUUUGAAAGCAAUUACAUGAAUCUUUCGGUACUCGACUUCACUUUAGUACAGCUUUUCAUCCACAGACUGAUGGUCAAUCUGAACGGGUAAUACAAAUUUUAGAAGAUAUGCUUCGAGCCUAUAUGAUUGAUUUUGAGUCUAACUGGGAAUAUUAUUUGUCAUUAGCUGAAUUUGUAUAUAAUAAUAGUUUCCAGUCAAGUAUACAGAUGGCACCGUAUGAGGCUUUGUAUGGACGAAGAUGCCGAUCACCCGUAUGUUGGACAGAACUGAAUGAGAAGAAGAUGAUUGGACCUGAAUUGGUUCAAGAAAUGGAAAGUACAGUUAAGAAAAUUCGGGAAAGAUUUAAAACUGCUUCUGAUAGACAGAAAUCGUAUGCAGAUUUGAAACGAUGGGAUAUUGAAUACUCAGUCGGGGAUAAAGUAUUUUUAAAGGUUUCACCUUGAAAGAAAAUUCUAAGAUUUGGUCAAAAAGGAAAAUUAAGUCCUCGUUUUAUUGGGCCUUACGAAGUUAUUGAGAGAAUUGGACCAGUAGCGUAUCGAUUGGCCUUACCUCCUGAACUACAGAAAAUGCACGAUGUCUUUCAUGUUUCUAUGCUAAGAAGAUAUCGAGUGGAUCCUUCACAUGUUAUUACGACCGAGAAUGUAGAGACUCGACCUGACUUAUCGUAUGAAAAAGAACCAGUUGAGAUUCUAGCACGAGAGGUAAAAGAAUUACGUAAUAAACGUAUUCCUUUAGUAAAAGUGCUAUGGCGAAGUCACAGUGUUGAAGAAGCUACAUGGGAACCAGAAGAAACGAUGAGAUCUCAAUACCCCCAUCUCUUUUCAGGUAAAUUUCGAGGACGAAAUUUAUUAAGGGGGAGAGAAUUGUAAUGAACCGAAAGUUACAGUAUCGAAAAUUGAGUCUUGAGUACUGUUUCCGUGAAAUUAAUUCAUGAAUAUUUAUUAGAAAUAUUUAUGAAUUAUAGUUGAAUGGUUAUUUAGUGUUUAAUUAAGUGAAGUAGCUUGAAUUUAGUUUAAAGGACUAAAUUGCAUACGGUAUAAAAGUUUAAUUAUAGAUUAAAGAUGAGUAAAGAUUAGUAUAUAACCAUAAUAAGCACUCAAUCCAAACAAGUAUAGGAUAGAUUUCCUAUCACAUGCACUCAACCAUUAAGUUAGUCUCAUAGCAUGACAAGAUAAUAACACAUCUAGAUGAGCUCAUUACAUCAUUAUUCCCAAUUUACAUCUCAUGUUAGUCCCAUUGAAUUUCUUGAUUUUUUGAUGGAUAUCUCAUUUCCCGUCAGUUCAUACAAGUGAUCAUUUCAAGUACACACUCCCGCGAACCUCGCAUCUUAUGGUGGAAUUACCAGAUUACAUUAAAUCCCCCGUAAUACAAACUCAUAGAGUAAAUGUCGGGAUUACCAAUCCAGGCUAAAUCCCCUACAUUGACAUAUACCCUGAUAAGCUCGGAUCUGAAUUACCAGUCUAGGCUAAAUUCAGAUCCUACUUCGGAUUACCCUUCCGGGCUAAAUCCUUAAUGCACACAUAUUCUUCGGGAGGCUAGAUCACUAUAGGAUCACCCAUCCGGGCUAGAUGCUUUUCACCGUCAAUUUAUUUUCGAGAUAUUCCAUCGAAUAACCCUAUUCAUUCAACCUCGGGCAUUCUUAUACUCAUUUUACUCACUUUAUUAAAUCUCAUAUAUUAUUAUGCAAUAAACAUUUACACAAUCAAGAAUAUACAUUUUAAGUACAUUAAUAGUCUAUUUUGAGUUAUUCGAACUUACUUGGUGAUCGUUUCGGAUUCGAGUUUUGAUCACUCCGAAACAUUUCGUUUCCCUCGAUCGACUUUCGAAUUCGGUCUCUUAGGGUCUCUAUGAGAAAAAUAACUUUAUCAAUACAUCAUUUAAUUCCUUUUUGGUCCAUAUCUCAUCCUAGGGAAAAAUAACCAAUUUGCCCCUAAACCUUGCUAAAAUUAUGAUUUUGCCCUUGGGCUUGUAAUUUGGUUUUCAUUACAUUUUCUAAAUGUUUCAAACCUAGCCUAAUAAUAUUUAUACUUAUGGCAUCUUGCAAAUCCAUCUAUAUCAUAUAUUUCAUAGUAAUUUCACAAAUUUUGCAAAAUGGUCCUAUGAGGGCUUUCAUGAGAAAUCCUUUCAUAAAAGUUGUUUAUCACAUAACCAAGCUUCAUAUUCCUCCAUAAAAACUCAAAAAACCUUAGAAAAUCUUACAUGGCAACUCAUUAGAACUUUUACCAUUUUGCAAAAUAGUUCCCUCUAGAGAAAGCCCAUGCAAAGGGGACUUUAAAAGUACAAAAAUUUUCAAGAAAAUCUCUUACUUGUUGAUAAACUGUAAUUUAUACAUAUUUUUAUCCCAUGCUUAGCACAUUUAUGGAUGGUUUCUCCUUAGAUUUGGUGAAUUCGAUGCUCCUAAUUCUUUAAUUUCAUGUUUUAUACUUAGGUGAGCAUAGGAGAGUAAAAAGAGCAAGAAACAGGGCGAAAACGGAGAAAAUGGACCCACAUGAAAAAUCAACACGGCCUGGACUUCCUCACACGGGUAAGUUACACGGCCAUGUCUAUUUGGCAAGAUCGAAGCACGACUUACACGGGUAGACUACACUCCUGUGCCUAUUUAAUAGCCUUGACCACGGUCUGGAGCAAUCGCACACGGGCGUGUCACACGGGUGUGUCCCUGUCGAGCCCAAGUAUAGUCCUAUUCAGAAAAAGCCACUUUUGAGGGCUCUUAGGCAUUCUAAAGCCUAUUUAAACACCUGAGGAGGCACUUAGAAGACACACACGGAGUAGGAAGCAAGGAAUUACUCAAGGGAAGUCGAUUGAUCCAUCUCAGAAGCCGAAUUCAUCGUGAAGACUGAAGAUAUCCUUUCAAUUUCCAUUCAGGGUUUUUAGGUUUUCUUUAUGAUUUGUAUUCAUUAUUCUUCUGAGAUGUUUUCUUUUAUAAUUAUGAAUUAAACCCCCUAAAUACCUAAGGGGAAUGAAACCUAAGAUAGAUCUUGUUAUUAUUAUCUAAAUGGUAUGAUAAAUAUUUGACUUGUUCUUAAUUAUGUGUUCAUAAUUCUUGUCUUAAUAUUCCAAGAUAUUGAUUCAAGUUAAUGCGCUUAUUUAGAGGAGCAAAAGUCCCUGUCUAAGAGUAAAUCUAUCUUAAUUAAGUGGAGUUGAUUGCACGCCUAGAGAUAGGGUAAUAAGAUUUUGUCGGAUUAGGGUGAAACCUAAUAAGGGGAUCUAUAGAUCGAGUUAAUGCAACACUAGGGCGUUAAUUAGAAAAAGAUUUCAAUUAAUCAACCUAGGGUUAGACGUUAUUAGUCUCGAGAGAAAUAAUAAUAUAACUUUGAGAUUUCUACAGAUCAAUUCAAAUGAAUAAAUCGUCUAACUCAGAGUCAAAUAACAAGUGAAGUCUAGGUGGAUUUUUCCUUGGGUAUUGUCUUAAUCAAUCGAGUUUUCCCAAAAGCUUUUCCCCAAUUUCUCUCUAUGCACUCUUAGUUUAGUUAAUUAGUUUAGAUAAACAAAUCCCUUAAUUUUUAGGCUAGAUAAUAAAAAGAAAGUAAUUACUAGUACUCUUGGUUCCUUUGGGUUCGACAAUCCAGUCUUGCUAAAGCUAUACUACUGUUCAAUAGAUACACUUGUCUUCAUUGUGAUAAUAGUUAGUUUUAGGAAUGAUUAAUUAUAAAUUUUUAAAUUCAGUCAUACUUAGUGUACGGUUUUGUUUCCGUGCACAGGUUAGGUUAAAGACAGAUCGUCGAAUAGCAUCAUAAGCCGAUCCCGAACUCAAAAAGGUAAAGCAUGUUAAUUAUCAGUAAUGGCAUGUACCUAGGAUGUCUUAAGUGUGUUAUAUUGGAUUGUGAUUGUAAUGGACUAAAUAAGUAAAUUGAUAAUUGAUAAUGAUACAUGAUAAGUGUUUAAAGUUAAGUAUUAGAUAAUAUAUAAAAUAUGUUUGGAUUGGUUUAAUAUUGGUAUUUGUUUUGGUUGUGGAUUGAAAUUUAUAGGAUUGGUAAAUUUUUAAAAUACAAGGUUCAUUUUGAGUUAACAUAGUUUGUCAUACCAGCAUGUGCCUUGGUUGCCACGGUCGUGUCUUAAAGUCAGUUUAGCACACGGGCAGGCCACACGGUCGUGUGUCAUGGUCGUGUGUAAAAGUCAGUGUUGCACAUGGGUUGAGGACACGAGCAUGUCCCAUGCCGCACGGGCAUGUUAAAUUAGCCAACACGGACGUGUGGUACUGUUGAAAAGAAGAAAAUUUAAAAUUUCACAAAAAAUUUACUAAGCUUUAGGAUCGAAUCCCGGUUUGUUUAAUUAUACUUGUAAAGUAUUGUGGACCCAUUAAAAUUAUAUUUAGAUGGAUAACAUUGCAUUUAUACUUGUUUAUGUGCAAAUGUACUGUAAUAACUGGUAACACUCUGUAAUCCUGUUCCGGUAACGGGAUGGAGUUAAGGGUGUUACAAUCUAGACAUAGAGGAGUAUAGUAACGUGCCUUUAAUUUUAGGAAGGUCCUUUUUAGCAACUGCCAAAACUAUAAUUGAUGUUGGUACAGGUAAACUCACACUUCGUGUGGGAGAUGAAACAAUCACCCUUCAAGCUCGUAAUUCGAAUAACAUAUCAAAAAUUGAAGGUGGUUGUAUAAAUUAUACUAUUAAAACUGACCAUGUGGUGCAACCUACUUUACAGGAAAUAAGUUCAGAGAACACACAUGAGCCAUGUUCGAGUAACGAGAAAGGACCUAUCUAUGAAGAGCGAAAGCUACAAAUCGAGGAACUAGAUGAAUGGUAGACACAUAAACCGAGGACACACGAUAAACCAAAACCACGCCAUGACGAGCUCAAUAUCUCACCAAAUCAACUUAAGGUUGGACACAAAGUACUACUAGAUGCAGCAGACCCUCGUAUUGCCACUUCUGAACCUAAUGGAGCAAUCCCUCUUAAGGCACUCAGUAUUUUCCCAUAUGGUACAGUAGAGGUAAGUUAUCCAUCACAAGGCACUUUUAAGGUAAAUGGACAUCGUCUCAAAAUUUAUAAUGGUGAGAAUUUCAAGACAAUAAAGAGGAGCUACGGCUCCACGAAGUUACCUAAAUAUACCCACAAGGUAAAGUCGAGCUUAGACUAUAAAUAAGUGCGUCUCAGGAGGCAACCCGAGCACUAACAGUGUUAAAUUCUUUAAAUUUUAGUCUUUACCAUUUAAUUUACUAACUGAGCCACUGAACACAGGAUUUCCAGAACCACACGACUAGACACAUGGGCGUGCCGUAGGCCGUGCACAUACCACGGGAGGAAACACGGCCAUGUGAUAUGACCGUAUGAAAAUAGAGCAAAAACGUUUCCCCAAGACUGGAUCCAAUAAGUUGCCAUGGCCGUGCGAUAUAGCCGUGGGCAAUCCUGCCAAAUUAACACCGGCGUGCGACAGCAUGCGCCUGCAUACACGGGCGUAGAAGAAGCGAACGAAGAAAUACACGACCGUGCAACAUGGCCGUAUGCACCAAUGUGCCCAAUUUCUAAAACCACGAAAAGCACGGGCUGAAAUAAGGGUACACGGGCGUUCCCACGGCCGUGUACCCCAAUUUCUUUAUAAACACCUAUUAUUUAUUUUAUUUUUAUCUUUGUAUUUUGGAAUUACUUUUUAUUUCCUUUUAAUACUAUUUUAUCUUGAGAUUUUAUAAUUUUUAUUCGGCUAUUUCUUUACGAGUAAUUAUGCUUCUUUAUAUUUCCUAAAAAGUUCCUGAUUCUAUGACAGUUAUAAAGAGCUCCAAAGCUCAUCAUCACUUAGGAACUAAAAAAAUCCACUGGAAAAAGUUCUCCACGACUACCAUGUCCUGCUCGACCACGACCAUAGCCACUACCAGAUAUAAUAUUCUUUUGGCGCAAGUCUUAUGGACUAAUGAACCUCUACCACCA
rnacentral:lncRNA from 1 species